CCCUUUUUUUCCUUUUCUUUUAACCCUUUCAUUUAUGUCUCACACAUUUUCUCCUGAUAUUUAAUGAUGUAUCUGGGUUUUGAAUACGGUCAUAAAGUAUUCAAAUUAUACUUUGUUUUCAGGCCAUCCAUUAUAAAUAUUAUAUCGUUGGAAUUUCUUAAUUCUCUUACAUGGUAUUUCGAACAACCAAAUGUUUGUAUUCGUAUUUAUGUUAUUUACAAUUUGUGUUCAAAGAUUUAGAGGAGUGUGUUCUAUAAACUCUCUCUAACUCUCUUGGUGUCUUUGAAUUUGUAAUUUGAUAUUCUCUUUAGUAAUAAAUUGUUCUCUUCGUACUCGUGGACAUAUCUAACACAUGGUUAGGUCUUUAAGUUGAUUUUUGAUUUUUUAUAUUUUUCUAUUUAUCUUUGUAUUGGAAUGUCUUGAACCCAUUAUCUAACACCACAAACAAUUAAGUUAUUCAUGUAUUUGUCAUAUUCGUGUUAUUCACGUUUAUGACUCUAGAAUUUAGAGGAGUUCUGUAAUCCUCUACAAUAAAAUUGUCCUCCCUCAUCACGUGAACGUAAUAACACACCAUAAGUUAAACAUAUUAAUCUCUAUGUCGAAUUUAUAUAUGGUUGUGUGGAUUUUGUAAGAGUUAAAUUGUCGAUUUCUUAAGGUUAUGAAGCAAGAGGAGUGGAGGAGUUGUUGUUUAUAUUAUCCUUGUAUGGAACCUUACCAACCAAAGCUCUCUCUUUCUUCGGCCCCAAGUGAACAAGAGAGGCACUUAUCACUAACUUUAUACUUUUAUUAAGUUUUGUUUCCAUUGUACAUUUGCAUGUGAAUGUACUUUCCCAAAGUGCAACUCACGUGACCUUUUGUAGCAAGUCACAAGAAUCCCAUAAAUUUACUCCACAAAAACGGAUAACCAUAUAAUUCAAUCUCUCUCUCUCUCUCUCUUUUUAAUUACACAUAGAAAUUAGAAAUAUAGAAUCGGAUAUGAUUAAAUUAUAUACAUAUAUGUAUAUAUAUCAUCAAUAUCGAGGAAUUUAUUCGGUGAAACGAGUACAAUAAAAUUCAUCGUAUUCACACAAAACUACAAAUCAUCUUUUUAAUUUUUCUUGCAUUAUAGAUUAGUUUAUAAUAAUAAUAGACUUUUCGUCACCCCAUAGUACGGUCUCUACUUAAUUAAUGUUAUAUUUUGUUUCUUAACUUAGGAUAAAUAAUAUGUCACGAGAAAUAUUUCCGAAUUAAGUAAUUAUACUUUUUGCAUGGUUUGAUUUUUCAAAUAUAUAAUAAUUUUACAUCAACAACCCAAUUAAUAGACAGACAAUUCAUUUUUUUUUCUUCUUUUCUCCUUAUAAUGCAAUUAUCUUAACCUUUGUUGGGCAAUUGAAUCAAAAUUAUGUUAGGGUUAGCCAAUAUUCUUAUUCUAAUUGGGUGUUUGGUAAAAUAAUGUUAGAAUUAUAUGAAAUUAUAAUUACAAAAAUCAAAAUUGAAGUUUUUGAGAAGAAAUCAAUUUUCAAAUUUUAGGUAACAUUGUUCCAUCCCACGAGGUUGUUUCCAACUUUAUUGCAACUGACAAACAGAGAAUGUGGGCUGGAAAAAGCCUUCACCUUUUUUUUGUUGAUUUGAAUCUAAAUCUUUAAUAAUUUAAUCAUAAUUAAGCACGUAGAUACAUGCUUGAUUAGCUUGGAGGAUUAUAAUAAUUAAGUUAAAUUAAUAAAGUUUGAGGUAUAUGCAAUUCUAUAUCAAUUUUCCUAGUUAUAUGUAUUUUGAUUAUGAAAUUUGAUUAUAAUAUUUGACUUGUAACAUCAAAAGUUGAGUUGUAAAGUUCUAAAGUGAUGUAAUUUGACAUUUUAUUUGAAAGCUUUUCAAAGUUUAUGUAUACACACAAUAUGCUAUCAUGUGAAUUAUAUAUAAAAAUGGAAUGAAAGGGAAUUUCUAAUUUUGUAUUUAUAUAUUUCUUUUCUUUCCAUUUUUCUUAAAUUGAACAUAUAUGUAUAUAUAUAAUUUAUAUGCAUGCAUUGGAACCUACACUAAAUGAAAUUAGAUUUAGGGUAAAGAGAGAUCUAAAACUCCUAUGGAUGUUUAUUAGGAUGUCCUUAAUAUAUAUGAAUAAAGAGAUAAGAUGAAAAAUUGGAUGUAAAUUGUAACUAAAUGAAUCUAAAUCAAAAUUUAAAAGUGGAGUAUUUAUUCAAAAAGUAUAAUUUUCAUCCGAAGAUUACUUUCAUCUAUCAAAACGUCUUAUGAGUUUCGGUCUUUGGCUCUCAUUCUUGAGAGAGCUAAUUAAAGUGUUUUCUUUCUACUAUAUUUAUUUAUUACCAUCACUGUUAUGAUUAUUUUGUAUAGUUUUCUUUUAUCAUUCUAAAGUGAAAAUGAAUUAAGUAUCUCUUUGUUGUGUAUUAUUUAGUUUGAGAUUAUUCAAACCACAAAUAACUUAACAUAUUAUAUUUCUUUUACUAAUGAACAAAAACGUGACUAUUACAUCUCAAUUUUAGCAAUAACAUACGUUAAGUUAAUUCAUUGAAAAUAUGGAAAACACAAUGCAUUAAAAAAGAAAAAGAAAAAAAAAAAAGGAUGGUAAGCAGAUUUAAAGCAACCAAAAGCAUGCAUUAUAUAAAAAUGUAAACUUAAUAACUUUAAGAUUUGAGUAACCCAUCUUGUCCCCUUUUUUCUAAAUUAUGAAAAACUCCACCUUUAGAAUAUCCCAUCAUCCAACAUAACAAACACACUUGACUUGCUAUUGUUAACUCAAUUUUCAUCUCAAAUAAUUGAAAUUUCUCGUUAAGAACGAUAUAUCACCUUUUACAGCAACGUAAAAAUGAUUAAUAAUAUAAUAUGAGCUUGUAAUCGAUGGAUAUAAAAGAAUUUUUUUUGAUUGAUUUGGAAGUAUACAUUUUGGAGAUGGGAAUGUGAAUUAUUGAGGGGAUUGUGUACAGGGAAUUAUGGGGGUUGGUUUUAAAUGACUGUACAAAGAAAGUAAAGCAUGUGAAAAAUCAAAUCAAAACACCAAAGGGAGAGAGAAAAAAAAUAAUAUAAAAUAAAAACAAAAAAUAAUAUAAAAUAAUUUGGAAAUAGUUCCAAAUUGGAAUUUUCUUUCUUUUAAAAUAUAUUUUUGAAGGAAAAACAGUAAUAAUAAUAGGGUUGUGUUAGAGUGUAUUGUUUUGUAAACCAGGUGAAGACAAAGAGCUUAUCUGUGUGAAUUUUGUAGGCUUCUUCUUUUUCCAUAAUAUCAUGAUAUAUAUAUCGAUAAGCAUCCAGUCACCCUCAUUGGACAAAAAAAAAACCACACUCAACCUCACUAUUACUUGUCCAAAUUCCAUCCCUAAACACAAACAAAACCGUUAAAAGCAACUCUUUAUUCAAAAGCUUAAGCUUAUAGAUUAUUAAAGAGUUAUUAAGAAAUGUAAAACAACAUAGAGAAUCUCCAACAUAUACAUGAUGUUAAUUGUUCAUUAGAGAUUAGAAUAACAUCAUAUUACAAACCACAAAAAUUCAAGACAUUCCAACAAAAACGUAUACAAUGAUCUAUUGUUCUUUCAUACUAGGUUAAAUCACUAAUCAAAUAGAUAUAUACAUAUCUAUCAUCCUUCUAAAACGUUCAAAAACAUCCCUAGAACAAUAAAAGGACGGUUAUAUUUCUAUAUAGUUAGCGCGGUUGUAGAUUAUUAAUAUACUUGGGUAAUACUUCGAAAUUUUUUUUGGUGGAGAGUGAGAAAUAUAUGGAAGUACAACUGUUGGUGGGAAGGGAAGGGACAAGUGUAGGAGAAGGGUUGGUGUGUGGUGAGUAUUGUUUUGUUGUAAUGAUUAAAGGGCACACAUGUGAAUACAGACUGGGUACCUCAUUUGUCUCUCACCAAUCUACACAUUUUCUCCCAACCAAUAUCAACCCUAAAACUCAUCGACGUUUCUUUUUCCCUCUCUAAAUUUUGACUUUAGUUUCUGUUUAAUCUCUAAAUUUCAAGUAAUUAGGAUAGGUUUCAAUAUAAUUUAUAAGUUUGAAAAUGUUACAACAAUUUUUUUUUAGAAUUUUAAGUUUUGUUUCAAUUUGACUUUAAAAUUUCAAAUUUAUUUUUACACGCAAAAGUUAUAAUUUUAGUUUUUAUUUUUAUUUCAAUUUGGUUUCAUCUCUUCGUAAUGAAUGUAAAUGCUUAAAUAAUAGAACAAUGUGAAUGGUUAAUGAAAAAUCAAAAAUUAAUUAAUAAACAUUAACCCUAAUUAUCGAAUAAUGUGAAUGCUUAAUGAAAAUAAAAAAUUUGUAAAUUUUUGAAACCUAGAACUAAGUAAAACAAAGUAGAAAAUUUGAUAACAUUUUAAAACCUACAAGCUAGAUGAAAACGAAACUCAAAACAUAAAAACCGAAAAAACAUAAUUUCCGUAAUUCCUUCCUUAUAAUAAUAAAUAACAAUAAUAACAAAUAUAGUAUUUUUGUUUAAUGAUUUUCUCGUGAUAUAUAUAAAACAAAAUUAAUUAAUGCAUAAAUCAAUCUACUCUUCUUUUAUCGUAUAUGUGUGUGUACUCAUGCAUGCAAAUAAUUAGAGUAGAAGAGUGAUAUAUGAGAUAUUUACUGUUGUUAUACCAUGAUAUUAUUAAAUUUCAAUUUACGAGAAGAUUGAAUAAUAAUUAAUAAUGUUUAAACGAAGGAUUGGAGAGUUGGAAAUUUGUGAUUUACAUAAGAAGUUGGAAUAUUAUAAAUAUAGAGAGAGGAAUUUAUGUAAUAUGAAAGGAAUUCAGAAAGGCACGUGUGGAGAGAGAGAGAGAGAGAGGGAGGGAGGGAGGGAGAGAGAGAGAGAGAGGGAGAGGGAAGAAGAAGAAAAGAAAAAGUCCCCCGUGAGGAGUGUUUGGAGGCAUUCAAAAAUCACAACUAAACAUCCUUUUGGUUGCUUCCUUUGGCCUUCACUUCUUUCGAUGGCCAUUUUUCACUCCCAUCCGCAAUCUUCACGAGCCCCCCUUCCCCUCCACCCCCCACUAUUUUCUUCUCUAUACCUAUUUUCUCCUUUUUGCCCCUUUUCAUUCUUCUUUUUUCUUUUUAUACAUAUUUAUAAUCACAUUGCCCUCAACGAACCAUUCUCACACAUUAUCUUAAAUAUAAGGUCUCUUUUUUUAUAUUACAUCUUCAAGUCAUUACGUGAAUCUCACCAAAAUAUAUACUUGACUUACCAAUCCUACCGUUGUUAUACAAUCAACCGAUUUCAAAAGUGUCAAAUCAUUUUUCACAAGUCUUCAUUGAGUUAUUUCAUAUCUUUUGUCGUCGCUUUAAAUUAAUUUUGUCAAUCAUUUUUAGGGUUUAAAUUUACUCUCCAAUUUUUAUUCCUUACCAAACAAAAAAAUACAUUGUAGUUGGUUCGAAAUCACUUAAAACAAGCUAGCUAGUUAGAUUUUUUUAAUUUGUAAAUUAGUUGGCGGAGAAUUUGGAUGUGAAGAGUGCAAUGAUUAAUAAAAUACUCUUAUUUAAUAACUAUUUGGUUUUUGAAUUACGUUUUAAAAUUAAUUUCAUAAACAUUAAUACCUACUUCCACAUGUCAAUUUAUAUAUAAAAAAAAUAGUUCAAAUAACAUAUACAUAACUUAAGAAAAAGUAGUUUUUGAGUUGGUAUAUUUAAAUUUGGUCAUUAAAUUCAACUAUUUUCUUUAUAAAAUAUGAAAAUCAUUACAAUUCCAAACACAAUUUCCCAACAAUAAAUCCAAAAACCAAAUUAUUAUGAAAUGCAUCUAAUCAGAAGUGUUUAGUUCCAUUAUUUUAGAAAAGAAAAGGUUAUGAGUGUAUAAUUAAAAUAAAGUUAGAACACAGAAUUGUACCAAAACUUUUGGCCCACACACAUCCAAGUAGAAGUACUUAACUUACCAACAACAAAUACAUAUUAAAGUGUUAAUUAAAUUUGUUGGAUUUCGAAUGUACAAACUAUAAACUUUAGUACACUUGUUAUAAUUAAUAAGGAAUGAAUGAUUCAUUAAAAGAAAGAAAGAAAAAAGUUAAAAAACUUGAAAUAAUAAUAAAAAUGAAAUAGUAUAUAGAAGGGUAGUUUAGUAAGUAGAACAGUUGGCAAAGUAUAAUAUAUAUAUAAAUAUAUUGAUUAUGCAGUGUCAUGUGGGAAGCUAACAAACAGAAAAAAGAUCAUAUAAAUUUCAGCCUCCUCCUCAUCAUACCCUUAUAAAACCACACCCCUAACUUUUUAUUUCUUUUCAUUUUUGUAGAUCAUAUAUUACAAAAAAGAAAAAAAGAAAGAAAGAAAAAAAGAUAUAAAGAGAAACAAAAUAUUGAAAGAGUUGAAUCCAUGGUUUCUAGAGAGCACAAGAAGGCUGCAGCUCUUCAUGACAACCUCCAAUUACUUCGCUCUAUUACCAACUCUCAUUCUGUAAAUAUUCUCCUCUCUCUCGAUCUCUCUCUCUCUCUCUCUCUCUAUUUUUCUUUUAAUUAUCCCAAUUCAGAAUUUGCAUAUAUAAAAGCAAUAUACUUUGUGGGUUUUUUCUUUUUUCAUGAAGAAGAAGGAAUGAUUUUCUAACACAAUUUUAAAACAAUGGUAUUUUGUGUGGUGUGUGGAAGCAGCUAAACAAGGCGUCGAUUAUAGUGGAUGCAUCCAAAUAUAUCGAGGAGCUAAAACAAAAAGUAGAAAGAUUGAAUCAAGAUAUAUCCACUGUUCAAAAUUCAAAUCCACUUUCUCAUCAAUAUUCUCCCAUGGUAUAUAAAUUUUAAUUAUUUCAAAUAAUAUCAUUUUCCUUUCUUUUGGUUUCAUUCUAUAUCUUAACUUUAGAAAAAUAAAAAGAAAAUUAAUUAACCAAUAUUAUUAUUUGUUUUUUUUUAUUUAUAUUUAUAUAGCAGGUAACAGUGGAAAGGGUAGUAAAGGGAUUUUCUAUAAAUGUAUUUUCAGAAAAGAGUUGUCAAGGUCUUCUUGUCUCCAUAUUAGAAGUGUUUGAAGAGCUUGGACUUAAUGUUAUUGAAGCUAGGGUUUCUUGUACUCAUACUUUCCAAUUACAAGCUAUUGGAGAAGUAAGAUUUUCCAUACACCCUUCUUUCUAUAUUUAUAUAUACAUUCUUUUAAUCUAUUAUUAUCAUCAUUCUAAUCAUUUCUUUUUAUUCAUCAUUUUAGUUAUUUCUCCAUUUCACCAAUUCUAAUUAAUUUCAUCCACACCUUGUACUAUACCAUACUAUUUUCAAAUAUUUAUAAAUAUAACAAAAUAUCAAAGGGUAGAAAUGAUUUAAAUAAUAGAUUAAGAAAUUGUGUGUUAUAUAUAUUUAUAAAAAAAAAUUGUCAUUCAGGAGGAAUUUGCAAAAUUUAACCUUAGGUAAUUGAAUUUUGGAUGUAAGUAAUGAAUAUAAUGAUAGACUUCAAAUGAGAUUAAUGUUGGGUUUUUGUUUGGGUAGAUUGAGGAAGAAGGAGAAGAAGGCAUUGAUGCACAAACUGUGAAAGAAGCAGUAGUUCAAGCAAUAAAGAGCUGGAGCCAAAAUGGUGAACAAGAUUAAUAAAUCAAAUAUCUACAAGAAGGAGAAUUAAUUAUUCCCCCCCCUCCCCAGAAAAAAAAGAAGAAGAAAAAAAAAACCCCUUAAUUAUUUCUCCAACUUGUUUUAAUCGCGGCGUUUUUUUUUUUUUCAAUUUAUUAUUAUCUCUAUCUGUUUGUAAUGUGGUAAAAAUUAAUCAAUGGAAAAACCGAUUGAUUAAUGUUCUUCCAAUUAAAUGGAAAGAUAAUAAUAACCAAAUAUAUUCUACUAUUUUUUUAAAAAGAAAAUUCAAGUUGGUAACAUUUUGCUAGUAGAGAAUAAUGAGCAUAGGUUUUUUUUGAAAAAUCAUGAACUGUGUCACUUUUGGAGUUGAAGUACGAAGAGGAACAAUUUCUUUUUCUUUUUCUUUUUUAUCCUCUUUAUUAAUUUUCUUUUUGAGUUUAUUAAAGGGUGGGAGGGUUUUUCAUCAUUACAAAACUGAUAUCUUUUCAGCAAAAGUACGUAGAAAUAAAUAAAGUGAAUUUUAGUUUUUUAUUUGGACUUUGGGAGAGUUAAAACUGAAAAAAUAAAGAAAAAAUAGAAAAAUGAGUUCUUCCAAGAAUUGUGGGUAUAUGAUUUUACUGUUCAUAUUUUACUAUUUAUUAUAAGUAUUAAAGGAUGUUGGUCGAAGCAGAAACAAGAGAGAUUUAUGAGGAAAUAUGAUUUUUAAAUUUAUUACAAAUGCUAAUUUCUGCGAACAUAGAAAACCAUUUCACGUGAAAAAAGAGUAUUUAUAUUGACGACAAACUUUCAUUUUGGUUACCAUUCUUCUGACACUUUUCUCUUUUUCUUUCUUAAAUUUUUAGUAUCAUACUUCAUCUUUCUAAGCCUAAAAUGUGGCCAGUUAUUAAAACAAAAAUCAUAGUAUUGAGAUAUAUGUACUUUUUAAUAAAUGUUUGAAAGUGAUUUCAAUACAUUUCAAAUCAAUUUUUCUUUAAAAUAUAUAUAAAAAUUUAUUUUUUAAGUGAUUAUAAAAACAACAAACAACCAACUUAAUCAACAUGAAACAUAUAAUUUAAUUUUUAUAUCAUCUCUAUUUCUAUGUUCUCACUCAAUUUUAUAUUUUAACCAUGCAUGUUGGUUGCUCAAUCGAUUUAAAGAUGAACAUCAUCUUUCAACUUGUUUACUUUCAUGAUUAAGAGAAAAAAAUUAUUAUUUUGGGUUGGUUGUUCUAUUUAGACAAAAAGUUUUAUAAAUAAUAAGUUUAAUAUAAUCAGUUUUUCUUACGUUUUCAAGUGAUUUAGUUUAGUUUAAAAUAUACUUAAGUGCUUAUGUUUGUUUUUAAAGAAAAUUUUAGAAUCAUUUAAUAAAAAAUAUUAUAUUUGAGAUUGAACAAAUUUUGUGAUUGGACGAAUACUAUACAAGAAGAAAAAUGCUACAAAAGAUAAAUAUUUAAAGAGGAAAAACAGAUUUCAAAAUAUAAAUUGAACAAAGAUGCAGAGAAUAUGAAUAUGAAAAAUAACAUGAAGUGAGAAUAUAUUAUCAAAACUUUGGAGAUCAUAAAUAGAAAAAUAAAACUUAAAAAGAAAUAAAUGGAAUUUAUCCUUUAAAAAGAAGAGAAAAAUGUUGAUCUACAUUUAAGAUUUCUCCCUUUAUUACAAAGGAUUGCAUGCACGAAUAUCAUUACAACAAAAAAAAAAAUCGCUUUGAGAAUAGUCAAAAGGUCGCAUCCAUAUAGACAUGAAGUUAUGCUCUCACAAAAUUAAAAUGAUAGAUAACAAUACAUUGAACUUUUUAGUGCAUGUAAAUAUUUGAAUCAUAUAUUCAUAUUCAAAUUGUUACACAUACACUAUUACAAGAACACAUCAAUCCAGCUAAGAAAGCAAGCAAAAAAAAUUAAUAAUAAAAUGAUCUAAAGACUCAACACGCUAUUCUUAAUAUAAAAAAAUAGCACAAAUACAAAUUAGAAAAUCAGAAUUUAUUAUUGCUUGAAGGGGUUAAUCCACGUACACACAAAACCUUUUUUAAUUACAUUAAUUAGUGAAUAAACAGAAUAUAAACAAAUUUAAUAACGAGAUUAUAAUGAGUUGAUUUAAACUAAAAAAGCCUCGUGAAUGGGGAGAUAUUGAUUAUUUGAUGAUCAUUGAUGAAAAAUAAAUAAUGAAAGACGAUGAUGAUGAGUAGUUUAAGUGUUGAAAUUAUUAUAUAGAGAGAAGAUAUGCAUAUGAGAAGGUGAGUUUCAUUUCCAGGAAACAUGGAAAUGGUUUAAUUUUUUUUACUGGAAUAUAUAUAUAUAUAAUAACUAUAAGGAUUUGUAUAGUUAAUAAUAAUUAAGUCGAGAGGGAUCCCAUAAUGAAAAGGACAGGGUGUCUAAGUAAUUAAUGAAUUAAUUAAACUAUUGAAGCCUAUGAACAAACCCUAUCUAAAUAGGGUCUAUGAGAAUGAGAUUAGAGUUUAAACAAUUUAAUUAGGCGUAGCCCUAACAUAAUUAAGUAGGGGACAGUGAAGGAUUUUGUGGUCGGUGCAAAAUCUAGGAUGUAGCUUUCAUACAUAAUUUUAUUUAAUCAAUCUUCAUAAAUAAUAAUUAUAAUAAUAGUAAUUAAAUGCAUUUUUUUUCUUCCUUUCUUAUUUAACAAUCAUUUGUAUUUUUAAGAUGUUUUUAUUUAUAUGUUCCUUUUAACAACGUCACACCAAUUCGAUUUGAAGGAAGAUUCGUCGAAUUGAUGGCACGAUAAUUAUUAUCUUUAAAAUUUUUGUCUAAAGCUCCAUUGUUUUACGAGUGUAAUUUUUAUAGGAUUUCAAAUAUACAUUUAAUAUCUACAUUUGUUUUACAUAUUUUCAUUUUUUAAAACUCACUUGAAAUAGAUUUUUUCAUACAAAUACAAUAUUUUUUAUGUUUGGAGGAUGAAUAAUAGAAAUAUAACUUAAUUAAUUUAUAAAUUAAUAUAAGUUUUUCAUUACUAUUAAUUUUAGUUCAUUAUAAAAUAUGAAUAUAUUAUUUAAACUGGAUCGAUUUCAACUAUUAUUUUACCGUAACUAAAUUAUUAAUAUUCUAAUUAAUUUAAUUAUUGUAAUUCCUCUUCAUUAGUUUAAGUAAUUAAUUUAAUUAUGUUUAGUUAAAAGGUAUUUUUUUUAUUUUUUAUUGUAAAAAUGCAAUUGAUAACCAUUUCAGCAAUUAAUUAUCACUGAUAGACUUGUAUCGCUGAUAGACUCCAUAUGGUUUAGUGAUAGACUAAUAUUUUGACAAAUUUGGCUAUAUUUAUAAAUUUUUUAAAAUGUUGAUAUAUACUUCAUUAUUUUAAAUGUAAUUGUUAAAUUUGCACCUACUUUUUUAUUUUGUUAACUAAGUAUUGACGUAACAGUAAGUUAAGUUUAGUUAAAUAAUUAUAAAUUAGUUUUAUUUUUUACAAAUUAUUUCAUUGGAUACAAAUAUUUAAGUUUCACAUCAAUUAUUCAAUACAUCCUAAAUAUGGAUAGACAUUAAUUAUUCUAAAUAUUCAAAUGGUUUCUAAAUGUUUUAAUUUUAAAAUAGGAUGAUAAAGUGUUUUUAUAUUAAAAAACCUUAAAUUAUUAUUAAAUAUGAUUUUAUUAUUAGUUGAGUUAUAAUUUCUUUAGCCAUUCGCCGUUAUUAGCUUCUAAUUUUUCAAUUUUAGAAAAUAUAUUGUUUCAUGGAAUUCUCAUUCUUUGGUUUAUAGUUAUUUUUUAAAAAAAAUUAAAUUUAAGGAUUAUACGAAUAUAAUAUCAAAAUUUGAAACACAAGUACAAAUAUUAUCAAUCACAAAUUUAAAAAGGUCAGGCGAGAAGAAUAAAAAAUGUUUUAAAUAGUAAAAAUGUUCAAAAUGUUUAUAGACAAUAUGUUAGUAGCAUAUCAUUAUCUAGCUAUCGGUUGAAUUUUAUGUUUUAAAACUAAUGGAUAGUAAAUGUAAUUUUAUUGACAUUUCUUAAUAAAUUGUUAUUGUUGUGAUUUUAAUAAGUGUUAUUAAUGUUUUUUAUUAAUUUUGUUUUAAUAACCUCAAUCCAAUAAAUUAACAUUCUAAACUAUCUUAUAAUACGUCUUGAAAUGUAUGUGGAGACAUACAGAGAACAAUGUUUGAGAUAAAACUCAAAAUGUUAUCGUAUAAGGAUAAAGUCAGAUAUUUUAUUGUGGGAAUCUGUACGCUUUGUAUUUGAUACAAACACAAAUAAGUUCAUACGGUUAGGUUUCUAUAUCUUGAAUUUCUAGAGGAUCGAGUAUUAGAGUUUUUGAACAUUUUUGACAUAGAGUGAGCCAAAUUUAUCAAGUUCGACCUCAACUUGGGUUGUGGUAGAGGCACUUGGAAUGAGCUUCAGCCUAUGAGUGGAGUUUAUUGGAUCACAUCUACGUGGGAGGAACCAAAUGUUCAUUAGAGGUUAGACUAUAAACACGUUGUUCGUUAAAGAAACAUUUGUAUUUAAUGACUAAAAGUAACAUAGAGGUAAAAUGGUAAUUUGAUUCAAUUGAUGAUACAAACACUUGUAAAUGACUAACUUGUAGUUAUUGGCUUAUACUUGUGGACACAAACAAUAUAUUCACAAUGAAAAGAGUUUAGUUGUGAGUCUUUAGUAAAAAGUGUAUACACAAUUAAAUAAUAUUAAUUAGUAUGAUUAAUGAGUUUAGAGAAUUAAUCUCUUAUUAUUAUAGGUUAUAAUUUGUAGGUACAUUAUAUUUGUUAACGUGAGGUUAGGUUAUUAUAACUCGAAUUCACUCAUGAUGCAUGUUUGAUUCAUGAAAAGCACGAACAAUUAACCAUUUAUUUUAAUAUAAGAUUUACUAAUCUUUGUUUUUCAAUGGAUGGCACUUUAUAUACAAAAAUAAAAUCAAUUAGGUAUUUUGGGCAAUUCUCACCACACCAAUGACAGCUGUGCAAAACCGCGUCAAAUUUCUUUUUUUCUUUUUCUUCCUUCCUUUUCUAAUAUAUUGCAAUUGUGGGCCCACCCGCCUCUUCAAUAUUUGUGUCCAUUCACUUUUUUUUUUUUUUUUUAAAUUAAAUUCUAGGAUAUCAAUUUCUAAAUUACGAAUGAGGCUUUGGCCCAUUUCAAGCACCUCGCCUCGACCCAAUCAGAAUUGAGUCUAACCAAUUUCGUACUACUUGAUUCCCCUCAUUUAUCCAAUCAUGGUCAUGGUCCGAAGCUCAUUCCAAGUGCCUCUACCACAACCCAAGCUGAGGGCCACCUUCAUAUAAUUUGGCUCACUCUAUGUCAAUUGGUUCAAAAACUAACCUAACCCCUAAACCCUAUAAAAAUAAGCCAUUGAGGCUUUGUGAACAAAGUAAUUUACGAGACAUUGAAUUCUAUACUUCUUCCAUUCAUCAUUCCAGCACUAUCUUUUCCUCUAAACACACAAAUUCACUAGCAAAAUAUACAGAAUAGAACUCAAUGUUUCAAUUAAAAUUUUAUUAUUUCUUUCAAAUAAAAGUGAUGGUUAGGUCUCCAAUAUUUUAAUCUAAUCUCAUGGUUCCUCCUUUACAUGCAAAGCAAAGCAAUGUUUUUGAUUGGUGGUGCUUUGUAAAUGGUUGAAUAAUCCAAAUUUUGAAUCAAGAAGAAGAAUUGGGUCUAUUUUUUCUAGCAUCCAUUAAAGAAGCUCUAGUAAUCUGGACAGAGAGAUGAGGAUUCUUGAGUGCAAAGGCUUCAAAUCCAGAAGAAAACACAAUUUCCUCCAUAUUUCUAACAAUGAAAUCCAACGCACUUUCCUUCAACGCUCUACAAGAACAAACUUCCGCAACUUCCAAUACAUCCAAAGCACUCUCACAGUUCAACCAUUUCAACAUAUACCUCUCGCAAAAUUUCUGCAAAUACGGAAUCUCGUAUUUAUCCCCUGCCAAGGCCAACGAAUACACGUGCUUCUUCACUUUCUCCUCCCCCAAAUCCCCGCUGUACAGAAACUCCAUCAGCGAUUCCAGCUCCUCGUGGCUCAACUCCGGCAGCGUGAUCGUGGAGUUGGUCGGAGCAGCCUUGCAUCCGUCUGAAUCGAGUAUGUUUUUGAAGAUUUCGGAUCGUGUGGCCUGAAAUUGGAGGGAAAUUAAAUUAUUAUAUUGCAGUGUGCAGAUUUAGAUUGGAGAAAGAAGGUGAGGAUAUACUUGAGUUUGUUUUUUUAAUUACCAGGAGGGCUCUGUGAGCGGAAAUGGAAGGGGAGGCGGGUGAUCCGGGGUUGAGUUGAAUAUCGGUGUGGAUUUGGUGGCGGAAUGCGGCCGUGAACUGGGCAAGGAAAUUGAUUUUAUCUUCUAAUUCAUCUUCUCUGUUCUUUAAGUCUAUUAUCCAUUUUGAAGCAUUAGUGAGUGUCUGUAAGAAGGAGAGAUCCAUUAGUCUUCACUUUUAGAUUUCUAUUCAUAACUCAUUUAAAACCUAAAUAAUUUUAAAUUCAAAUCCUUCAUUUUAUUAAUGCAAAUUUGAAAACUUAGAUCAAUCUCUUGAGUUUCAUGGUAGGUGGUAUGUCCUUGAAUUAACACCACCCAACACAUUGUUGUGGUGCCUUUAUCAACUUCAUAGUCUACUCUAAUCUCUAUCAAAAUCACUCCACCAACACCCCCAUCUUCCUUUAUUCUAUGCCUUUUCUUUUUUGUUUCAACCACUAUUCUCAAAGAAAAUUGCUAUUCAAGAUCUUUCAUUUUUUUUUCUUAUUGAUUAAUUAUUCAUAUUCACGUUACAUUAGUUUCUUACAAAAUUUCGAAGAAUACAGGAUAAUUGCAAUUGGAUAAUUUUAGUAGAAUAGUGUUAUUAAAAAAAUUACAAAUAUAACGAAAUCUUAUCGUUUAGAGAAGUUCUAUAUAUUAUAAUUUACAUGAUACUAGAUUUGUCACUAUUUUGACUUUCAUCCUUGGAUGACUAUUUUGUUUUUUUAUUUUUGUUAUUAAAAUUUAAAUUUAUAUAAUAAGACAUUUUUAAUUUUUUUUUUUUUUAAUCAUAGACCAGAAAAUGACGUAGAGUAAGUCAAUGAAGGUAAAAAUUUGAAAAAAAUUAAGCAGAAAGUGAAAACUUCAUUAACUGUGAAACAAAUUUAUAAUAUAACCAAAGAAUUAAAGAAAAUCAAAGUGUAGAUUAGAGAAGAAAAUGUGAAGUAUAACAGUUGAAUAGAAAUAGAGAAAAGCAGAGAACUUGCCUUACAGGAAGAUCCAAUUGGGGAAACAGGAGAGACGUUAUUAUUAGUUGGUUUACGAUCAUUUUGAAGCUUGUUUAUCAAAUUUAUGACACACUUUGCUCCGUCGUAACAUGACACACAAAUGGUGUUUCGUGGUGGGCGGAGUAUCACCGGAAGUGAGCUGCAGAUUGAGCAGUCCAUAUGACGCAAAAAAAAACCCCUUCAAAAAUGAUCACCAGGAACAAGAUGAGGGGGGGUUCAAUAAUUUGAAACACAAUGUCUUGGGUUUAAAGAAAGAGAGAAGUGUUAGUUGUCUAUUUUGAAAUAAAUAAAUUGUUAUAUUUAUUUGGUGCUCUCAACUUAAAGGAAUCUAGAAAAAGAAAGAAAUAAAUAAGUAAAUAAAUUGUUGGAAGUGUUGAGUUUGUUAAAUAAUGUUUUGUUUGUUGGUUUAUCCUGUAAAUGAUAAAAGAAGAAUCUAAUUGAAUGAUUGCCUUAAAUGGGUUUUGAUUUGUAUUUGUAUUUUAAACAAUUUCUUUAUGGGAGUGCAAUGACUACCUUACCCUUCAACUGGUGAGGAGGUUUGUUGGGAGUAGGUGGGUAAAUGGGGGAGAAAUAAUGAAAUAUUUGUUUGAGUGUGUUUUAAAGAAAUGGGAAUAGAAAAUAAUGGUUGGGAAGUGGAAAAGGACUUUCCAACCUCACUCACAGCCUAUACCUUUGAGGCAAUCACGUCUUCUCGAAAACUUACUUCCUUUCUUUCAAUUUCUAUUCAGGUUGGUUUUCCAAUUUUAAUAUGCUUCAUAUUUGUUUGUUAAUCAACCUUUCCCUUUCAUAUGUUAUGCUGUGUUAACGCCCCAAACUUACACAGCCUCUACCACUUUUCAAUCCUCUCUUUUCUAGUUUCGUCCUGUCCAUGGAGUUGUCUUCCAAGAAUAUAUACUUGAAAAAAGAUGGCAUGUGGUCUAGCAUAUAACACAAUCUCAAUCACUGUUUAUAAAAGCAAAUAGAAAAAGGAAAAGACACACAAAAUUGAUAACUUAGUUUGGUGCAAAUUCAUCUACGUCUAGGGGAUAAUGUAGUCGAUGAAACGGAAUUUUACUAUAUAAAGAGUUUAACAAUUAUAAAAAAAGUACUUAUUUGACAUACUCCCUCGUUGGUGCUCCCGUAUAACUUUCUCUUCAAUUUCAACUUAAGCUCUUCAUAAGUUUGAGUUCCUCUAAUAUGGUUAUGAACGUUGUAAAUAUAUUUUGGAGAGAAUAACUAUUAUUUGUAGGAGAAUAAGGAAGACAUAUAAUGAAUGAAGAAGAAUAAAAGAUCCACAAAAUCUGCAAUUCAUGAAGAACAUAAGAAAAAUGUAUUUCGUUGAAGUUGUUGUCGGUCAAUACCAAUGUUAUUGACAAUAUCGUUGACAUGUGUUGACCAAUGUGUUAAUUACUCAAGUUAUGUCUUUAAUAAAAUCAGUCAACUACAUUGUAAUAACAUAUAAUAUCAAGCUAAGUUUAUUAUGAUGCUUACGAACCAUUGAGAAUUGCUUAUCCCUUAAGGUCAUUGUUGCAUGUGGGGCAAAGUUCAUGAUCUUUUUUACUUGCGGCGCACAGAUCGUGCAAUAUCAACUGUGUCAAAAAAUAGGUAUGACUCUCGAGGUUGAACUUGACUUAGUUAUUUCUCAUUUUGUGAAACUCUACAAGUUUGUCUUUUUGACUUAGAACUUGAAGAUUUGACUUUCUCUUUUGGAAUGCAUAAACUCUCUGCACAAACAUUUCAAUUCUUUGAGCAUGAGCCUUGCCUUAGGAAGUUCUCAAUCGAUUGUAUCUUUUAGUUGUUGAUAUAUCACGAUAUGUAAUUAAGAUAGUACAAAUAUGUGACAUGUUAACUAAAACUUAUAAAUAAAUUUUGAGCUAGCUAGAAUAUUUAUGUCCAUCCAUCCACCAAGGAGCAAAAAUAACUCCCCACAACUUUAUUUCAUGCAUGCCUCACAUUUAAUUCCAUAGGUACUGGAAUAUGGUAUAAUAAUAUUAAAGAAAUAGAUAUAAAUUUAGUAAUUAGAUUCAAAAUAAUUAUUCAAAAUUUGUCAAAUUCUAUUGAUGAUUGAAGUUUAUCACCGAUAGAUCAUGUUACAAAUAUUGGUCUAUCAACGAUAGUUUUGCAGUAUUUGUAAUUUUUUUUAAAAAAUGUUGUUAUAUCCUUGAUUAUUAUUCAUAAACUAAAACUUAUACGAGUCUAUUUUUAAAUUUUUAAUAAAAAAAAUGCACUAUCACACCGACGCACUCGAUCAGAGAGACAAAAAAUUGUCUUUCAAAGAGUUUUUUAAAAUUUGAGAAAAAAAAUAGGAUAUAACUCCGUCAAGAUUGACUCCAAAAAACAAAAUUACAAGUUUUCUAAAAUGGUACUACUUUUUAAAUAUAACAUAAAAAAGUACCCAUUUUGUCAAAUCACGGUGAAAGUUUGGUCACGUGUUUCCUAAAAAAAAAAAAAGAAAGAAAGAAAAGGAAAAAAGAAAAAGAAAAGAUUGAUUCACAUUGGUCUUUAUUCCUCCUAUAAUACCAUUGCCUUGAAAGAUUGUCAUUUAAAUAAUAGUGAAUGGGUUUUAUAAGUAAUUGUCAGUCAGUUUUAGACACUAACACUACACCUUAUCUACAAGAUCAAACAAUUUCUACUUUAGGAGACAAAAGUGUUGUUUGAAAAAAGUAAAGGAGAGAAAGACUAGCUAUUAUCAAAUUCUACUAUCCAUCUCAAUUUAUUUCAAGGAGCAAAAUGGUAAUGAAGUGUGAAAUCAUUGUGUCGAACCAACAAGAGUGCCACGGUGGUAUUAGAAAUUUAGGGCAGUGAAAUAUAUGCUACUUAAUUAAGAGUUGGAAAAAUUCAGAGUAACCAAGCUUUAGAACUUAGACUACAGACGAUGCAUUAAUUCAAACUUAAUAAUCUUUCAUCAACAUCCUUAAUUUCAUUUACACAAAAUGAUUCAUCCUUCAUCCCUCCUUUAGAACAAUACCACUCUCCGCUUAUCCAUUCUUUCAUUUCCCUCCCCCUGAAACCGGAGGAGCUUCAGAUCGGUCUCUCCCAAUUUUGUUGUCGUAGUAGUGGUAGACGGCCGCGCCGGAAAGAACCGCUAAGGUCAAUGCCUGAGCAUGCAUCCUAAUUACAAACAAAACCAAAUUAAUAUUUCAUUCUCAAUUUGAAUAAGAAAAAGAGAAUGGGAAAUAGUUACACUACGACUAUUUACUCUAUACUCAUGGGAUAUAUGGGGACAUACACUAUGAUGACUAUUUUAUUUUGCACAAUACUAAAUGUAGAGAAGAGAAGAGUAGUUUGAGGAAUUAAACCUGGCAUGAAUAAGGCGGAGACUUGGCUUGAGGGGAGUUCUUGAUCGGGUAUAGGCCAGCGAUGCUCCAAUCCCAGAUGCCCACAGAGCUCCUAUAAUGUAUAACCCAAAAACAAAGUGAUUAGAUUUAGGAAGAGAGUAAAGAAAAAAGAUUGGGAAAUGGGAAAUAAAGUACCAAUGGUGGUGAGUUUGUGUUCUGAAACCCAAGCUUGAAUAGCUUCCAUUGUUGUUGCUGCUGUUUACUGAACAAAAACACUAAUGAGUUUGAUGGAGAAGAUAGCAAUGAGGAGAGAACUAAAAACAUUAUGUAUAUAUAUAUAUAUAAACUUAGACAGCCCCUUGGUUCAACAGAGCAUUCCUCUGUUUUAGUUGGAAACAAGAGGCUUUUCCAUUUCCGGUUUCUUGUCAAAAUUAGAUAUACCCACCUCUAAUCCCUCGGUUUCUCCCAACCCACCUUACCUUUUCUACUUUUUUCUUUUUUACCACUCUCAUUUUGGAUAUAAUUAUAUUAUAUAAUAAUAAUCACCUUUUUAUUUAUUUAUUAUUAUUUGAUCUAAAUACUACGCCCUAAACUUAGCAUUAUUAACCUCUAAUCACCAUUAAAACAAUUAGGCACCGUCAAGUCAAUACACUGACUUCAAUGCCAGGCCAUGUAUCCAAUACACUACUUAAAGUAAACGUUUACUCGGUACGCAACUUCACCAUUCUAUUUGUUACAAUAUUUUUUCACUCAUCCUAUUGUUGACAAAUCGUACAUAUAUAAGAAAAUUAAAAUUGAAAGCAUGAUAACUAUGAUGCAUCGAUCUGCAUGGUAUUUCCUAUUGAAGUAAUCCCCUUUUAUUUGUUUUUGAAAACAUAUCGAUAAAAAUGUAUAAAGAGAAUCAAUGUUCAAGUUAUAACUUUUAAUACACUAGUACUUAACAAGUGCGAUGCUUAUGAUAUUUAAAAAAAAAUCAAUAAUAGCAAACCUUUAUUGAUAAUAUAAUAAUUACACUUGACUGGCUAUUUUACCAAAUGUUGUUUUGAUUAUGAAAAUGAUGUAAAAAGUUAUUAAAAAGUGUCAAAGUGACACUUACACUCCCCAAACAAACUAAACAAUGGUUAAGAGCAGUUUGGCACCAAAUAAAGAUUCUAAAAAGUACCUAAGUUUUACUGAAUGUGCAAAAGAGUGUUUAACCAACCUUUUGACUUUGAAAACGACAUACAAAAGGGGUAGCUGAGUCAAACUUUGUCAGUGAAACCAUGUAAAAAAAGUUCUUAAAAAGUAUCUAAUUAAUUGAGAUAUUUGGAAAAGAUGAUUGAUUUGAUUGUUUUAAAACCAAAGCUAGCAUUUAGACGUGGGGAAUACCAAAAUGUAUAUUUUGAAGACCAAAAGAUCUAUGAUUCAAAUUUUUCAUUCUCAAUAUAUAUAAAUAUAUAUCAAAUAAGGCAAGUUAGUCUACUAAUAGUUAAUACCACUAGUGGAAUAUUAGAAGUGUAAACAUCAUGAUGUUUGGGGGGAAAUCACCUAAAAAGCAUAAUUCAAAAUCCCAAGGCUUUUAUUUGCGGCGUUGUAUUUGAUCUUUGAGAUGUGGUUUUAGUGGAAAACUAGGGGACCUCAUACAAUUAACAUACACUCCCUCCACCCUUUUUCAAAUGCUUUUCAUUUAAUAAAUAUUAAUGCCUUGCUUUUAUAUUGCCUUCUGAAAAAGCUCAACAAUGUUAACAUUUUAUUCCAAGCUUUGAUUCCCAUUUUCAUCCAUUAUACAAAUUCUUAAAUAGAUAUUUUAUAUCUAAAUAAAUUCUUCCACACCUUACAACUUUUAAUAUUUAUUACACUUUUUAAAUUCCUAUAAAUUUAUUAAAUAUAAAAUUAAAUUUUGUGGAUACAUUUUUUAAAUUAUGUAAUCACAACUCUGAUUCUCGUACAAUAUGUCCUAAAAUGAUUAGUAAGAAAAAUAAAAAUGGUAAAAAGUAAAAAGAAAAUAUACACAUGGUUGGUAACGCACGUUUGGAAAACAAAGAACCUAGAAAUGAUAAUUCACUAAUAUCAAUUAGUUGAGCAAUUACAUUGAUGUACUUAUCUAUAGACUCUCAAGAUUACAAGACAAUUGUAGAGCCAAUUGACAUGAUACUUGGACUCUCCCUUAUCAUAAACAUCAUAACAUGACAUGAAUAUCAAUCAUAAUGUCCUUAUCAUGUGAUUCAUAUUUCAUGCAUCAUAAACAUAUCAAUCAUCCAUAUUCGUCAUACACGUAUCUCAAUCACAUCAGUCAUAGUGUAUCAAUCAUCUAUGGUAGUCAUUCAUAUCUGCCACAUUAUGCACCUUAACUACAUCAAUUCAUAAUGAAAAAUACAUGCAAACUCUUAAUUCUGUUUUGAAAGUCUAGUAGUAGAAUCUCUUACCUCGAUAUUAGCUAAAAAAUGUAAUCCUUUUAUGACAGUCAAUUCAUAAUUAUAGUCAAUCCUAUACAGUAAAGAAACAUCAAAUAUCUUAAUUAAUAAAAUUAACAAUUGACUUUCAUUAAAAAGUUCUCCCAAAUGACCUUACCCAAAAUUGAGGUUGAAACCAACUCAAUUUUGAUGGAAAAAAUUUAUCAUUUAAAUCUUUUAAGAUUUGCGAAAGGAACCAAAAUCAAUUCCAAGGUGAAAUACGUUUUCUUUUUCCCUUAUAUAUAUACAUGUAUGUAUAUAAUUCCAAUAUAUACAUAUAUUUUCAUUUCUAUUAUCUUUUUUCAAUAAAUUUCUUAAAUAUACAAAAUUUUAGGCAUUUAUAACCAUAAAUAAUAAUAAUAAUACUUUAUUAUUAUUAUAUUAUUAUUCUCCCACCAAAAUAUAUAAUAAACAUAUAUAUUUAUUUAAAUAAUUAUUCUCUCUUAAUUUAAUUUAUCGUAUUUUCUCAUCCAAUCCAAUCUAAUCAACUAUCUCUCACGUAAAUAAUUGUCUUAUUUUUCAAUAAUUAUAUAUCAUCAUAUAAUUAACUUUACUUUUCCAAUUAAAUAAAAUUCACAUUCUCUUUUCUCAAUAAGAUUUUCCAUCAAAUCAACUUUUAUCUUUCCAAAAUAAUUAUCUUUUUAGAAAAUCAAAUAUUCCCUCUCUUAUUAAAUCACACAAAAUCCAAUCAAUUUUAUUCUUUUACCAAAAUAAUUACAAUUCAAAAUAUAGUUUUUUUCUUUUCUAAACAAAUAUCUUCUCUCCAAAUAACUGUGCUCCCACGAAUAAUUUAUUUUGGUUUUCUACAAAAUAUAAUAUUUUUCUCUUAAGUAAUUAUAUUUUAACAAAUAUAUAAUUAUAUUUUUUCUUAACAAUUAUAUAUAUAAUAUAUAUAAAUUAUCAAAUCUUAAAUAAAAUUUUCGCUAUUCAAUUUAAUUAAAUAACAUCAAAAUUAUUUAAUAAAUUUCAACUUCUAUAAAACCAAAUAAUUUUCACAACUUCUCAAGCCUCAUACCAUACAAUUAAAUCAAAUUGUAUAAGCUUAUGGGGUAGUUGAGGGGAGAUUGAUAAAGAAGAGAGAAAAUAGGGAUUAUGAUAAACCUAAAACAAGAGUUACGAGAAUCCUUCUCCAAAUCCUUCUCCAAACAAAGGUUGGGUUAUCGUAAUCCUAACCCAAUAGGGAUAACCCUCGGGCCAAAUGGCUUGUUGGAAGUUUUUUUUUUAAAAAGAAAUUGAUUUGAUUUGGAAUGCCUGAUUCAAAAUAUUUAUGAAUAGUUAAAAUAAAAUUUUCCAUUUAUCCAAACUAAACCUUUAAAUUUGGUAUUUUUAUAGUUAAGGUGCCCUCAUCUCUUAUAUGGACGAAUGAGGCCCAAAACGCAAUUAAGGCUCAUAGCAUUGGCCCAUCGGACGCCACCAGAAGAUUCCCCCAGAAGCCGCAAGCGCCAACCACCGGUUCUUUCAAUUCAUUUCACGGUGAACAUCUUUCCCUCUCUCAAAUCUUCUACUCGAAGUUUCAACUUCAACACUAUUUUCCCGCCACCGUCACUGCAUCCUUCCUCUCUUCAAAAUUCUUCACCAUGGAGAUUAUGGAAUACCUUCUUCUCCCUCUUUGAAAUGGGAAGGACCGGAGCAGAUGGAAUCCCAUAAACGAAAUCUCAGAGCUCGAAAACCCCUCGCCGAUUGUACCAAUACAAUCCUCUCCUCCCAAUCGCCAGCUUCCAAUUUCUCCGCAUCUAUCAAACCCCGCAAGCGUGUAAGCAAAUCUGCGGUUAAAGAUGUUGCCAACAACGAGAAGAAACGCGAACCAAUUCUUGCUUCUGAAUCUACAUCCGUUAAUUUGCGAGCUUCAAACCCUAGCUCCGAUUUUCUUCCUACUGAACCUACUUCCGAUGUUCCCACUGCAGAACCAAAUCCUAGUUUUGAUUCUCUUCCUUCAGAACCUAGUUCUAAUCGUUUCCCUACGGAACUCGCCACUCCUCCGCGGCCUUCAGAUUUGCCCUCUAGUUCGGGUAAUUUUACUUUCUGGUAUUCGUUGCUGCGUUAUGAUUUUGGUGUUUGUCCUUGUUUCUCUUUGUGGGAUUACUGCUACUCUAAGCUUUAGUUACUUCAAAUAGGAAUUUAGUUUACUUGAAAUACUACGUUGGAAUUUUUAGGAUUUCAAGCUAUUUUGGGAUUCGUUAAACAUUUUAAGUAGAGGAGAUUUGCUGUUUUACUGUCAUGUUCUUGUGUGCGGUGUUGAAAUUUCUGUGUGGGGGAAGAUUAUGCUUCUGAAUGUCAAUAUUGGGAUGUUGUUAUCUUCAAUUUUUCCAUGGCUUGAAGUAUUGAUAUUAUAUUAUGCUUUAAUGUCAGGAACAGAUGGUGUUUCGGAGCCCCAUACAGUCUACAGUCGAAGGCACCCUUCGAAUAAAAGAAAGAGCGUUGAGAAAGCACUUGAACCAUUUAUUUUUUAUACCGCAUCAAAAAUCCAAAAUGGGUAUGAAGCUCGUUGCACUCUUCUUUACGAGAGAAAAUUUCUUGUAUAUUUAAACCUUUGAUUCGUUUAGUGGAUUGAAUUCCUUAAAUCGAAGGGAUUUAAUCAUAGGUUCAUAAUGUUACUGGGCUAUUAAGAGUCCAAUAGUUGUUUAGUUUCAAAGGAGCAAGUUGCCUGCUCUCUGCAAUAAUUUUCAACCUGGCUCUCCCCUGCUCAGCUUUUGUAAAAAAAAAAAAAAUUAAGCUGUUAUGUAUCCUGGGUUUAUGUGUUGCCUUGGACUAUUUUAACGAUUACUAGUCUGGGUUGAUCUUGUGCUGCUUUGACACUAGCUUUAUCUACAUUGUUGAAAAAUUGCUGCCACCCAAAACAGGAUUUGUCAACAUUUUUCCUGUUUUAUUUUUGUUGGUUAAUUUGUUGCGCCUCAAUUGUGUGACUGCUUUGGAUAUGAAAAGGUUUGGUAUGUCGAGCCUUUCAUAUUUGUAACUUGUAGAUGAUAGCACUAAUACUGCAAUGUUUUUUUCUCUCAAGAUAUGGAUGAAUGGAUACAAGAAUCUUUCUUCUAAUUCCUCUUUAACGGCUUUUUACUCAUUUUAUGUUAAUUGUUCCCUUGCUUUUAUGCAGAGGUAGAAUAAGAGAUGACAACAAUAGCCCAUCGAAAGCAAGGACUGUUCCUUGCAAUAAGGUUUGUCUGAAAAUAUAGACGGCCCUUUUUCUAUCUGUUGAUCUAAAUUUGGGGCGGCAUACGUGUGUUGUAUCCUUAUCUUUGCUCCUUGAGUCUUUAGGCCGUAAUUUGAUGCUUGUUUUUGAAGUCAGCAAAAUAUGUGCUCUGGCCUUUCUCUCAGAAAUGUGAUGUUAUCUGUUCUUAUCUAUACCACAAUAAUGAGCUUUGAUCUUGAUUAGUGAUUAAUUAGUAACAUUGUACAACGUAAUUUUUGGUCAUGGUUUGCUUAUAUUUUUUACGGGAUUGUUAAAUUGAUUUGAGACUGAUUUUUUAUUCUUUAUAAAGAAUGGUAAAUACCUGGAAUGAAACGGCAGAAAUAGCACCCCCACCCCCCAUUCAGUAGUCUUAACAGUCAAGAUCACUGCAUCUCAGUUUUAGAAGCUUUACUUUUUAUAAUGUGAUGACCUGACAAGUGUGGUAAUCGACCAAUUGGUGUAUUUAAUAGUUUCACAUGUUUCCCACUUGCCAUUACCAUUUGUUAGCAGUCAGAUACUGGCCCUAAAUCAUUGCUCAGCAAAUUAAUCUAACGAUGAGUAGCUAUUGUUCUGGCAGAGGCUGCGUGCCAAUGUACAUGAGGAAGAUGAUUCCAAAAUAGAGCUUCCAAGGGAAUUUGUUGAACAGCAGAAAACAUAUUUUUCAGAAGUAGAUGCAUUUGAACUGCCCGUAGAGGAGGCUAAGUCAUCUGACUCGGAGUAGAUGGUUGUUCUGUAUAGUAUGUGUGAAGCAUAGGCAAUGUAACCCUUCAAGUUAAUAGUUUGUAUGGUGAAGCUAAGCUGGUAAAGUUGAUGUUCAUUACUCAUAUAAACGGCUUGCUUACUUCUAUCAGUCAAUGCAGGUGUUGUUUUCUCCCUAAACUCUUCAGAGAAUCUUUUACCUUUUAGUGUCUUUUUAAUCUUUUUUCUUUUGCUGUUAGGCUGAGAAAAUUAGAAUACCUAAUCACAUAGUUUUGAACCUCAACAGUAACAUUUGCAAAAAGAAGUAUUCAAAUCGUGGCUGUAUUUGGAUAGAUUAAUAGGGCUUUGAACCGGAUUAGAAAUCUUAAAUAACUACCUGACUAGAGAUCAAAGUGGAGAGUGUUUGGCCAAUUGAAAUAAGAAUCUAGUCAUUGGGGUUUGUAGCUAAAUGGAAAAUGGUGAGUUUGAAAUGAGAGGCUUGAAUUAAUUUAGCCUUGUAGCUAUAAAACUAACGUACUUUGAUUAUGGUGGGGUUUAAUUUAGCGUAGCCUUUGUAACUAAUAGAACUAAUGUGGUUUGAUUAUGGUGGAAUUAAUUUAGCAUUUGUAAUUGUAACUAUAGAAAUGGAGAAUGAUGGGUCAGUACAUGUAGCCUUCUAUUUUACUUAUUUAUUUGUUAUUCCUAGUGAAGUGAGUGAGUUUGAAAUGAGGGGCCGGAAUUGUCUCAUUUUAAUAAUUUGUGUAGCUUGUGCGUAUCUGACUGAAGAUCAAUUUGAUUUGUUUGGUAAUUGGCUACUCAUGCUGCCUAAGAUCUCUUUGCAACGAUUCUGUAAUGUUUAAUUGGAUUAUAAAAAAAUUAUUUCUGAAUCCUAUGUGGAUGACUUUUUUUAAAAAAUAAUAAGAAAAGAAAAAAAGAAUGUAAAUAUGUAAGCCCUUAUACUUGGUCAACAACGAUGAGCUCCAGCAGACUAACUUUUAACAAUCUAGGUUGUUUGACCCCUGUUUGGAACUUCUAUCAUAACAGUUGGUGUUUCUAAUCUCUCUUUCAAAUCUAUUCUUUUUAAUAUGUUCUCUUUCUCUAUUACACUUAUUACUGUAUUUGAUAUACAAAAUUAUAAUAGUUUGUAUCUUAACGGAGUUAUUAUAGUGUGUUGAUUGUAGUUAUUAUAGUCUUUUAUAGCUCUUAUCUCAUCGAACAUCUUUUUGUUUAGUUAACCAUGUUUAAUUCAUCUUGAGGGUUCGUUUGGAUCUCAAAACUCAACUUCAAUGGGAUGGAUGGAUCACUACCGCUAAGUCAUUGUUCGGCCUUUCAAUUAAAUCAACUAUUGUAACUUUUAAUUAACUAAAGUAUUUCUAAGUUUUGUUUUAUUAUAAUGUUCAAUUGUCAGUUUUUUUCUAUCAAUUUUAUCUGUAUCUUUGUUAACAUCUCAAACGUAGAUUAUUAUACAUACUAUAAUAACUAAUAAAAGGUGCUGAGAAAAAAAAGAGAUAUGAGAGUCAACCGCGUGAUAUAAAUAAAAAUAUGAAAUAAAUGGGGGAUUGGAAGUGAAAAUUAAUUUUCUUAUCUCAUUAUUAUUGUAGUAAUCUAUUGUGCAGGUUGUUAAAGCAAGCUUCAACUAUUAGAGAAUUAUAUUUAUUAGAUUACCUAAUUUACUUUGUUUUUCAAAAUUUUCGGCUAAGAAAAGUAAAUACUUACAUAGCCUUCGUUCUUCACUUUUCAUCAAUUUAUCCAUUGCCAAGUCCCUUCAUCACCCUUUUUUAAACGCUGCCUUUUGUGUUAAUUGUGUGUGCAAAAUUCUAUCCUCUCUACAUGGGUCAGCUUUGAAACCUUCCUAUUUUCUUAUUUUCUACACCAAAACUUUUCUUUUUGGAUAUUUAAAACUUCAGAUUUCUUUUGUAUUAUUUUAUUUUCUCAAGUGUUUUUCUUUUAAUGAUGAUUGAUGUUUCUAGCCUGUGAGCAAUGACUUUUCUUUUAAUUUCUUUUUUAGAUAAUUUCAAAUUAUUUACUCUCUUCCGUUCUAAAGUUUUUGUUUUUUAAAAUUAUUAAGUGAGUCUUUUAAUUUUUUAAUUUUAGAGUUUCAGUUAUUGACUAUAUUUUUAGGAUGAAAUUGUGGCAGUUGUGUCUUAUGAGAUGUUUGUUGACUCGGUCAUUAGAUUGUUGGAUAUUGUUCUCAUAGUUAUGUUUCCUUUGUGGGCUCUCCAGAUUGUAGCCAUGAUUUGAAUUUGUUUCUUAUUUUUCGUUAUGUUCAUUUUUAAGAGAAUAUAGUUCUAUGUUUAGUGUUUUCGUUUUGAAGAACCUUUGUGAUAUUGUUGUGUUUGUGGUGUAAAACAGAAGUGUGUCAAUUCUAUGCGAAGUUUGUAUUAUUUUUUGAUUGUGAUAGUUUUGUGGAUUUGGUGAACCGUUUACUACAUAUUGAAAAGGAUUUAUCAUACCUAGAGGAGUCUAAAUAUUAUGUGAGGUGAUCUUCAUUUGAGGUGGGAAGAUAAAAGUUCUUGUUGGAAGGAGAUCUCACACGCAGAGAAAUUUAAGUGACCAUUCAGUAAUGUUAUCACACUUAGGAUAAUGUAAACCCUAAUGCCCCUUAACCCUAAAUUUCUUUGAAAGGUGUCUCACAACUUAAGAGAGCUUAAGUGAUCAUACACUUGGUUUAGGUUACAGCGUUGUAGUCACUGAACUUUAUAUACGUGGGAUUAUCUUUCCUUGGUACACUAUCUACUAAACAUAGAUGAUAUUGCACCAAACUGAAUUAUCAAAUGUUGUAUUUUGUUUUUUAGUAUUUCUCUUAGUGUUUUUUUCAUAUGUCUUUAAAAUUGUCGUAAGUUUGUAACAUUGCAUGUAAUGUGUUUAUCUUGUAUUUCAAGAAGUUUUUAAUCAAAUAAAGUUAAGUCUACGUGGAGUCUACCAUAAAUAGAUAUUGUUAUAUUUGUAAUUAAUAUACUUGUCCUAAUUUAAAUACGAGUAGAAGUUUGAAAUUAUCCCAUUCAUUUAAAGUAAAGUAAAGGGAGAAUCAAAUAUUUAAUCAUGACACAAUCAAAACAUGCAUGCAUACAAAAAGUAAAACUUGAAUUGUAUUAGCUCAAUUUUCUUUUGCUACUUUUUUUAUUUCCAAUUAAUUAAUUACUUUAUCAAUCACUUUUAAGUGUAAAGAAAAUAGUUAGGCAUAACUUUUAUUUUUCAACGUUAGCAUCUUUGAAGUUUCAUUGCAGUUUUUAACCAUUAUAUUAGAGUUCCAUGCAAAUUUACAUAACAUGGGGACCUCAACCUUUUGACUUUACCAUUUCCAUAUAUUAAAAUUGGCAGUGUUGUUUGACAAAAACACACUCUCUCUUUUUUGCCUUCUGAUUUUUGUUACUUUUCAAAGUGUUGAAAUUUUAGAAAAAAAAUUGGCUCUUCCAUGCAAUUCCAUUUCUACGAGUUAGGUUCACCUGCCAAAGCUAUGGAAAUCCAAGAAUUUCUUUCUCCCCUUUAUAAAAAGCCCCCAUACUCUCUUCUUCUUCUUCAUCAACACUACUUGGAAAGUUGUUGAAAAGUUUGUGGGUUCUUGUAACAAAACAAUGGCUGAUUUAGGAUUCAAAACAGUUUUGAUUUUGACUUUGGGUUUCUUUUUGCUCUUUUUGGGCAAUGUAUCAGGUCAACUUUCUACUGGCUUUUACUCUUCUUCUUGUCCAAAUUUGUUGUCCACUGUCAAAUCCUCUGUUCGUUCUGCUGUCUCAAGUGAAGCUCGCAUGGGAGCUUCAAUUCUUCGCUUGUUUUUUCAUGAUUGUUUCGUCAAUGUACUUUUCUUUCAUAAAACCCUUCUUCUUCUUUUUUUUUUUUGGUUUGUUUCAAACUAAGUUUGGGUUCUUUUUCCCCUGCUUUUAAUUAUCAUUUGUUUUGUUUGGAGUUUAGGGUUGCGACGGGUCAAUUUUGUUAGACGACACGUCGAGCUUUACCGGAGAGAAAAAUGCUAAUCCUAACAGAAAUUCUGCUAGAGGCUUUGAUGUUAUUGAUAACAUCAAAACUGCUGUUGAAAAAGCUUGUCCUGGUGUUGUUUCUUGCGCUGAUAUUCUCGCUAUUGCUGCUCGUGAUUCUGUCGUUCUCGUAAGUCGUCAUAGUUUUAACUUGAUUUAACUUAAUUAUAUAAUAAAAUUAGUAAUCUUUCUAAUUUGAUUAAACUAAACAAAUAUUGAAACUAGAUUCAACAGAAAUAAAUCUUAAGUAAAAGACUUGAAGUGAUAAUUUGAGUUUUGUGACAAAUGUAGCUAGGAGGGCCGAGUUGGAAUGUGAAGUUGGGAAGAAGAGACUCUACAACUGCGAGCCAAUCCCAAGCGAACAAUGACAUCCCCGGGCCAACUUCAAGUCUUAGCCAACUCAGCUCUAGAUUUAGUGCUCUUGGACUUUCCAGUACUGACUUGGUCGCUCUUUCAGGUUCAUAUUUAUUUUUAUGUACUUUUGACUUUCAUUCAUUCUAGUUCAAGUCAACAUAUUUAAAGAAAAAAAAAAAACUCUUUGAUCAACAAACGAAUUAAAAUUGUUAGCUCUUAAAAAUAGAGGGAUCUAAAACUAAACUUAUGAAGUAAAAUGAACGAAAAGUGAGAUUACAAGAACUAAUUAUGACGGUCACAUUGAAUAAUUGAUGUUAGGCGGACACACAAUCGGACAAGCGCGUUGCACAACAUUUAGAAGCAGAAUAUACAGUAACAGCUCAAACAUUGAGAGUUCAUUUGCAAGAACAAGGCAAAGCAACUGCCCCAACACCUCAGGAACUGGAGACAAUAAUUUGGCUCCUUUGGAUUUUACUCCAACCUCAUUUGAUAACAACUACUACAAGAAUCUUGUUCAAAACAAGGGCCUCUUACAAUCUGAUCAAGUUCUCUUCAACGGCGGAUCUACCGAUUCCGUUGUUCAAAAUUACGCAAAUGCUCCUGCCCGUUUCUUAUCUGAUUUUGCUGCCGCCAUGGUCAAGAUGGGAGACAUCGCUCCUCUUACUGGCUCCAAUGGUCAAAUUAGGAAGAACUGCAGGAUGGUUAAUUAAAUUUUAAGAAAUAUUAUGAACAAUAAUGUUGUUUUGUUAUGUUCUAGUCUUUUCUUUAAAAGAAAAAAGAAGAAGUUGUUUUGAAAGAAGAACUUUUUGUUCAAGCUUUGAUUUGGGUUUUAUGUUUAUGAUCAUUAAAGAACUUUUUAAUACUAAGAUUAUGCAAUCAUGAUGUUGGCUGUGUUGUUUUUUCAUUGAACUGUUUUUGUCUUCUCCAAUUGAAGAUGGAUUGACCAAUUGUUCAUUUUCUAAUAUGGAAAGUAAUUAUUAUUUGUUGUAACUGUAUUUUAAAAAUAAUUUUGUCCAAAAUAUGUUAAAUUUCAAAGUCUAGUAGUUUGUUUCAUCAAGACAACCUUUUCCAUGAGACAAUACCGCAUGGAAAAGGUUAAUUUCUAACCUCUUUAUCAUUAUGCUUUUAAUUUCACUUAAAAUUUUCCGUACUGAUAGAGAUAAUUAUACCAAUUGUAGUAUAAUAUAAUUAUAUUCCAAUAUAUAACGUGUUUUAUUGAAUGGAACUCAACCAUGAAUUAUUCAAAGCUUAUAAUUGCAGCUUUGUUGGGUUGAUGUUCAACUCUUAGAAAUUAAUGUACUAAUACGUCAAUUAAAAUAUUAUUGAUUUGUUGAGAAAUUAUUAUUUAAUGUCUUGAUUUUAAUUACCUUGAAAUAGUUAAAAAGCUAAAAUAAGAGACAACCAACAAAUAUAUCAUAUUCAUCCAUAUUACCUUUUAAAAUAGUGAUUGGGUUAUAGACAAUAAUGUACUUGUAGAAAUUACCACAAUUGCAAAUAAAUAAACGUUUUCUAUAACAAAACAUUAAUAACUCAAAUUAAUAUUGCACACUUAUGAACUAUUUGUCUCAUCUCCAAAAAAUAAAAAAUGAAUGAAAACAAAUAAUUAUAAUAAUUGAUUAACAAACAGACAAAAGGGUUAUAUAGUAGGAAGAUGCCAAUGCUUUAAGCAAUCCAUGACUGCAGUACUAUGACAUAGUACCAAAUUCCCCAUUAAUUAUAUUAGUGAAGAAUCCAAUGAAGUUUUUUCUUUUAUUUCACUAAUGUUAAAAUUGAAAGUUAGCCUUAGCCAGCUAUGGAGUUUGGGUUGGUUUUUAGCCCUAAAUCAAAUCAAAUAAAACCCAAAAAUUAAAUCGAGAGACGUUUGUGAUAAAAAGUUAAAAGUUGAUUAUUAUAAUAUUAGAUUAUUAUAAUUAGAUUAUAUAUUAGUAUGUGUUUGAAGUGUAGAUUAUUUUAAUUUAGAUUAUAAUAGUAUAUGUGGGAGAUAUUUAAACUAUUUUAAUUUGAGAAAAAAAUAGUAAACACAUAGAAUAAAAGUUUUGAAAUAGCCUAAUUGCAGUAAAUGAAAAAUAAUAUUGACUAUAGGAAAUGUGAUUAUUAUAAUCUGAAUAUAGCUAUUGGCCCAAAUGCCUCUUAAUUAAUUGGUAAAACAAAAGGUUUUGGGCAUGAGGCAAAUAUUUUAAUAUUUUAAACAAAUUUGAUUUAAGAAAAUUAAAUUUUCAAAUAGUUAGAAAUUACUUCAAAUUUCUUUUAUCAAAUUCAUUUUGUAUUCUUACCAAAUAUUAAUUACUUUCCUAGCAUGUGAGACCAUAAUUUUGUAUAGAUAUAUUGUGGUUUUUAUCAAUAUUUUUACAUGAUCGACAUAGAAGUAAUUAAAAUUGAGAAUUUCAUUAUAUACAUGGUAGAAAAAAAAUAUUGAAACAUAAGAAAGAAAGCAAUAAAAUAUGGAUAAGGUAAAUAUAACAUAAAAUAAUAAAAAUAACCUAAAUUUAAACUUACAUACAAAAAAUUAAAGUAUAGGAAAAAGGAAUGCACAGGCUUCAUUCUAUAAACUCAUCCUUACAAAUAUUAUUGUGAUGUUGAGAGAGAUUAAGUUAAGUAAUCACCCAUUAAUACGAUAUUAAUAUUAAACAAAACACCGACUAAAACCCCAUGCAUGUGCAACUGAAACACCAUAUAUAUUAACAAGUCAAAGUCAAACACAAUUUAUUUCACACACCUCACAUCCAUGUAGACUUGGGUUUCAUUUCAGGUCAGCAUUUGGCCUAAACACAACCACUCCACUUCUUAUUUCAUUCAAGAUCACAAGAUCGUAGCCCACACCCACAAAUUAAAAAAAAAAAAAAAAUCAAUUAGUUAUACUCUUUCUUUUUUCUUUUCUAAAUCCUCACAAUUUCAGAACUUUUAAUCUUAAAAUUGCAGCACACAAAAACAAAAUAAAAGGGAAAUUAUAGGUUUGUGAAGGUUACAUUGAAAAGUAAGUUUUUGACACAUAAUUUAGAAACAGUAACAUUUUUGUUGAAAUUACUUUGCUAGUGUUUUGGGUGAUUAAGUUUUUAGUAGCUUAGCUAAUAAAAAGUGAGAGAAACAGAAUGAUGAAAAGUAAUAAAAAUAAUAAAUACUUUACUAUUUUCACUCAACAUAUAUAUCAGUCAUCUCAAACAAUAACACACACUAGGAAUAAUAAUUAGUUUAACCAAAGUAGGAGAUAUGUUGAGUACUUGUUGGGACAAUAGGGUUAAUUAAUUCAACGACGGUGGUAGAAGUGGCAGUAGUAAUAAUGGGAGGGGAAAAGACGGAGGAGGAGGAGGAGGAAGGAGGAAGAGGUGGUGGAAGAGAGAGCGGAGGCGGCUGAGAAUGAGGCGGAGUUGGCGGGGCAACAGGCGGGGUAGCAGCGGGGGAGGGGGCCAUGAAAUUAGGAGAAGAAGGGAUAUUGAUGGGGUGAUGAGUAAAUUUGUAUUUGAAAAUUUGAGUAGUAAUGGCAUUGAGGUCAGAUUGUAAAGUAUGAAGUUGGUGUUGAAGAGCAGAGAUGGCUCCCAUGCAACCGUAAACAGGAUCUCUUAGCCUUAGAUUUGCUUCAUAAACAAGGCUAUUUGCUGCGUCCGCUCUUUGAUUCUCCGGUACUUCCUACAUAUAUCCAUGUAUAUAUUUCACUUUAUUAUUAACCCAUUCUCAUUUUUUAAUUCAACAAUUGCAUGCGAAGAUGGAACUAGAAACCAAAAUGUCAAACUAACUGAAGAUAUAACUUUUAAUUUUCCAUCUGGUUUUAAUGCCACACCAAAUACUUUGAAUGGAUGAAACACGAACUUAAAAUGAGAAACCAAAGUGUAUUAUGAACUUUUCAAAAUAAAAGUAAUUAAAUCAUAUAAAUUAUCUAGACAAAACUACAGUAUUACUAGAUCUACCAUACAUAUUUGUCUACAUGUAAAUUUAAAACUAUAUACAUAAAUGAAAAUUAAAAGUUAGAUCUAUACUUUUUAUUAAUUUAAUAUACCUAUCACUAGAUCUAUGUAUACAACUAGCAGAAUUUGAUAACCAAAAUGAGAUUCAAAAGGACAAUUAUUGAGAUAUUAAAAUUAAAAAUAAAAAGAAGAAGAAGAAAGAAGAAGAGAGCUGAAAAAAAAUGAGAUUAGGGUUCUUACCAUUAGCAUCUUAGCAACGUUGCUAGCACCAAAAACCUUAUGAACAGAAGCAAAUUUGUGUGGUUCAUGUGGAGAAAAAUAAGGAGAAAAUGGACAUUCUUGAGCACAUCUUCUUCUUAGAAGCUUACAAGCUGCACAUGGUGUUAUUGUAUUCAAAUUACUGAUCCCACUACUUUGACUGCUACUACUACUGCUCAAAAUCAAAUUAUUAUUGUUGUUAUUAUUUCUUCUCCCCAUUAAAUUAGGAUCAUAGAACAAAUUACUACUUUCAAUUUCUCUCUUUAUCUUCUUCCCUAUCUCGUCCACUUCUUGUAAUUCCCUGCGAAAUCCCAAAUCAAAAUAAAAAUUGAUCAUUCAAGCAGAGGAAAAAUCGAUAUAUAAUUAAGAAGAAUAUAAAUUAAUUAUAUAUAUACCUUUCUCUUGACAUUCAAGCAUUCACUUUUCUGUCCCCAAUUGAACGAAAGAAGAAGAAGUAGAAGAGAGAAGGGAUUUUUAGAUGAAGAAGAAGAAUGCGAAGAAGUUAAACUUGGGAAAGAAAGGGAGUGUACUUAAAAGGCAAGAUAUAUAUAUAUAUAUAAAUAAUAAUACUAGGGUUGUAUUGUAUGUUAAGAAAGAAGAGUGAAAAAAUAUGAAUGGGACUGGUGAAAUUCUUAUUUAUAAUAUGGGAACUUGAGAAAGAUUGAAUAUGGGAAUUUUGUUUUAUAAAUAUUAAUUAAUCGUAUUUAUGAAUAUUAAUGGGGAAAGGCAGUGGAAAAUAGAGGCUAAUAUAUAUAUAUGUGUGUGUGUAUAUAAUAUCUUAUGACUGCAGCCUCACGUGUGGCUUCUUAAAUGCAUUUUGACUUUUCAUCCAUGUGAGAACACAUUUUGCUUUCUAAUCUCUCUAAACCAAAUACAUCCCCCAAUUUGUUUGAUGGUGUAAACUUGGAUCAAAUAGCAUAAUCGAUAAUAAUAAUAAUAGGCAAAAUGAUAUCGUCAGAAAAAUAAAAAUUAAUAUAGUAUGAUUAGAUGGGUCCAGAAGUCCAAGCCAACGUGUUCGACCUCAACCAAGAUCAAAACCUCUCAAAUAUAUUAUUAUACCUCUAAAAUAAAUAAGCUUAUUCUUAAUCUUAAAACUGUAACCUUUUACAUUUUUUUCUACCAUUUGGUUUCAGUAUUAGAGUUCAAGUGAAUAGCAUCACACCCAUGCAUGUAGAAUCAAUUUACUAUUGUCAAGUAAAUGUUGGACUAAAUCUUUUUCACUAGCCAUUUGGAUUUCAUCAUCGACACUAAUAAUAUAUAUAUAUAUAUAUAUAUAUAUAUAUAUAUAUAUUAUUAAAUAAAUAUAUGAUAUUGGACUAUUCGAACUUUUUAAUAUGUUCAUUGAAUUGAAUGCUGACUAUAAUUAGUUAGUAACUUUUUUUUUGUUUUGUUUCCAAAUCUAACACUCAGUUCAUGAAAUAUAUAUAUAUAAACCAAACAAAAACGUUGUUAAUUGAAUACUUAGUGGGGAGACCAAAAUUCUUGUUAAGUAAAUGGGAUCUUUUUUCUUUAAAAAGAAAAGUAAAUGGGAAUGAAUAUGAUGCAAUGAAGUUAUAUCAAUUAAUAGACAGUUUCACCAAACUUUCAACUUUUUCUAAAACUCCAGGAAAAAAAAAAACACUUUGGAGUUAAAACUGACUGCGAAAUUAAUAAUACUAAUGAAUUGAAUUGAAUUGAAUGAAAUUAAAUCUCUCAAUUAAUAGUUCCAAACAUCAUUAAUUAAUAAAUUAAACUAAGCACACAAUGCAAAUAUAUGGUUUUCUAUGAUUAGUAAACAUUUUGAAAUUAAAUGAGCAUUUUUGUAGUGUAACUCAACUAUAUAUAGGGAAAAAAAACUAGAAGACAAAAACUUUCCAAACUUUCUAUUUUGAAUUUAAUAAACCCUUAAACAACAUACAUAAGACAUAGAUCUAAAUACAUACUUAAUUUUCAAAUUUGUGUCCAAUUUAAUUUUUAGCCUAUUCGACCAUUUUAAUGAUUAAAAAACUUCGUUAUAUUAUACAUAUGUUGGUGGUUGAUUAAUUUAUGGAAGGCUUAAAAUCUAUGAGUAGGUCCUCAAGUCCAAGAAAAACUGGAAAGCAGCAUAGUGAAACAUAUGUUCUAAAAGAGAAAAGUCAGAAUUUGGAACUUGAGAAAUAAAAUAAAUACAAAAUAAAGUAAUUAAGUGAGAUUGUAAAAGAAAGAAAUGUUUUUCACUUGGUUGGUGUGUAGUAGUUUCUAGUCAAAAUCAAAAUCCCACAACAAAUAUAAUGGUUCUUUUGAAUAUUUUGAUAAUAAUAGAUUUUGAUAAUGUAGUUGAGAUUCUUGGUGUGUGUCCACAAGAGAGAUCAUUCACCAAAAGACUCAACCAUUUGUCACUCAUUUGCGUAUGCAAAGAAAAUGACUUAACACCCUUUUGGCCUUUUCUUCCCAUAAACAACAAAUAAAAACACACUAAAUUACCAUAUAUAUCUUUUUAAUAUAUACAACACAUCAUAAUAAUCAUAAUUAACAUAUAUAUAUAUAUAUACUUCACUUACUAAUUACUUACUUACUUGAUCCAUGAUAAUGGAUAAAUUUACACACACUAGCUUUCUGAUCUUUCUCCCCCACCCCCCUACAUUUUUCAUAUAUAUAAAUUAAGAGAAUAAUCUUAUGUUAUUAUUUUUGUUUGUAAAUGGAAUAUAAAAGAGAUCAAUUAGAUUUAAGUUUCUUUUCUUUUCUUGUCAAAUGACUAAUGUAGGGUUUUAAUGUUUACUUAGGUUUGUGAAUUUGAGGAGGGUCAUGUCAAAGUGGGUGGUGAAAGGGAGAGAAAAGGGAGAGGAGAGGAGAGGAGAGGGGGGAUUUUUCUUUUUUUAAUACAUUAUAAAUAUUACAUAUUAGGGAUUUAGAGAAGGAAGUAUUUAAUUAUAUUGUGAAGAUGAUAUUAUAAAAAUAAAUAAAUAGAAUGCUUAGACUGUAAGGAAAUAUAACACUAUCCCUUCUUGUUUGACCCGUAUUUUGAGCCUUACAAUUCGCUACCUUGUUCUUUAUCUCUCUCAUUUCCCAAACCUAACUUUCUCUCUAUCUCUCUCCUCAUAAUUCUUUACACUUCAUACCAAAGCCUAGAUGCUACCAUAAACAAAUAUUUGGUUUCAAAUUUUGUUUGAUUAAAUUAUAAAUUUUGUCAUGUGCGUGCUUGACACGUAUCAUUUGACCAAUCUGUUUAAUAAACAUUUAUGUUUACGUCUUGUUGUCGACACAUUUGUUGAUAAAGACAUUGAAAUAAUGAUUUAUGUGUCUAUUAAUUAGUGGUUUUGAGUUUGUAUCACGUCGUGACAACGCAACUUAGACUAGUUUAGGGUUUAGGCCAAGUAGAGAAGAAUGUUGAAAGAUUUGCGACGAGGUGUGAUUCAAAGUCGUUUUCAAAAUGGUUAAACAUUGGUUAUUUGGUUAAAAUAUUGUAAUAAUGUAUGAAACACCUGUUAUUAAUAAAGUAUACAUUUUGGUUUGUAUUUAUUUUGCUUGGUGUUACAUUGACCACCGUCGCAUAUUGAGUAUGUUGUUAAUAGUUUAAAAGGAGUUGAGAAUAAGAUUUGCGAUAAGAAAAUUUCAAGGUUGCAACUCACUCAUAUCCUAUUCCCACUACUUCGACGUUUUAGUCGCAAUGCGGUUUGAGGUGUGACAGUAAGUUAAUCUUAAUCCUAAUCUAACUAUGAACUUCUGUUCACACGAAAUUAUUCUUAAAUUUGCGUAGGUGAGGACAUCUCAAUGGCGUGACCCAAUACGUCUCCAAUUUUAAGGAUAAGAUCGGGUGGAUUGCUAGGAACAUAGGGUGCAAGACAUAAUUCACUCCUAACCAUUUUAGGGAUAGUAGAUAAGUCGUUCCCUUAAGGACUAAAUCCAAGUCUUGAACAAGGGCCCCACCUUGUCAUUGACUCGAGAAAGAUUCAGUUUAUAGGUUGGACCUUAAACCAAUUGUUCAAUAAUAGAUUAGUGAGACUUUGACCCAACCGAGAUUACGAACAACCUGUGAAUGAUUAACUUACUUAUAAUGGUUAUAUCACAUGGACACAAAGUAUAUCUAUAGUGAAGGGAGUGCAACUACAAGACUUCAGUGGAAUGACCCGUUAAUUAACGAAUGUUGAUUAACUCGGUCUAAAGAGUUUAGUUAGUUAAUCUCAUAUCGUUGAAGCCCAUGAUCUAUAGGUCCAUUAGAUUCCUCCCCUAGCUCACAAAGAGUUGUUCAAAUUAGGUACACUACAAUAAAUGAGACCUCUUCUGACGCGUAAAAUCGUCGGAAGAUAUAUGAAAUGCGUCGGAAAAGCUUUUCCGAUGCAUAACAAGUUAUGGCAUCGAAAAUUCCUAAACAUCUCGUAACGUUGUAUGAACGUUGAAGGAUACUGUCAAUAUGGCAUCGGGAGAUGUCGCGGAACUCCCAACGCACAUGGUAAGAACUUUUGAACAAAAUCACUAAAAUAAAAAUAAUUACGGGACAAUUUUUAUUAUAUAAUAUUACCAUAAUAGAAACAAUCGUUUACCAUAUAUACGUAGGAUAUCUAGUAAAUUCAAAUAUUAAUCAUGGUUCACUUUUAUUUUUUUAAUAUAUUAUUAAUAAGAAAUACGAGUAAAUGAAUGAUUUGAGGCUUAUAUCUAUAUUAAAUAUUAGUCCAUUUAGGAUUUUUUUAAAAAUUUAGGUUAAUUUUAUAAUUAUAUGGUACAGUUUAGGAAGGUUAAAAACUGAAGUUGAAUCUCUAAAUUAGGUGGACCAACUGUUCGGGUGAGUACACAACUGAAAUUGGCUCAUGGAUCUUGGCCCAAAUGAAAAUUGUUAUGUAAGCCCAAAUUUGUUGAAAAGAUUUGACUAGUUAUGGGCUCAAAUUUAGGCAAAUGGCGCCGCCUACCGCCACAAAUUUCAUCUACAAUCCAAUCCCUCCAAAUUAAAAAGCACAAUCCGCUAUCCUUUCACGCGGAUCGACCUUUCACACCGUCGAUUCAUCUCGAAUCCAACGAACAAUAUGCUUCCCUGUCAAAACACCUUCAAAAGCCGCGCAUCUAAUUACACAUUUUGUCUCCACUAUAAAUUCAACCCAACAACUCUCAUCCAUCACCAAUUUCAAAAUUUCUGAUUAAUCCUAUUCCAUACUCUUCCAAAUCAAGCUCCGAUAAUGUCCGGCCGCGGCAAGGGAGGCAAGGGUUUGGGAAAGGGAGGAGCCAAGCGUCACCGCAAAGUCUUGAGAGAUAACAUUCAAGGUAUUACAAAGCCUGCAAUUCGCCGUUUGGCUCGUCGUGGCGGUGUCAAGCGAAUCAGCGGUUUGAUUUAUGAAGAAACCAGAGGUGUUUUGAAGAUCUUCCUUGAGAAUGUUAUCCGUGAUGCUGUGACUUACACUGAGCACGCUAGGAGGAAGACGGUGACCGCCAUGGAUGUGGUUUAUGCUUUGAAAAGGCAGGGAAGGACUUUGUACGGUUUCGGAGGUUAGGUUGUAGAUUAAUCCAAUGGAGGAUUGUAGAUCUUGGCUUUAGAUCUGGUUUUUCUUUCUUAGCGUUUAUAAAUUUUUUCUUCUCUUUUUAGGAUUUCAUGUACCCUAGUCCCUGUUAUUCAGUAAUUGAAAUAUUACUCGAAUCAUGAUUCCACCUUUUCAUCUCUCUCUUCCUUCAAUUUGUUUCGUUCUUAGGGUUCAUAUAGUCUGGUAUUGUUGGAUGAUUAAUAUUUGGUGCAUUGUGUUCUGUGAGUGUAUAAAGAUAAUGAAUAGGCAUUGAAGCUAAAUUUCGGCAUAAACCAGUUGAAUGUUUAUGAUUUGAUCAAUGGUUAUGUUCGUUAGAUUUUGAAUUUGGGAUGUAUGCUGCGGUGUUCUUGACAUCUUUCUAAAUUUGAGUUAAGACUUGGUCUACUCGAAUAGAGAUUCAUGGGAAUUUUUGAUAGUGGAAGGCGUUGGUAUAUUGGGAGAUUUUUGGUUUGUUGUUAAAUACAACGAUUUGAUUAUUCCACUCUCAUUAGAUACCUAAUCCUCCACUAACUGAACUAGUUUAGUUUUAAGGUUUUAAUUAUACUGUCUACCGCCAUUAAAGCAAAGAGGAGUAGAAGAUUAAUUAGUAUUUCAAUUAAGGAUUGUUGAGUACUUUUGGUUAUGUUAAAUUCAUUUAUCGGAAUGACCAAGAAUGUGUUCAUUUCGGCCAAAUCCCACAUCUGAAUUCUUUUGGCUAUCAUUGUGAUGUUCUAUCUCUUCAUAAUCUUCCUGAUUCUCCAUCAUAUAUUCGAUAACUUAAUGGUGGUUUAAGUUAAGUUCUUUGAUAGACAGUCAAUUAGCUAACACAAAUAUAAUGCAGAUUAGUAAUAUAAUGAAGAUUAGUUUAAAUUUCUAUUUGCUUGCUCCCUAGGUUCUAAGCAAAAUUAUUCUAAAAUCCAAAGUCAGCAAAACACAAAUAUAAUGUAGAUUGGUGUAAAAUCCCAUUAAAAUUAUUCUAAAAUCCGAAGUCAGCAAAACUGAACCAACAAAGAAUAAUCAGUAUUUAAACUUGAGCAACAUUGAUAUGAGAUGCCCAAAAAAACCCAUUUAACGUAUUUUUCGGUCUAUUUCGGUUGGGCAGGACAACGAGAUUGUGCAUUAUGUCAAUGACCAAAAUACCCUUGAAUAGGCGUGAUCAUUGGUCGGGUGGGAGUAGUUUUGUUCAAAAAUUGCCUCUCCAUCUCGAUCAAUUUACAAGGCGAGAAACCGACCACUGGUCGCUAACCGUUUGAAUCAAUUAGUCGAUUUUGGCGAGUUUGGUUUUUUUUUACUUUUUGAAUAUCGUCAAGCAAUCUUUAGCGAAAUUGAUUAAAGAAGUGAAAUUCGACGGCUAAUCUCGGUGCUUCCGUAGUGUAGUGUAGCAGCAAGCGACCGCCAGGAAUACAAUAAAAUAAGACGGUCUCACUCCCGCUACGUGGGGGUUGGAGUAGCCUUCUUCUCAGUCUGCCGAUUUCUCUUAUCUUUCUUCUUGAAUUUCGAAUUUCGUACUUUUUCUGAUUUCAGUUCGAGCUGAGAUGGGUAAUCUUAGUGCUUGUCCAGCUAGGAUAAAAGGCAGAGAAGUUAAAAAGCCUAGAACACAGACCAUCUCGGGCCUGAGUUCAAUCGAUAUUGGAAACAUAGAAGUUAAUUUGGGCUAUCUCGAUGGAAUUAAGGCAAAAGAUCAAAUAACUAAUAGCAAAAGUCUUUUAUCCCGGGGCAUCUCAACAAUGUAUGCUCGAGAUUGAAUAAAAUAAAGAAAGAAUUCUUUCAUCUUGGACCAUCUCGGUGUCACUAAGGCCCGAGAUUCAAUAACUAAAAUGAAGAAUUCUUUUAUCUCGAAGGAUCUCGGGGCAUUGUAUAUUCGAGAUCAAAUGAAUUAAAGCUAGAAAGUUUUAUCCCAGAUCAUUUCAGUACAACUAAGGUUCGAGAUCAAGGUCUACUAGGCUUUCAGUUCUAUUUUUCAAUAUAUAUAUAUAUGUAUAUAUAUUUAAUAUUUUAAAAUUUCUAUUGGGUUCGGUUGGCGAGCAUAUAAAUUCAAUUGGGUUGGUUUAGAUUUUAAGAAAUCUCUUUAUUAAGCAUACCACCAACCACUUUUCAUUAAAAUCGACCAUCAAGUGUCAAUUUGUUCUGUUUCUGUCAUUUGGAUUUGUUUUUCAUGUGUUGAUGCCCACCCUUACCUUUGGAAGCCCAAAUGUUGGAUAGUCUCACAAAACCCUAAUCCCUAAAAACUAUGCUCAUUUCGGCCGAUAACUAAAUCAAAUUGCUCCCAUAAUUGAACAAAUUUCUCUAGUUUUUGCAGUUUGUGUUCUAACGUAGUUUGAUGUGAACUAAGUUUUAAGUUAUUGGAUAUGGUCUUCUACAAUGAAUAUCAACGAUCUCAUCAAUUUGGGCUCUUAUAGAUGAGGAAUCUCGAUCGAGAUCUAUGAAAUUGUUCCCAUAUUCGUUGAAGGAGUCUCAAGAUUUGAUGCCUUUUGUGGGAUAAUUUUGGAGACAAUUUCGUUCGAGAUUGGACCGAGAUACAUCACAGAAUGCAUGGAAAACCCUUAUUUCGUGGCAUCCUAGUGCAAUGUUGUUCGUGUUCAAUUGCUUAUUCAUGUCAUUUUUUUUUAAUAAGAAAAUCAUAUUAAAAUCCCAAACAUUAUCACUCGUACCACACCAAUAUGAGACACCAAACUAGUGGCCACGAAAUUGGUAACAAAGGCUAAUAAGGCCCUCAAAUUUGCCAUUCGAUUAAAUCAAAUACUUAAGAAGAUUUGUUUUACCAAUCACCAAAAGUCUUUCAUAUCUUUCCUUAGUUAUAUAUUUAAUUUAGAAAAUUAAUAUUUUGUAUAUGAUUUUCCCUCCAUUAAGGUGGUUUGACAACAAGAUAGAUUAGAAUCUAGGUGAAGUUUAAAAGAACAAAUUCGUCUUCGGUUGUAGGUAAAUUUUGCUUUCAUCGGUUGAAAUAGAAAUAUAAAAAGAUUGUGAAUUUGUUCAUGGUAUAGGUGAAAAAUCUUGGCAUCAAUCUUUGUUGAUUUCCACUCUACAAAACUCAUGGAAAAGCUUGAAACAAUACUCACAAUACCAUCAUUCCAUCAAAAUUCUCACCUUGUUUCGCUCAAGUUGACAAACAUCCAAUUUUCUCUUAUAGAAGUCACAAGUUGUGCAACUGAUAAGGAGUCUUGAGUUAAAAUGACAUCUAACAGAGAACUCAAAUCCUGAGAAACAGAACAAAUAUGCGGAUAGAAAUCUCACUCCAAUCUAUGUUACACCACCACAAUGGUUGCUCAUCUUAGAAGAAGUGUUGAUCAUGUUAGAAGGAUUGGAGAAUGGCCAUCAAACGAGGAGUUGUGAGAUCCGUACUUAAGAAAGACUAAAAUUUUAAUUAAGUAUUUUUAAGAGGACGUUUUGAGCAGACUACACAUUAACAUUACAUAAUUAGAGUUGCUUGCGAGAAAGCUUAUGCUGCUAGACUUGUAAAGUUUAAGGGAGUGUUUGUGGGAAGAGUUAUAUGAAUAGGUUACGAUAGUAUUAUGAUAAGAUGUGUUUGGAGGAAAGGUUAUGUGAGUAGUUUUAUGAUAAGAUGUAUUUGGAGGAAGAGUUACGUGAGUAAACUUAUGAUAAGAUGUCUAUGGGAGCAGAGUUAUUUAGACAGUGUUAUUAUAGUUUUAUGAGAAGUGUUUAGGGUAAGUGUUAUGUGGACAGGGUUAUACAUGACAAUGUUACGAUGUGUUUGAAAAAAGAUUACGUUGGUAGUGAUGUGAUAUAGAUUUAUUUUUUAAUUAAUUUUUUUUAUCAAAUUCAUAUUUAAAAUCCAAUAGUCAAAGUGAACAAUAUUUUUUUUUACCAAAUGAUCGGACGUUGCCUGAAGUAAUUGACUUAAUUUGUGGAUUUGUAACGUCCAUCUUAAACAUGUUGUCGAUUAAUAGUUACGUUUGAAUUACAGUUGUUAAAUAAUUUCAAUUAUUUCUUACGAUGCAACACAGGCAAAAUUAGGAGGAAUUAGAAGUUAUAUAUAUAAAUUACAUUAGGUCGCACUUACUUUAUUAUAUGAAUAAUUGAAAUAAAAAAAAGACAUAACAACGAUAUCAUUACUAAACAUCAAUAAGAAAAAGUUAAUCGGUAGAAUCAUAAAAAACAUUAAUAAUAGUCUUACAAGUAAAAGAAACAACCCGCUAAGGCCUCGUAGGAUGAGCGUGUUAUAUAUUAUUUCAUUUAUUUGUAUAUUAUAUAUUGUAUAUUUUAAUAUUUUAUUUUCACAUCUCUUUCCAUUCUUUCUAAAAUAAAAUAACUAACACUGAAUGGGUUUUUUUAGUAAUGUUAUUUUCAAAUGAUGUAGGAAGGUCAAGGACUCAAUUCGUCCGGCAUUUAUUGCAAUACACGUGUCAAUAUUAUGAGUCUAUCCUGGAAGCCUAUAUUUUAUUUUAAUACACUUUUUUCAAAACACUAUAAAAAUCAUAUUUUUAAAAAAUAAUUAUUUUAUAAAUAAAAAUUGCAUACAAAACCAUUUAGAAAAAAUAGUCCACCACCCCUUUUUUUCAUAUCGUUAACACUUAAUUUUUUUUUAGCAAAAAUCACAAUUGGUAGGUUUUUUUUUCUUUAGGUCAAUACAUGUGUAAGUCAUUCUAGGAUUAGACUAGUUAAUGUUAUUUGAGUGCAUUUUGAUAUACAUCCAUCUCUAUGUCUAACAAAUAUGUAUAAGUGUAUUAUAAUUAGAUAAUUUAACAAAUUAGUUAAAAUAUAGUAUAACUUGAGAUACAUUAUAUAUAUAUAACAUUUGGUGAAAUGUUAAAAUUGAAGUCAUCCCUCACAUUGAUACGUGCCUUAUUUGCAGGAUAAUUAUCUUGAAUUUUGUGUUUGAAAACAGAAUGCAUGUGGAAGACAUGCUUAUUAAUUCAUUGAGCUUUUUGAGAAGUUUUCACAUCUUUUUUCCUUUCAAAACUUCCUUUGUUUGAUUGCUUCAACAUUUUCUUUAUUAACUUAAUUUAGUGAUUCCACGAGUUUGGCCAACCAUAUAUCACAUCGAUUAGAUGUGAUUCAAAAUUUUCAUAACUUCUUAUAUAUUGUAUCAAAUUGGAAAAUAUUAGAUUGAGUACCUCAAAAGGUUAAUAUAACUAAAAUGGUACAACAAUUAAAUUGAAACCAGGAAGGAAUGAGAAAAUUAAUAUUGAAAAAAAUCCAAUAAUGGACGGGGGUUGGGGUAGGUUGAUGAAGACCUCAAAGUUGAUUUUGAUUGAAUGCACAUAAUUAAUCAUUACAUGUGUAAUGUGUUUUAUUUAUCUUAAAAAUUUAAACAAUAAUGAAAAUUUAAAUCAUUAAUUAAGUUAGUUGACUUGGAUUUGACAGUUCAAUAAAACCAUAAAUUAUUUUACUGUGUACUUAUCAGUUCCAUAAAUGCAAAAAUAUAAUUAAACUACACUUUUUUAUUUCUUUUUCUUCUCUGGUUAAUUAUUUGUUAUGCUUGUUAUAUUUGGCGUAUGUAAAAAAGAAGUAUGAUGGAACUAUUUUUUUUCUAAAUAUUUUUGAUUCUCUAAUGCAAUUUUUUAAUAUAAUACUAAUUUAUACUUUUAAUUUAUAAAAGUUAUAUGAAUUAUAAUUUGAAAUGUUGUAAUCAUUUAUUAUAAUUAGUUAUAUUUUGUUGGUAAGAGUAAUAAGCGGGGGAAUUGUAAUUGUAUCAAUUAAAUUUCUAAAAGAGUACGUUAGAGAUUUUAAAAAAAUAAUAUAUGAAUCCAUACUAUAUUAGUCGUUCAUUUGUAAAAUCUUUGUUUAAAAAAGAAAUAUACAUGUAAGUGAGAAUUGGUGUAUGAACAAUUUUUAAAGUUUUGAAAUGAUCCGACAACUGUCACAACUUGACUAUCCAAUCAAAACUAUAGGGAAUUAGUUCAUUGGAUUAAAUUUUUUCUAUCUUUUCGAAUAAAGUUGAGUCAUGUGUUGUGAAUAUAUAUAUAUAUUUGAAUUUGGGUGACCGAAAUCAAUUCGAAUUAACAUUUGUAUUAGUAAAUAUAUAUAUAAAAUUUGUAAGGAUGAAUUUGUGAAACUUUUAAUGUACACUCACAUUUAAACUUUUAGUUGAGUGUAAAUUAAUUGAUACAGUUUAGAAUUUAAUUCCAUGCAACCCUAAAGCUUCUGAGAUAUAAAUUAAUUUUUUUUUCGGAGGGCAAGGAGAAAAUAACUUUAAUUUACAAUUAUUUCAAGGCAGAGUGGAUUUAAUGUGUGAAUUAAUAAAAGUGUAUUUUGGACAGUACAAUCUUUUCAUACUUAGUAAUAGUUCUUGUUCCUGAUAUUAAUUUCUCAGCUUCCUGCAACCACACGGUAGCUUCCUGACUCAAGCCCUAUUAGAUACACUGAGAAUAAGCUAGGGUGUUGCUUUUUAAUUAGACUUAACAGUACAUGUUUGAGUUUGAUCUUAAAAUUGUUAAAUUCAUUUCAAAACUUGACUUUAAGUAGAACUUUAAUAACCUAAAUAUUAUAAAUUUAAUUCAACAUGCAUUAAUUAAUUAUGUAGUUUGUGUAACUUUAAUUACAUAGUUAAUGUUUAUGGGGGUUUAAAGGUAAAAUUUACUUAUUGUUGCAUUUCACAGUCAUUAAAUAGCUUGAUUAUUGUGUUUAGUCAUAGAUAUUGAAAGAGUAAAGAAAAAAUAAAUGAAAACUUGGAAUCAAAUGUCAUUAAAAAAUAUGUAAUUAUCUAUUGACUACAACUAUUGGUCUUCAUGUUCAUAUAUGAUUUAGGGUUUGGGAGAGAUUCAAAAUUUUCAUUAUUGUUCUCUUUAUGAUUUUUAAAAAUAAAUUUACUUCUUUUUUUUAUCAUUAUAUUAUUACUUAAUGGCAAUAGAAUAGAAAACAUGAGACUAUAUGAAAUAAUGUGGGUAUAUACAAGAAGAAAGAAGUAAACAAAAACUAAAAAUGUUUUGAUUUUUUUGUUAUAAUUUGACAUGAGAUAUGCCACAUUCAAGAAAUUUAAUGUUUAAUUUGAGCCCUAAUAGCUCAAAUAAACAUCAAUUCAAGAACUUCUGUUCCAUAUAAUAUAACAUUUCACUCCACAAACACAAAUACACAAUGAGAGAAAGAUUGAACCCAAAAAGAAGAAAAAAAAAACUUAUGGGAAUUAACUAAUUUCAUUCACACAACUAAUCAUUAAGAGUACCUCUACUUGCAGAUCCAUGGCCAACAAUGGACAACAAAGCAUUCUUCACACUCACUAACUGGUAACAACCUCCAAACAAUGAAGCUCUACUUGAAGAACCACCACCAAAGCACAAAAUUGAAGUAGGAGAAUUCGGAGCACUCCCGGCCACCACCUCGUCUCCGUCUUUAUCGUCAAAGCUAUACUCAAAUGGUAAGCUAGGAAUAUCCGAGAAUCGACGACGACGUUUGAAGAAUUUAGGUCUAACGAAAGGCGAGGGAGAUGAGGAGGAGGAUGAGAAAGAGGAUGACCACGAAGCUAAUGAGGAGGAGGAGGAGGAGGAGCCAGAAGAGGAGGAGAAAGACGGGGAAGUUCGAGAUUUCCUGGGUGUAAGCCGAGGAAAAAUCGAGCUCAAAAGGGUUGGUUUGGAAGAAGCUUUGGAAGUAGAAUGUGAAGAGGAAAAGUAAGAAGGAGGAGGAGUAAGAGGAGGGAUUGAAGUGUCUGAAAAAGUAUGCUUUGGAGUUCCCGGUCGGGACUCCCAUCGGAACGGAAUUGCACCGGUGGCACCGCCGUAAUAGACUCGAAAAGAGGAGUUGGUGGUGGAAUUGAGCUCUUUGGAUAGAGCUCUAGUGAAGAAUUUAUCUUCAUGUUUGGUAAUUGGGAAAGAUUUUUGAGAGAUUUGGUCGUAGCUUUGAGUUUUCAUCUUGAAGCCAAAAAUUGAUAUAUGAAAAUGAGACCUUCUCUUUCUUUGUUUCCACAGAUCUAAGAAUCGGAUUUCAAGAUCCAAAGCAGCUGAAUUUGAUUGAUAUAUAAUAAUGACAAUUGGAGGGAAAAGGAAUUGGAUGGUAUAUGAAGUAGCUAGGAGAAGCUAUUUGGGUUUCUAAAUGCUUAGUCUUUGUAGUUGUUGAACAGUGUACAAUAAAUUAAAAGGGUGGUAACAUUGAAGUUGACAGAUAUAAAUAUUGAUAUCAAGAAUUUGUCUUUAGAGAGGAAUCAAUUGAGUGGAUUAAUUAAUUUGGUAAUCAUUAAAAUAUUAGACUUAAUCAGGUUGUUUUUAUUGGAAAAUUAAUUAAAGGGGUAAAAAUUAGUUAGAGUUUCUAGGUUGAAUAUGUGGGUAGGAAUUUAAUAAGGGAAGAGAAGAUGGACCCAUUAACAAAUGCAGAAAGUAAAGAAGGCCAUGAUGGGAAAGACAGUUGAGACGAAGUGCUUCUUUUCCUUUUUUUUUUUUUUUUUUUUUAGAUUAUAAAUAUUUUAAAGUUCAUGAAGUUAUUACAGUCUUCACAAAUCCAAACUCGGUUGUUUUGAUAAUCUCGUGCGAUUGAACAUCCUUUUCAUUUAUCUUGUCAAUACCUUCAAGAUUGAAAGUUGUAUCGAGUUGUUAACCAACAAUGAAUGUCGUCUUCUUAAGAUGUUAACUUUAAAGUUCCUAUUAUUGAAUCACUUAAAAGAAAUGUAACUUCGUUGGCAUAAACUACUAAUAUAACUUUCAAUUCUUUUAAGCAUUUAUUAACUCUCUCUCCUAUGUAUGUACUUUCAUAUCUUUAGAGUUUUUCAUUCAGAUGUAAUUUUGAUUUAUUUAUAUCGUCCUCUAAAAAUUAGAGUGUUACAUUUUAAACAUUGGGUUUGAAGUUCUCGUUGAGUUUUUCUUUUCUUUCUUUUAUUUUUUUAUUGGGAACACUAUUAAUAUUAUUCAUUUUCUCACAUCUAUUGAGAACAGUAAACAAAUAUGUUCACAGCUUUACACCUUUUGAUUCCUUUUAAAUUUGUUCUUUGAUCUAUAAAAUAUAGUUUUUUUUGACAGUUUUCUUCAAAAGGUGUCUAGUGUAUUUGGUUGUGUUGAUUCUAGACUUUUUUUUCUUAUCUAAACAAAAAUUGUACGGAGAACACAAAAAUUACAAUUCAAUUAAACUCUUGGAUAUUUUUUAAAGUGAAAGAGAUCAAACAAACACAAAUUUAAAUGGAUAAUUAUAAUGAAUAUCAAAUCUAAGAAUAACAAUUAAAUAUACUAUAACAUUUUAAAGAAAUUACAAGUAUAGCAAAGUUUAUUAAUAAUAUAUUUUUAUCGUUGAUAAACUCUUAUAGCCUAUAAGUGACAAACUCUUAUAGUUUAUCAAUGAUAGAGUUAUAGAUAGAGUUUGAUAAAUUUUGUAAUUUUUAAUUGAUGCUAGAUAUGGUAAUAUUUUAAAUUUAAUUAUUAUAUCUUCCACUAUAAAAAAAAUUCGAAGAUGGAAAAUAUAUAAAUGCUAUUAGUGUUAUAUUAUUAUUACUACUACUAUUAUUAUUAGUUGUGGGUUUAGGAGUGUGAAGAUGGUGUAAUAAAUGAGAGAUAGCCGUGGUCCAUAUGAUUUCUUCCUGAAAGCUUUGCUACUUUAAUGUGAUUUUUCUUUUUUAUAAAGAGAAGGAUGGUUGGAGAGAGAUAUUGAGAGAGAUGAUCAUUAAAGCCCUUAUAAUAAUAUCAUAUGCCUACGUGUCCAUUCCCAGUUUAUUACAUUUAUUUAUUAAUUUCAGUUUUAUAUUUUUCUUCCAUACUAAUAAUCACUUGUCAAUUCUCUUUAAUAUUUUGAUGUGCAUAAAAGCUUUAAUUAUUAUCAAUGAUUUCGGAUUAAAAAGAUAAAUCUAUCCAAUGAUCAUUCAUGUCCAAGGAAAGGUAAGAGAGUUCAACCUUUGAGCCCAAUAACUCCUUGUCUGCCUCCGGCCUUGAGGCCUAGGAGCCUAUAAGUUGCUCCAAUCAGACCUUUCAAGCUCAAGCCUAACCCCCUCCUCCAUUGUGCUCAAAUCCAAUAAUUUUUAUAUGAGGUAAAAUUUUGUUUUCUUUUACUUUCUAAUUUAGGUAUUAUUAGAGUUUGGACCCCAAGAAUCACAGUCUUGUGUAACGCUAUCUUUUGUAACCCACAUAUUCUUCUACUGGCUUUAAACAAAUUUAUUAUUGUUGUGUGAAAGUUGAAUGACAUUAACAAUUUUUAUACUAUGUUAAAUCGGUGAAGAGAUUAUUCAACAGUGCUAUCGUAUGCUAUCUUUCAAUAAUAUUUUUAUUUUCUCUUAAAAAGAGAUUGUUAAACACAUAUCUAAUUUUAAAAAUAUCUUAUGAGGAAAGGAAGAUAAAAAAUGAUAAUGGAGCAUGAGACAUGUGUCCUUCCAUGUCACUUUAGGUAGUUUUUAUGCUGAAUAUGACAAGGAAACAAAUAUUGUUUACAUAUAUAUCAAAUAAUUUCAGUUCAUAUGUAUCUUACUAAAAAUCUUUUAUAAUUUGUUGUAUUUCUUUUUCAUUCAUUAAAUUUAACUUGAUGUUUAGCUACCUAUCAUUUUAAAUAAUUUAAAAUGAUUAAACAUUUCAUUUAAGUGGUUGACAAUACAUGUUAUAAAUAGAUUUGGACUAAAAAAAAAAGUUGAGCUCAAAUGAGACGAAAGGAAAAUUUGGAGUACUUGACCAAAGUUCAAAUAGACUUUGAGCCGUGCAAACUACAAGACAAUGCCCAUUAACAGUUACCCUUGCCCUCGAUAAAAGAUGAGGUUAGGGGUGUGACUAACCCUUUCAAAGUUUUAACUUCUAAAGUUGAGUUUAGUCGCUAAGUUUAGAGGUGAAAUAUAACAAAAGUAUAUAUCUUUUUUUAUCUAUGAUUGAAUCAAUCAAAUGUUAAUUCGAAUACAUUAUGAGAAAAUGAAUGUGAAAUCCAAUUUGUUUCAAAACGUAGUUUUAACUUUUUCAUUUCGUAAUAUAGAUGAAUAAAGCUUGCAAAAAAAAAAAAAAAAAAAGUUAUGAAAAUGAUAUACAUGGCUUAUUGGUUGGGGCAUUGAUAGCAAACCAUGUAAAAUGAAAUGGUAAAGAAUGGUGAACAUUAAUGGGUGGUCCACAUAUAGGUAGAUAGGAACAUUAAUGUGUAACAAUUAUUAUAUCCAAAGCAUAAGGGAAUGCUCCCAUUAAAACUUAUUCUGUACACACCAUUAAUUUUUUCGACUUUUACGAAAAAUUGAAAAACAUCAUAUAAGGUUGGUGAAUGAAUGUUUAAAAUUAUUUAGCCUCAAAUGCUUUUGGAACGGCAAAAAUGAUUUUGUUCUAUUAAAAAUAUUUUAAAACAACACUAAUGUUCUAUUUAACAACAGUAAAGAUGUAAAGAUGAGAGGUGUUGAAUCAUUAAUUUGAUUGUUUCAUAUAACGUUAAACUUGGUAAAAGAAUUUUAGUUUUAACUAUUAAAAGUAAUCCCAAACACUCUCUUUCUUAAGUUAACUCCCAAUUAUUUUUGGAGAUGAUAGAUGGUCUAUUUUGUGAUUAGGAAGCAAUGUGAGGGUAUUGAAUUUGGGCAUCAUGAUGUGGAUGUUGUGGAGGAAUUGGGGUUUAUAUAAAUGUGAGCCCAAAGGGUUUGUUUUAAUUUAUGAUUCAAAAGUAGCUAAGAAAAGGUUUUUGUUAAUGAAAAUCCAAAAAAAAUAGGUUACAAAUAAUAAAAGAAAUAAAAUACAAUAGAGUUGUGAUGUUGAAAUGAGAAAUGUAUACUUAAUUCAAAGAGCAGUGGGACAAAUCAACAUUUGACUUAAAAGAUUAGUGAUAAAAACAGUAUGCUAAUGGGUAAUUGUUUUAGUAAUGUUCUGACAUUUGCAUGUUAUUAGAAGAAAAAAAGGAGGGUGACUUUGACGUUUACAAUAAUUAAUUAAGUUUUAUUCACUAACGAUUUUUACAUUAACAAAAAGUUUUAUCUAAGAAAAUAGUUUGAAAUUAAAUUUCAUAUUUCAACUAUGUCAAUUUGAUAUUUAAAAAUUCUAUUCAUAUAUAUUCUAACAUCUGCUACUAAACAUACGACAUUUUAGUGUAUUCGAAACUAUGAGGUCUAUAGUUUAAAUUUUUUGUAUUAAAAAAUAUUUUUAAAUAUAUUUUUUUAAAACCAACUAAUUUAUUAUAAAUAAAAUUGAAGACCUACGCUCUCCCUGUAUAAUUGUUUGGUUUUUUAAAAUUUAAACUCAUGGCUGUGUUAUUCUCUUAAUAAUUAAAGUAAAAAAUUAAGAAUUAAUAAAAGUAUUUUUUAAAACAACCUAUUUUCAAGAGGUGAAAACCAUGGUUGAGAUAAAACAAAUAUAAACUUUAAAAAUGUAAAACAAAAACCAAAAUCAUUAUUGAAUAGAAUUUUAAAUCGUGUAUGUUCGGGAGUGAUUUUGAGAUGGCUAAAAUCACUUUCCUAUUGUUGAAAUCACUUUUAUCUAAAAUAAUCACGUUUGAAAAUAAAAUAAAUUGAUUUUUGAAAAAUAAAAAAAUCACUUUAAACUGAUUUUUAAAGUAUCACCGACUAGGGGUGAGCAUUGACACUCAAAAAAUAGAACUGAACGACCAAAAUCGAAUGAACCGAUAUUCAGUGAUCGAUUUUUAUAAAAAAAUUGUCGGUGAUUGGUUUAAGGAAGAGUUUUUCGAAAAACCAAACCAGACCGAUCAAAUUUAUAUCCCCACCGACCAAACCCAACCAAAAUUUUAAUAUUUUAAAAUAUUAUAUAUAUAUUAUUAUUAUUAUAUCAUUUGAUCUCAGACAUACAUUGUCUCGAGAUGUCCUAAAAUGAAAAAAUUCUUCCUUUAGUUAUUGGAUCUCGAGCCAUAAUUGCACCGAGAUGGCCUAGGAUGAAAGAAUUUUGCCUUUAGUUAUUGAAUCUUGGGCCAUAAUUGCACCGAAAUGGCCUAGCAUAAAAUAAUUUUGCCUUUAUUUCAUUCAAUCUCGAACAUAUAUUGCUAUCUCAAGAUGAUAGAAUUUUAUUCGAUUAUGUUUCUUUUUCUAGGUUUUGUUAUUUUUGUAUUGAAACAUCGAAAGGUACAAGUUGAAUAUUUUUUGUUAUUUUAAAGGUACAUCUAAAAGAUUCGAUCAUUUGAAGAUAUCAAAGUUUCAUGGAAGAAUUUUGUAAUGUAUUACAUUAGUAUUGUGUUCAAAUAUAAAUAUAUACAAUUGUUUUAAAUUUCUAUUUUUGUUGAAGAUAUUGUCUUCUCUAACAUAAAACAAAAUGACCCCUGCUAAACAAAUAAAUAAAGUUAAGAAACUUGAAACUCAAGUAAACAAAAACCAAAUCCAUGCAAUUUCCAAAGAAUGUAACUUCUCUAUUUCCAAUCUCGAUCGAACUCGAUCCCGAGAUGCUUGAGUUCUAGGCUUCUUAACUUCUCUGUCUUCCAUCUUGGUCGGACAAGCAAUAGGAUUAAUCCGAGAACUCAAUCUUUAAAGCUUUUUGUCCUUCAUCUCAAUUGAGAAACAUCGAGAUUAGCCUCGAGAUUUCACUUCUUUCUUCAUCUCGAUUGGGAAAAAUUGAAUCAACCGAAAUCGACCAACGAUUUGACCAAUCAGUUCAAACUGUUGGCUGUUGGUGGUCGAUUUUUCCUCUUUUAAAUCAAUCGAGUCCAUUUUUCAGUGGUAGUUUUUGUAAAAAAAAAAUUGAUCUAAACCAACCGAUGAUCAUCCCUAUCACUAAUCAAGUUAUUCUUCUUGGAUGAUUGGAAGGGAAUUGUUACGCCCCAAAAAUUAAGAUUAUUUUUGGAGUUAAUUAUCUUAGUUUUGUUUAAUUAUGUUUAAAUUUAUGGGGCGUUUAUUUUGAGAAUAAUUUGAUUUUGUGGAUAUUGGAAUUAAUUAGAUAUUUGUUGAGAAUUUGAUUUAAAUGUAUGUUAGGAUGUUCAUUUGUAAAGGUUUAAAUAAAUAAAAGUUAGAUUUGGGAGUAACAAAGUAGAGAAAUAGAAAUGUCUUCAUUGUUGUCAAUGUGAUUUGUGGGUUUUUACAAAGUAAGAGGUGAAAAAUCAAAAGGUAAAAAAGUAAAAUGAAUUGUGCACUAACAAAAAUGUGGUUGGUAAAGACGACGUCGUAACAUAGGGAUUGGAGAAUUAAAAAAAGAAAAAAAGAAAAGAAAAAGGAAAAAAGAAAAAAGAAAAGAAAAUGAAUUGGUUGGUUGUGAAAAAGUUAAAGUGAAAAACACUCGCCGCAAUCAUGCUUUUAUUCCCUUUCCCUUCAUAUCAUCAUUUUAAAUCCAUCAAAACUAAAAUAAUAUACAAUUUUCAUUUUCUUCUUUUCUUCUUUUCUUCUUUUCUUCUUCCUCCCCCUCACCACAUCUUUCUUUCUUUUCUUCCCUAAAUUUCCUAAUUCUCUAAUCAUUAUCAACUUUUAAUUCAAUUAAAUAACAAUUCUCAUUUUCAAAUUAUUUACCCUCUCCUCUCCUCUCUAAUCAUUUAUUUCUCUACAUCCUUUUAGAAACAAAAUAGAUGUUAUCAACCCAUCAUCAACUAACCAAACUUAUUACUAAACAAUAAACUACCAUUCUAAAUUUAUAAUUUUUGUUUUCCCAAUUCAAUUCUAUUUUAUUUUAAGGUAAUUUUGUAAAUGAUAAAAUCCUGAAAGUCUAUUAUUUUAUUGAGUAAGUACAAAUUUUAAUACACUUUCAUACCAACUCCAUCCAAGUUUGAUGAAAUCAUAGUGAUUCUAGUUUAAUUUCUUCAAAGGUGUUUCACUUUGCCCAUUUAUUUUAAAUUAUUAAAUUCACUUAUGGAAGUUGAAUAAUCAAUUCAUUAAUUAAUGAAUUUCAAAAAGCAAAUUAAUGUCAGAUAUCACUUUUCCCCUUUUUCUUCUUCUUCGUCUUUGCAUUACAACUUUCAAAUCAACCUCAUAAUUGUUUCCUUAUAAAAUAAGUAACCCAAUGUUAACUAUUGAAAACACAUCCAUUUACCCCUCUAAAUUUCACAAAUCCUAUUCAUUUAAAUCAUAAAUAAAUAAUUGUAUAAAUUUAAAUCUUCAAUUUACAUUCUUUUAUUAUGUUUUGUUUGAAAAAGAAAUCCUAAAAAAUAAUCAAUUUUAAUUUUAAUUAAUUUCAAUUUAAAUACUUUCCUAUCAUACUAGGUCUACACAAGUUUGUGAGAAUUAUUUGAAUAAUAUUUUUGUUAAGUAAGUAUAAAAUAAAAGAUUUAAAUUAAUUAACUUAUGAAAAAUUAGGAACCUAAUCCUCUAUUUUGUGUUUUGAGUUUUUUUUUUUAAAAAAAUAGAUUUGAUAGUUAAUUCACUUUUUUGUUUUUCAAAACAAGAUAUUUGUUAUGAAGAAAAAGUAAAGAGAGAGAGGUUUUGUUUCUAAGUUAGUUCAUUUCAUUUUAUGUUUUUGUUAAAUGAAAAUUUGAAACAGAAUUAAAAGAAAUAGAAAAAAAAAACAAAAACAAAAAAGUCCAACAGAUUAGGGUAGGAGACAAAGUUUAUACUAAUACAAAUUCUACCAUAAUAUUAGUGAAACAAGAUGUAAAAUUGAAUGUAAUUAAAUUUUAGGAUUAAAUUGAUAUUGUCGUAUAUUAUUUUUUUCUCAUUAAAACAAAUACACAUUUGUUAAAAUGAGUAUAGUCUUGUCAGAAGUUCAAUUUCUCUAUCCACAUAUUUAGUUUUCGAAUUCCGUGGAGAAAAAGCAUUAAAAGUGUUAUACAAUUUCAUUGUGCAUAAUUAAAAUAUACUAAAAGUUUUGAUGUUCUAAGUAGAUUUUCUUUGCUAUGAAAUUUUUAGGUUUCAAUUUUAACAUUCUCAAACACGUUUUUAGCAUUCUCAAACUGAGUUAAUGAAAGAAAAUAUUGGAAAAGAGGUUGGUGGAACAAAAUUUAAAUUUAAGAAUGAAAAUGAAAGGGUGUGAAAAGUAGAAUUAAUUUAGAAAAUUUAUUGUGGAAAUAAAAAAAAGAAAGUAAUUCUUAUGAAUAGUGAUAUAAUGAAGGUAUCCAAAUAUUGCCAAAUGAAGUAAUUAUUGUGUGGGCUAUAAAGUUUUGUACGUAGGAGAGGUUCUCACUCUCUUCGAAACUUCUUUUUUGGAUUAAAUCUUUUACUUUAUGCUUUUCCAAAUUUGAAAAUUACAAAAGUAUCAUAAAGUAGAACCAAAACACAACACUACAAAAGAAAAACUAAAGCACUCAUUCACAAAAUAAUACACAUUACACACACACAAUCAUUUCUAAAGUUUAAAAUAAAUUCAAAUCGUUAAUAUCCACCUUAAGCAUUCAUAUUCUAUUUAACACAUAUAUUCAAAUUAAGAAGUAAAACAAAUCCCAAAUAUUGUUAGUGAGUUUUUUUCUUUUUUAUUUUGGAAGAAGAUGAAUAUUUUGUCAAUUUUAUGAUUUAUAGCUUUCUAUAUUUAAAAUGAUUUAAACUAAAAUUGAAUAAGUUGAAAAUAGGUACGCACUAUACUAGCUAGUAAUAUUAAGCUAGUUUUAUUCUGGCAAUGAUAGUGAAUUAUUGAAGUUUUUUCUUUGUUAUAUAAAAAAAGUAAUAAAAUAGAAAUGAUAAUUUAAAAAAGAAAGAACGACAUGUCGGCAAGAUUCAAUAUGAAGAUGAUGGGGCAUUGUAACCGCCAAAUACUAAUUGGCGCUUUUAACCGCAAUCCACGCUCAGAAUCAAAGUUCCGGUCAACUCCAAGCCCACAUCAUAACUCCCUAAACCAACCAAUCAGAUUUCACUCAAGUCCAAAUUUCAACUGUCAAAGUACCAAAUACUUUGACUUUUUAGCUUCAACCAAUCACCAACUUCCACGUUUCUUCCCAUGCGUCGAAUUAGAAGCAGAGGAACUUCCCCCUAAAGCUCGUAUGCAAAAGAAGAAUAAUUGAGCUAACUCGAAAUUACAACUCAGUGAAGCCUUUUCUUUUUCCUCUUUUUGCUCUGCGAGCGAGUUGCAGAAUCGGUCCCCUCAAAACACCAUCAUCACUACCUCCAUUAAAAUCCUCCAUGAAGCAUUAUAGUUUCGAGAAUCGGUUUCACAUCAUGAACUCCUCCUCUAAAACUCCAACCCACAUUCUCUUUAAAUUCCCAUAACCACAGUUUCAAUCUGAACUGAACCCAUUUCUCUUCUUCAAUGGCGGAGGCACCGGACCCAGCUUCUGAGGCAGUUCCACGAACCCCAUGUAUAGCUGAAACCAGACCCCAAAUGGUUUCACACUCUGACCCAUUUGGCCUCGGACCCACCGGAAGUGGCUCUUCCACUCCCCCACCUGGGAUUCGACGGGUCAAUUUCAGGGCUGUGAUCGACACCAACCCCCCUUUUGGGUCCGUCAAAGAGGCCGUCACCCGGUUCGGCGGCAGCGGCCCAUGGAUACCCUUUUCCAAGGUAAACCACACAAUGCCUUCUCUUUCUCCGUUUUUUUCUGUCUUGGAGCUUCAGAACUGACAAUUUUGUAGUUUUUAAUUUCUUGUUGAAAUUGAAUAGUAGUGGAAACAGGGGUCUCCCGAUUAAGAUGGAUGAGGUUCAUUAUAAUAUUAUUGUUUAUUUUUUUGACCAUGUGAGUUUGAUGUCACUGUCAAUUCACGGAUACAUUUGAUGCUUGUAAUGGUUGAAGAAUUCAAAAUAUGUUUCUAGAAGAAGAAACCAUUGUUUAAAUAAUGAUCUCAACAAAGUUCUACUUCCUGUGUUUGUUUCAGUUUUUCAUUUUCUAUUUGUGUUAUGCAUUGUUUUUGUUUAUUUCUAAGGUGAUUUCUGAUUCAUCAUCAUGAUGAAACUCAGGGGAUUGAGGAGUUUGAUAUUAAGAGAAUGGAGGAGCAAACAGCUGAGUUGGAGAAAGAUUUGAUCGUUAAAGAAUUAGAAACACUUGAUGUAUUGGAAGAAUUAGGUGCAACAAAAAGAAUGGUGGAAGAGUUAAAAAGGCAGCUGAGGACAGAAGCAUUGAAAUGCUUUCCACCGCCAAAUUUUCAUUCAGGGGAACAGACUCCAACUCCUACUACUGUUAAAGAAAUUGAGGAAAGUUUUGGUGAUUUCACUAACAAUCAUGAGCAGCAUGUGUUAGGAGAUUCAUGUCCAUCACCUGACAUGAUCUUAAUGGAGUUGAAGCAAGCAAAAAUGAACCUUGGAAAGACUAUAAAUGAUCUGGGUGUCAUUCAAACUUCUGUGGAAUCGCUCAAUAGGAAAAUGAAGAGAGAAAAGAGUUUGCUGGCCAAGAGACGAGAUGGGGUUGUGCCAAAGCCGAAGCUUUCUUGUCCAUUGACAUUGGAUGAGGAGCUCAAACCAAUUCAGAUAAAGUCCCAAGUGACUGAUGAUAUUGAAUUUAAAGAUGUAUCUGAGAAUUCAUUCCAUACGUUGAGGGAGCCUCCUCAGCUGAACCCAAUGGGUGGACAAACAAAUGGAGUGAAAUCUGAUUAUUUGGCAGCAAAUGAGCAGAAGAUGGCUAGUUUGAGAACUGCAGAGCUAAGGUUGGUAGCAGCGAGGAAAAUGGAAGAGGCUGCAAGAGCAGCAGAGGCAGUGGCUUUAGCUGAAGUUGAAGCUUUAAGUUGCAUUGAUAAUUCAGCUGGAUUUUCUUUGCAAGAGCCUGAAACUGUGGCAUUUAACUUCAAAGAGCAAUCUCUCUUAAACCCCAACACUCAGAAACCUGAGGAAUAUCAGUUUGAUGAGACAAAUUCCUCCAAAUUGUCCAUAGCAAAGAAGUUGAAGGAAGCAAAAGAGGAGCUUAAUCUUGGCAAGAAAGCUUUGGAGGAGGCUUUAAAUAGAGUUGAACUUGCAAAUAGAAAGCAACUAGUAGCUGAAGAAACUCUAAGAAAAUGGGCACCAGAACACAAGGGACCUGCCAUUUACUACCCAAGUAGCCUCAACAAUUUCCACCAUUCCGCUCUCGCGAACUUUCAUCCAUCCAUUCAUCAAGGCUCUCCGUUACACAACAUGAGUAGGCCAGAACUUGUAAUGAAAAAGGAUUCAAAGCCUGUUCUAAGAUCUACCAUUUCGAUGCGAGACGUGCUAAGCAGGAAGCAAGGUUUAUCAGGAGACAGCAUAGGAAGAAGGGAAAGCCAGUGUGAAAAACAGAAAGUUGCUUUGAGUCAAAUGCUCCAUCUCCAUGCAUUAAGAGAGGAUCUAACAUUUCCUUCAAAAAUAGAGAAUGACAGAAAUGAACAAAAGAAUCUUUCAACAGAAAGAAAGAGAUUUGGCUUCAUCCACAUAGCUCUCCCCAUGAAGAAGCAAAGUAAGAAAAAGCCACAAUCAUAAACAAAGUACAGUAUCAUCCAAUUGUUGAAGGAAGGAAGUGUGAGGUUCUAACAUAUAUUUUAUUUAUUCAUUAGUUGCUAUCUGUUUUGAGUGAUGUGCUAUAAUACCACAGUUGUGAUAUUCAAUAAUUUUUCAGUUAUCUUUUUCAUUGGUUGUUAAAUGUUUCGGUUUGAGAUUUCUUAGGGGGAUUUGUUGAUGCUGAAAUUUCAUUGUUGAUGAGUAUAAUGUGUGCUAGGCAAUUAAUGUUGGAAGUGUAUUUUGCCCUUAAAUUUAGCUUUUGAUAUGACAUAUCCUCUGUUAAUGAUCUGCCACCACUUGGUUUACAAAGGACAGGACUUUUUAAAAAAAAGGCAUUUUUAUGCAAAAAUUGGUACAAUUAUGAUUAGUUGAUACUACUUUUGCAAAGCACAAAGAAAACUAUGUAAUAACAUUGCCAUUUUCAAUACUAUGCUCUCUUUUUUGUCCUACCUUUGCAAGGAUGGGAAGAAGUAUGAGUAUUGGAAAUGUAGACACCAUUAGAGGAAGCAUCAAUGCCUCCCUCCCUCCUCUUUCCAUAAAUCUUUCCAGGAAAAUUGAGAUAUGAAAAGCCCAAUACUAUUUUAGUUUUGAAACAGACAAAAAUAUGGACCUUAAGGCCCAUACAGGAAGCCAACCAAACCAAGGGAAGUAGCCCAAUUUCGACCAAAUUUGGGAAUGUGAUUGGACAAACCCCUUUAAUUACAUCCUUAAUAACUUUAUAAAAAUGUUUAAUUUUUGGGGUUUUCUCAAAAGUAGAAAAAAAAGAAGAAUAUUUCGUUACAAAAAUCAUGAAAGUAUUUGUGAUAAACAUCACAACCGUUCAUUAUUUUUUUCUUUCCAAAAUAAAAAUUUAAAUGAAACAUGGAGGUCACCUUUGGUUGGAUUAUGCCAUCGACCAUCUUUAUAUAUUUAUUUCUUCAUUUGUGCUUAUUAACCUCUCUUUCUCUACAUAUAUAUUUAAUUUAUUCUUUUUCAUUAUUUUCCUUCUCAAAGCAAAUAAGUUUCAAUAAUAAUAAGCAAAAGUAAGGUUUUAUAUAAAUGAAAAAAAAAAAAAAAACUAACUAACUCCACAUAUUUCUAUAUAAUUUAAUUGCUUUCUUGGAAUCUUGAUGAGACUAGAGAAUUAGAUACUUUAAAUAAUUAUUGUGAAAAAAUUCUCUUUGUCAUUAUAUAAUAUUUUCAUUUAUCUCACAUAGCUAGUGAAAAGAUAUAAUGUCUUAACCAAUAAUGUAAAAGAAUCUUUUUAUCUAUUUUUUUAAGAAUUUAAAAAGAUAAAUUAGAAUUUUAUGGCUUAAUUAAUUUCUUUUUUAAAUUUGUAUACGUCAACUCAUUAAAUACCAAGUUAGCUUCCUAUUAAGUGUAUUUACAUAUAGAACAAAUAUUAAUUUAUACCUAUAAACUUUAGAAAUUAUAUUUCCAUAUAUCAAUUUAAAUUCUAAAUUUUGGUAAUUGUAUCUAAACCAAUAAAACAUAAAAAAAAAAAAUGUUUAAAUAAUUGAUACAAUUUUAAAGUUUUGAAAAAUAAAUUGAUAUUCUCUUAACAUUCUAUUUGGAAGAAAAAAAGAGAAUAUGAAUUGUUAGCUAAUCUCUUCUCAUGAUAGUUUGAAGAAUCCAAGUAAGGUAAAGUUUAAUCUCAAAACAAAAUAAAUGAGAAAUAAUUAUGGGAUAUGAUAUAUAAAAAAAAAAAUGUCAAAAAAUAGAAGAGAUUAAACUGAAGUGUUGUUUAAAUAAGGACUAUAUAUAGUGUGUUUAGGGUAAUGUAGUAUUUAUGGAAAUUAGGGAUUUUGAGUGUUGAUUGAAGAUUGAACCCACACAUGUCAAAAUUGUGUUUUAGAAAUGCCCACGGAAUAUAUCUCUCUUUUUUUUUUUCUUUUGCAAAGGAAUAAAUUAAAAUUCUUAGCUUAAUUAAAAGUUAUAAUAUGCUCUCACAUGUACACAUCAAUCAGCCCCUAUAUUUGAAGAUAGAUAUCCAUAUGAAAAACUAAAAAAGAAAAGGAAAAGUUAUUUUUAUUAUUAUUGUAGAAAAUAAAAAAGGAAAGAAAAAAAGAAGAAGAUGAUAAUAUUUAUCCAUAAAGUGUUUUUUUAAUCUUAGAAUGAAAAGGAAUGGGGGCUUCCUAAGGUUGCCACUUGGCUUAAAGCAUUUAAUAUUAUUCUUCCUUAAUUAUCUUAUAAUUUUUGUGUUUAUCACAUGAUUCAUUAUCAUUUAACAAACCAUAAAAUUUAUUCAUGGAUAUAUAAUAAGCUUACUUUAACUUUGGUUUUCUGCAGCUUUUUAAAAUAUUGUUAACAAUUGUAUUUUUCAUUUUUGUAAACUUAAUUGUAAUAUGAAGUAGAGUAGUUGUUUUCCAUCAAUUUUAGCUUUAUUCUUAAACAAGUUAAGUUGGAUUUUGAUGAACAAUACUAAACUAUCAUUUUAGGGAUAUAAUAACUAAAAUAGACUCAAUAUAUUUUUCAUCAUUAAAUAAUGGAUAUUAAAUAUUAUUUAACUAUACAUAUUUAAGAAGAAUCAAAGAACUAAUAAAUAACUAGGAGUGAUUGUAGAAAAUAAUCUUAAUAAUUUGUUUGAUCGAGUACAAUCUCAAAAUCAAUCACAAACACACAAUCUUACUUUAAUUGUCCUCUCUUAUUGUAUUAAAAUGAAGUUUUAAAGUUAUUUAACACUUAAAAAAAGUAUUGUAGUUUUGUAUAUGUGAUUAUACAUGGACAAAUUAAAUGUUCUGUAGAAACAGUAAUAAUAAGAAAAAGAACAAUUCAAUGAUUUAACUUUUGUAAAUAUUCUAUGAUAAGAAUUUUUUUGUAAUAAUGUAGUUUAUAUAUCCAAACAUUACUCAAUGGUUAUGAAAAAGUAAUAAUAAUCAAAUCAUAAAGAAUAACAUAAUUUGCCUAUGGUGUGGUCCGGUCCUCAAGCUAUAAUAUUGGAUAUUUGAAUUGAAACUUUGUCAUGAACGAUAAACUUACACUGGUAGUUGAUCAAAAGAAAAUCAUGAAUAGAAUCACCCUGAUGGAGCUUACAAAUUAAAUGAAAUCUAAUCAAUAAAUACAUAAACGACAUUUAUUUAUCGAGCUUUCUAAAUAGAUUCCAAUAAAUAAAGAUCCUAAUUACUAUCUUAAAAUAUUCCUAUGACAUUUUGUUAGAGAUUAAUAAUUCAAAUUAUCACCUCUAACGUAAGUCAUUAAUCAACUCGAAUCGAUCUUUAAAUUAACUCUUUUCAUGUAAUUCUCAAAAAAAUAAUAGAAUAUACUUGGAUGGGUUGCCAUCUCUGUAUUCUUGAUCUAUCUAUUUAGGUUAUAUAUGUAAAAUAAAAUCCGUUUAAUCUUUUUUUUUAAAGAAAACAUGAUGAAUUUGGUAGAAAAUAAUUAAAAUCAAAUUAUGGUUGUUACUCUAUUUGAAAUAUGUUUGAUUAUAAUUCGGAAUUUGUAUUUGAUUGUAUAUUGGAAGAUGGAGGAAAAGAUUAAUAUUUUUGGUAAAAUCUAUUUCUCAAGACUAUACUAAUUUAAAAUCGUUAAUAAUGAGGUAUGACUUAUUAAAUGGAAAUAUCUCUAGUUUUUUUAUUUUAGUUGUAAUUAAAUAUUUUAAAAUGAUGGUAGAAUUUUUAAUUCAAUUUUAAUAGUGACAACAAAAAUGAUCCAAACACAUUUUAUAUCAUAAUUAAUUAAUAUACAAAUUUUUAAAAGUAAACAAACAACUAAAAAGUUAGCAUAACCAAAUGGAAAUUAAUUAGAUGAAAGUGUGUAUUACUUAGAUAACAUCAUGCAUUUUCUUUUAAUAAAACGGAGAUAUUUUUGUUACUUUUGUAUUAUUAAUUAGGAUAUGUUUUUUUUUUUUUAAUUAUUUAUCAUUCUUGAUACAAACAUCUUUUAGAAGUAUUAACUUGAAGCUUUAUAAGUAGUGGAGAAUUGUAUAUCAGUUAGAACCUUUUAAUUGAUUUUGAUAUUUAGGAAACUUUUUAAUUAAUUACCCCUUUUUUUUUCUUGUAUAUAAUUAUUAAUUGUCUCAUUUAUAUAGGUGUUACCAUCUCUCACAAAUGGAUAUUAGGUUUUGCUCUAUAUAUAUAUAUAUAAUAUAUAGUUAUAAAUUGAUAUUAGUUUAAUUUAUUAAAAUAAAAAUAGGCAUUAGAUUAUGUGUCGAUUAAACAUUUUGCAGCUGUUGUUAGUGGGUAAUAAAAAGAUCCCAAAAAAAAGAAAAAGAAAAAAGAAAGUAUAUGAAUCUAUUUGGAUGCUCCAAUCCCAAUUAUCAACAAUUAGAAGAAUAUCUUGGAACCCUAAUUUUGUACUUUCAUCUUUUUAAUUAAAUUAUCUUUCACUGAAUUAAACACAAAAAAACUCAUUAGCUUUCAUAAACAGAUUGGGCAGUAGGGUUUCAAGUUGGGUCCCAAAAGCUAAAUGGGAUUAAUUAGACUAUCAUUUCCCUAUAAUUUUUUGUUUAAUAAUUCUUUUUUUUUUUAACCUAACUUUUAAUUUAAUGCUUUUGCUUUUGGUUCAAAAGCAUGCAAAGGGGGGAUUCAUAGAAAAUAAAAUAUAUGUGGUUUUUUCUUUGUAUAUAGGAAAAAUGGAAGAGAAAAGGCUUUUUGAAAGAAACCUAAUUAUAAUUAAUUAGUAUAUAUCCCAACCAAAAGAAAUUUUCUAAGUUAAAGCGUGACAGUCCUCAAGGUAACAUCAAUCUAAAAGUUCAAAGAAAAAAAAAAGAACAGCUUUUCACAAUUAAAUUAAUUAAAUUAUUGGUAGUUGGGUUUUUGUUGCUGUCAACUUUUUAACUAUAUCUAUAAUCCAAUAUACAUGGGUGUGUGGUUAUUAUGAUCAACAAUGAGUUCAAGUAACACUUUUGAUUCUAACACAGCAACUGCUUGUUUUUCUUUUUUCUUUUUUCAAAUUAUAUUGAAUUGAAUCAUUUUUAACCUACACUUCUAACCAAAUAUUUUAUUGUUAAUAGAUUUUGAUUAACGAUAUGAUUCACACAAACUAUAGUUUGAAUCUAAGUUUCGUUAUAAUUACAAUUUUUUUUUUUACUAUAUUUACUAAAUUUUAGAUUUAUUGUUAUAUUUACUAUUUGAAAAUAUAUCAAAACAUAUACAACCUUAACCUUUGUUGAUGAGUUUUAUUUAUUUAUCUAUUUUGGAAUGGAGAUCAUUAUUUUAACAUUUUUCUAUUUGUCCUCAAACUUAUAUAAUUAAGUUGCUUACGAUCUAAUUUGUCAUGCUCGAAAAACGGGUGUCUUUAACCUUUUGUUAUGACUUGCGAUUUUAGUAUUCUUACGUUGUUAAUUUUUGUUUGAUUACGUAUUUUUUACAUUAAAAACCCAUGUAUUAAUUAAUUGAAAAUAAUGGCAGUAUUUUGGUUUUAAAUAAUAGGUGAUUAUUUAAAAUUAAUCUCAUGGGAUGGGACUAGAUCCCCCAUGUGGCCCAUUUUGGUAGUAAGCUUUCAACUUAAUUAAUUUGUAAUAUCAAAAUUAAUAGGACACUAGUGGGAAUAUAUAUAUAUAUAUAUGUAUGGUUUUCAUUUUUAAGAAACCAAAGCUUACUUAAUUGUGUUCAUUAAUGGUAGGUUAUAAGAUAAAAGAGACAGCUAUACACACAAAUACUUGAAACCAUAUCUUGUUAGUGGGACAAGUGUUGUGUUCUUAAACAAUUCUAUAUUUAUUUUUAUAUGCAAAAUUUAAGAAUUAAAUAAAAGUAGUUUACAAACUUAAUUACUAGUUUUAUAUAUUGAUUCCCAUCUUGAUAAUUAAUAUACGGAUGGAGAUUAAAAUUAAACCAAAAUGAUUAUUAUGGUUGGUAUGUGGUGGAUUGAUAUUCAAAGUUUGAAGUUAAUGAAUGAAGAGAAAUUUAGUAUGACAGUAAGUAUUUUAGAUGGAUGAACUUAAAAUUUAAAGGGAUGGAUAAGAUAAGGAUAAAUAUAGUAUAGAAUGGGUGUUGAAUAUUGAAAAAUAUGAUGCAAAACUUAAUUUGUGCCACAUAUGAUGGAAGGGAUAUAUUCGAUGGUGGAGGUCAUUAUCAAAAAUAUGAUAUAGAGAAAAAAGAAAUUGAUGUCACUAAACCCAACAUGUAAUCUUAGCAGACAUUGUGCUGAAAUGAUGCUGUCCAGCUGAAUAACAAUUUCAAAAUUAUAUAUUCAUAUAUAAAUGAAGGGACAGCUAAGUACCAUCUUCUAUAGUUUUUACUAUUUCCUUGUAUAAAUUCAAAUAAAUGAAUAAAUGCUAAAAAAGAAACAUCAUAGGUAAUAAACUAACCAAUUGAAUUUUAUGACAAAGACAUUAAUAUAUAUAUUCAACUUUCAAAAUUGGUGUCUUUACGUUGAAUGCAAUCAAUUUUGUAUCUUCUCACCUUUAAUUAAUAGCGCUCAAAUGUUGAGAUGUGGAAUGGAUUAAUUUCAUUUUGAAGAGAAUGAAAAUAGAUUCACAAUAUCCAUAAAUGUAGAGAUAAACAAAUGUAGAGUCACACCGUCUCUUGGCCCGAAAGAAGUUUAGUUAUAGUGAUGCUAUAACUUAUUGUUCAUUAGAGGGAUUAGAAGUACUUAAGGAGUUAGAUGUAACUACAAGGACAAAAUAAUAAUUUUCGACCUAGUUAUACUUACGAAUAAUUUAUGAAGGUUGAUUGCAGUGUCGAUUAGUUAUAUCUAAUGGACACAUAAAUAUAUUUACAAGUGCAACUAUUAAUCUUUAAUAGAAUGACUAAUAGUUAAUGAAUGGAAAUUAAUUUAAUCAGAGAGUUUAACAAAUUAAUCUCAUAUCAUUGGAGCUCAAUUUGUAGGUUCACGAAGUCCUCUUGUUAGCAUUGUUCAUAAAUGUUAACUUUUACCGAAAGACAUUUGUAAAAUAAAAUAUUUUUUUUAUUUGUAAAUGUAACGUUGUUAUAAUUAAAGUAAAUAAGAAGCAACAAAUAUUCAAACUAUUUGUAUUUAAAUAUAAUUUGGCAUAUAAAAAAAUAGGUUCAUUGAAUUUUUUGUAAAUGUGAAAAUAAAAUUAAGAAGAACAAAUUAUUAAUUUUCAUAAAUAUAACAAAAUGACAAAAUAUUUACUGUAAAAAAAUGAAAAAGUUUAUGAAACUGAUCAUUUUUUUAAAUAUUUCAGGUUUGUCAUUCCUUUUCAUUGUCUUUCUUCUCUUCCUCUUCUGCAAAUUUUUUUCUUUCCAUCUUCUUCUAUAGUUUUUCUUUUAUUUUUUCAAACUGUUAUUUGAUUGUUACAAAUAUAAAAGAUCAUGAAAAAAGAAUUGUUGAAAUAUUAGAUAGCUAAAUCUAAACGAUCGUAUAUCAAAAUAGUCAAAUCUAAAUGAUCGUGUAUAAAGAAUGUUUAAAAACUCAUAUAGAUUUGGAUAGUCAAAUUUAAAUAAUCAAAUCUAAUCAAUCGUGUUCCAAAUAUAAACAAUUGUGUACAAAAAAUUCUUAAAAAAAAAUCGUUGAGAUUUGAAUAAAACCUAAACUAUUUUUUUCCAAAUAGAUUACGCGUGAGAUGUUCAAUUAAUCACGAAGCAUUUUUUAUAUUUACCAUUGUGAGUCAAUAGACUUUUUCUAUUUUUGAAAUUGUUGUAUAUAGUGUAAAUAUUUGAAUGGUUUGUUAUAUUUUGAAAAAGACCCAAAACCAACAACUAUUUACUCCUUUCUAGUUUUUAAUUUUGUAAGAAAUGAAAUGUUUACGAAAAUAAUGGGUUUUGAAUUUAAUGUGUUGAAAAAAUAUCCAUAAAUGGUUUUAAGAAAAUCCGAAAAACAAAACUCAUUUUUCAAAAGGUUGUAAGAAAUUGCGUUUAAAAACAAGGAAAAUAUAUACAUACACAUAUGUAUUAAGAAAAAUACAAAAACAAAGAAGCAAACAAAAAACACCUAAGCAUCCUUAGAAAAUUCCUUCUAUAACUUUUUUACUGCAACAACUAAUAGGAUGAAGAUUGAAGAAUUGAAAGGAGAGGGAGGUGAGCCUAAGGAUUUUUGUUUUUGUUUAUUUGUUCAUUUGUUCAUUUUAAAAUUAAACUAAAUAAAUAUCUUGAAUGAAAAUAGAUUUGAGUAUUAAUCUCUCAACAUAAUAUAUAAUUCUCUAUUUAAACUGAUUUCUCUUUUCUUUUCUUAAAUUUUAUAAUCUAAAUAUUUACUCAUAAAAGAGAAUAAUUAGGAUAAAUGAUCAAACUUAUUAACCAUAUUUGGAUGUGAACUAUAAUUGUGUAUAAAUUCACCAUUAUCUUAUAAAAUAGAAUUGUGAAUGGAUUUUUCAUAGUAAGAAUGAUUAAACACAAACAAAACCAAAAUUGUAAAUCUACUUCAUUAUAGUUAACCAUAAUUACUAAAUUGAUUGAUGUACUUCACAUGCUCUUAAUGGCAAUUUUAAAAAGGGAAUCAUCGCAAAAAGAAAGAAAAAAUUGUUUGAUAGAGAGAAUUGAUAAGCAGUGUGGUAAAGAGUGGUUUGAAAUAGUUAUCCUACCUAUGAUAGUAUGAUGUAUGGUUGCUUUCUAACUUUUAUCAUAAAAAGAUAGUGUGUUUUUAGUGAGAAGAUGAGUCAAUUUAAUCGGAAAUAAAAAAUCAUAUUCUUACUAUUCACCAAGAGUAGAUGACGAACAAAGAAAUGAUAAUAAUUGGUUUGGAAUAUAUCAUAUCAUAAAAUCCAUUUACAUGUUUUUCUUUUUAAAAAGAAAAACCAUCCAUGAAAAUAAUUGGUUUGGAAUAUAUCAUAUCAAUCUCCUAAUUAUUUAGGGUCAAAACAUAUAGUGUGAAACAAAAAGAAAAUAUUGUUUUCAAGUUGCCAACUUUUGAAGAAAGGAACUAUUUUCAUUCAAUAUUUUUUUGAGAAAAUUUUGAGACUUUUAUUUUAAUAAUUAUUAGUUGUUAUAAAGUAUAUAUCAAUUAAAGUAUUAUCAAAUAUAUGAUAAUGCAAAAUAAAUUUACAUAUAUAAGAAAACCUAUACUCAAUUUUCAUAAACUAAUUAAAUGGUUAAUAGAGAUAGAUUUAUGUAACAUAUAUGUUUGACUAUAAUUACGUGUGAAGUUGGAGUUGGUAGAGUGAGUUAUUAAAUUAUUAGUGUGUUGUAGUUAUGGUAAAGAUUUGUUUAAUAUAUAGUUUGUGUAAUUAAGUUGAAAAUAGAAGAAUAAAAAAAAGGGGGGAAAAUGAAAUAGAAAGUGAUAGAGGCGAAAAGGGAGAUAGAAAAAAGAAGUGUUGUUUGGUUUCUUCACUCAACCACCCACUCUGAAUUCCCCACAAAGAAUAGUGAAAAGUGAAAGUGAUUGAGGCCAACUCCCACAACUAAUUUGCAUCUCUUCUUUCAUUCUCUUAAUUCAUAAAUAAUUUCCUCUUUCUGUUCAUUCAAAAUUCUUUUCAACCUAAAAAUGCUUUUUAACCUCUAUUAUCAACUAUCUAAUAUUUGUUUGUAUGUAUAAAUAUUUUAGUUUAUUUUUUAUAUUUUAAAAUAUUUUUUAUUUAUUUAAUCUUUCUUACACUCUAUUUCUAUUAAAUUAAAUUAUUUUUUAAAAAAAAUAAAUAUAGCAAAGCUCGAAAAUAUUUAUUCUAGACAAAGGCUUACAAUGAAAAAUAGCAAAACUGUCAAUAUAUUUGGUAAACGAUCGUUUAGAUUUUACUGUUUUUUUUUUCUAUCCAAUUAUUUAGAUUUUAUUUUUUAAAGAUUCUUUCAAGAUAUUUUAGUACACAAUUGUUUAGAUUUGACUACUUUUUUUACACGAUUUUUUCGCUACCCAAUAUUCCAAUAAUUUUUUUUCACCAUAUCGAUCAAUCAAAUAACCGUUUGAAAAAAAGAAUUAAAAACAGAUCUUAAAAAACGAUGGAAAAGAAAAGAAAAAUUGCAAAACAUGAAAAUGAAGGAUAAAAGUGAAAUAUUUGAGAAAAAUAGUAACUUUUUGAUUUUGCUAAGCCGGUGGGUCGUAAAUAUUUUAAUAUUUUAUUAUAUUUAUGAAAAUUAACCUAUAAAUAAAUAGGAUAUUGGGUAAAAUUGAUAGAUUGAGUUUUUGUGGUAAAGGUAAAUGUUUUUUUUUUUUUUUUUUUACAAUUGUUCAUAAAAUUCCAAUUAAAUAUCAUAUCUUUGGAUUUGAUUUCUUUUUCCUUUUUUGCAUUUACACUUAUUUAUAAUCUUAAAAUUUGAUUUUUACGAAUUAAGUAAUGUGAAAGCUGAUUGGCCGAAAUUGUUUUAAAUUAUUCUAAUUUGAAUUUGUUUUGUUUCAUAUGUGUUAUUUAAAGAAAAAUGAGAUAUGUGUGUAAGCGACUUUAAUUGGAAGUUUGUUUAUUUUUGUAAAGAAAUGGAAGUUUGUUUCACAUUUGGUAUUUAAUAAAAGGAAUUUUUGUUUUUCAAAUUAUUUCUAUAAAAUAUUAUAUAUUAGAAACCAUAUACGAAAAUGAAAAUGAGUAUAGUUUAGUUAAAGAUAUAUAUUAGUAGAGUGAGAGUGAAGAUAGUUUCUUGGUUUCCAUCCCAGUUUGAUAGUUUUUCACUUCAUUCUCAUUUUUUGCGACAUUCUCCACGAGAAUAAAGAUGGAGAACUAUAUGAAAAAUGUGGGAUCGGAUUCUUUCCGUAAAAUUUUUUUCUUUUCGAAAAUUUAAAUUUAAAAAAAAACUACUCAAAUUUUUUAAUAGAAGUAUACAACGUUUAGCAAUCAAAUGAUUGAGAUGCAUGAUAUAAAUUAAAAUUUUAACAUAAACGUGUUCUAUUUCGUUAUCUUGAACAAUAAAGAAUAAAGUUGAAAUUUAUAUAAUAAUAAUAAUAAUGAUAUAAGAUUGAUGGAAUGCAAUAAAUGGUAAGAAAAAUAAGAGGAGAAAGGUGGAAACAUGGAUGAAGAAUGCAUUCUCCACCCCACAUAUUUAUCAACAAUAUCACUUGUAUAUGGAAGAUAGAAGUCUCUCUACUCUACUCUUCUUUCUUUUCCUUUCUUUGAUUUAAACGUAGAUUCUGUACCUUUUUAGAGUAGAUGAUAAAAGUAAUGUAAUUGAUUUUAAAAUGAGUAAAAGUAUAUGUAUUUUAAUAUAGAUUAGGAAGAGUGAUGAAGCAUGUGAAUUUGCAUAAGAAAAAAAAAAGGAUUAAAUGAAAAGGGGGGAAGAUGGAAAUAACAAGAAGAACAAUAAAUAGUUUGAUUGGGAGUGGGACAUGUUUGGAAAAGAAAAACUAAGUAAGAAGAGUGAGAAUGUGUGUGUGACAUACUCAUUUCUUCUACAUAAACAUUUUCAAUAUUUAAAAUUCAAACAAAUUAAAUUUAAAUAAAAUAAAUCGAAGGAAGAAAACCAAAAGUCAUUCUCAUCUAAACUAAUAUCCACUCUUUUCUUAGCUGGGAAGUGGGAACUAUCUAAUACUUUGUCAUUUUCAUUUUCUUUUUUUCUUUUUUUUUUCUUUUUUAAUAAACAUAUCAAUAAUAAUAAUAAUAAUCCUGUCCUAAGAAAAUAUGAAACCCAAAAUUUUAAUUUAAUAUAUUAUACAUACAAGGAUAAUUAAAAUAAAUAUUUUGUAAAAAAAAAAAUAAUAAUAAUAACAAUAACAAUAAUGAGGCUUGACUGAAUGAAACUAAACUAAGAGAGAUCCGGUUCCAGAAUCUAAUCCUCUUCUUCCUCUUCCUCCUCUUCUUCCUCUUCCUCUUCUUCCUCUUCUUCUUCUUCUUCUUCUUCAUUCAAAUUUAUUUAUAUCUAAACCAAUUAUGUGUUCUUAGAUACAAAUUCCCUCUUCUCCAAUUUCUCAAUUUCCCUUUUCCUAAUCAUGGAGAUCGAAACCACAUCCCAACCGGGUCGUCUGAACCGCCUGAACUCCGCCGUUGCUCAAACCUGGAUCGGAAAGCGGUUCAAAUUAACCGAAAGAAACUCCAACUUCACCACUGAGCUCCGCGCCGGCACCGCCACUUUCUUAACCAUGGCCUAUAUCUUAGCCGUCAACGCCUCCAUUCUCGCCGACUCCGGCGCCACCUGUUCCCAAUCCGAUUGUGUCCCACUCUGUUCCGACCCUUCAAUUCCACUCUCCAGCUGUACCGGGUCGGAUCUCCGCAUCAUCCAACCCGACGGAUCCUGCAUGUUUGACCCGGUCAAUCCUGGCUAUGUCGAUUGCCUCGAUCAAGUCCGUCGAGACUUGAUUGUAGCGACGAUUGCUUCGUCCUUAAUCGGCUGCGUUAUAAUGGGUGUUUUCGCAAACCUUCCUCUCGCUCUAGCGCCGGGAAUGGGGACUAACGCUUAUUUCGCUUACACAGUCGUCGGAUUCCAUGGCUCCGGUAGUAUAUCUUACCAGAGCGCCUUAACCGCCGUUUUCAUGGAGGGGUUAAUCUUUUUACUAAUUUCCGCAAUUGGGUUUCGUGCAAAAUUAGCGAAAUUAAUUCCAAAGCCAGUCCGAAUCAGUUCCUCGGCCGGAAUUGGUCUGUUUUUAGCGUUCAUCGGAUUACAGAACAGUCAAGGAAUUGGUCUAAUCGCCUUCAACCCAUCAACAUUAGUAACAAUUGGAGGGUGCCCAGAAUCCUCCCGAGUGUCUGUAGCGCCGGUGGUGAGUUACCUGAACGGAACGAUGAGUGUAAUGACCGGAGGAACAGCUUCAGACGGGAUCCUCUGUUUGAAUGGACGAAUGGAAAGUCCAAGGAUGUGGCUGGGAAUAGUUGGAUUCGUCAUAAUUGCUUAUUGUUUGGUGAAAAACGUAAAAGGGGCUAUGAUUUACGGGAUUAUAUUCGUGACGGCGGUUUCAUGGAUUCCGAGAACGAGGGUUACGGCGUUUCCAGAAACGGCGUCAGGGGAAGCAGCGUACAAGUACUUUAAGAAAGUUGUGGAUAUACACACAAUUAAAAGCACAGCAGGAGCACUUAGCUUUAAAGAUUUAGGGAAACCGUACUUUUGGGAAGCUAUGAUCACUUUCUUAUACGUGGAUAUUUUGGAUACUACGGGAACCCUUUAUUCAAUGGCAAGAUUUGCUGGUUUUAUCGAUGAAAAUGGGAAUUUCGAGGGUCAAUAUUUUGCAUUUAUGUCAGAUGCAACCGCCAUUGUGGUGGGUUCUUUGCUGGGGACUUCGCCGGUGACGGCGUUUAUCGAGUCGUCAACGGGGAUAAGGGAAGGAGGGAGGACGGGGUUGACGGCUUUGACGGUGGGGGCUUAUUUCUUGUUAGCGUUUUUCUUUACGCCGUUGUUGGCGUCGAUACCGGCGUGGGCGGUGGGGCCGCCGUUGAUACUGGUGGGAGUACUGAUGAUGAAGGCGGUGGUGGAGGUCGAAUGGAAUGAUAUGAGGCAGGCGAUUCCAGCGUUCAUAACGUUGAUCUUAAUGCCGUUGACGUAUUCAAUAGCGUACGGUUUGAUUGGUGGGAUUGGGACUUACGUGGUGUUGCAUGUAUGGGAUUGGACCUUAGCUGCUUUACAAAAAUGUGGACUUUUGAAGUCGAAGUUGAAGGAUUGUGAGGUCAGCGGAUCUAACGGUCAGCUCGUCCUUCAUCACCAUCCUUCCCCCAAAUCCCUACAUGACCAAGUUUAGUUACUUACUCUUACACUCUUGUUAUUUCAUCCUUAUAAUACUUUCUUUUACUUCAUUUAAAUCAAUUCAUGUAACUACAUAUCUCACCUUACCUUACCUUACCAACCAUUCCUACUUCUUCUAUUCAAUUCACAUUUCUUCUUACUUACUCCCUUCUCUAUACUUCUUUUACUUUUUUUACUUUUUUAUUUUCAAGAAAACAUCUUUCGGUUUUUCAAAAUUAUCAUCUACCAAAUAGUAUGAAUCAAAAUAAAAUACUCUACUUAGGGGAGAGAAUAAAGAAAAAAAAUUAAAAGAAAAGGAUGAUACUUGUGAUGUUGUUGUGUGGAGUGGAGAUUCUGGAAGGAACAAGAUGGAGGGAUUGCCACCAAAGCCAUGAGCCUGAUGCUUCCCCCUCUUCACUUUCAUGUGACCCCAGUACCCACAAGCUACGCCAUGUUUCAUACUGUUUUAUAAUAUGAUACUUCUCUUAUUGUCCAUUAUAGUUUGGACAUCAACACUCAAACUCCUCUAAACUGUAUUAUCUUUUCGAUUAAUGUUGAUAUUCUUUUAUUAAGUUUUAUAUAUAUAUAUUUCAAGCUCGUAAAUGGAGAAGAAAACGAUAUAAUAUUCUGUAUUUUUUCACUUGUUUUUUUAAAACUUUUAGGUCAAUCAGUGUUUAACAUUGUAUCAAAACCAAUCAAAUCCAAAAGAAAAUGGAACCAUAGUUGAAGAUGUUGAAGGGACAAGUUGAAGAUUCUACGUUAUAAAAUCAAGAGUUCUCAUGAUUGUCUAAAGAUAUACGAACUACUCAACUCAUUGUAAAAUGAUUUACCUCAUGUUAUCUAAUAGAAUGUUUCAUCUUUUCAUUACUAUUUCUUUUUCCCCUAAGAUUAUUUAAGAACAUCAAACAUAUACAUGUAUAUAUACAAAGAGGUUAUUAUUUUAAACCACAAAACUACUAAAAACUUAAAAGAUAUAGCAAAAUAUCACAAUCUAUAUCCAUCUUAAUCGAUCACGAUAGAUUACUAUUUGUGUCUAUCAUGAUACAAACAAGUACAGAUUAUCUUGGUCUAUCACAGUUCAUCUUUAAUAAACUAAUAUUUUUAUAUCUUUUUGUAACUAAAUCAUUUUGCUAUAUUUGAAAAUGUUCUAAACAUAUAUUUAUAUAUAUAUACACACAUAAACAAAUGUCAUGGGUAGUUAGGAACCCAUAAGUUUGACUUAAGAACCCCAGUAAAAGAGAAUCAAUCAAAGGGAGGGAGAUUAGCAGCACAUAUUCUUGCAUCUGAUCAAGGUUUUUGGACUGACACGAAAUGAUGAGGCAUGUAUGCAUCUUUCUAUUCCAAUUUUGUAACCACAACCAAAUAAGAAAAAAGGAAAAAAGAAAAAAAGAAAAAAAAAGACCAAUUUUGGAGGUUAUUGAGGCAUCGGAGACAAGACAAGACAUGGUCCACAACACAAACUCAAAGGCUCUUUGUAAUAACUGGGACACGUCUUCAGGUUCUUUGUCUCAUGAAAUGACACCAUUACAAUGCAUUAGUGUGUGGUUCCAUACUUCCUAACACUCAUUCUAAAGAUCCUACCCUCCCCCUCCUAUUAUUGUUGAUGCUAUCCAUCACCUUUGCCUUUGCUUUUCCAUUUGUUCUCUUUCUUCUUUUCUAGCAUAUUGUCACAGCACACAACCUAGAGGUGUAAACAUGAAGCUACCUACCUACACCACACUCUCACUCUUUAAUACAAAUCUCAGCAAUUUUAGUCAAUCGGUUGACUGAUGUUAUCCACACCUUCACCUCUCAACCAACUACUUGUUAAGGCAAACUUUAUCCAAACUAUGCCACAAGUUGCAAGAUACUUUAGGACACUUCUUGUGUACAAUCACAAAACUAUACAGAUCAAGUCUUGAAGUUACUUCAGCACCAUAGAAAAUCUAAUGGUUCUUUCAGUAUCCAGGGCAACUGUUCUAUAAACACGAUUUUCUAUAAAUUAAACUCCCAAAAGGAAAAUUAUCGAUUACAAGUCAUUUUGGGCAGUACCCGCUAAAGUAUGGCAGUGGCAGGCUUUUCUGUUGUUGAAUUUGGUAGGGUAAGUUCAAACAUAUACUAGUGACAAAAGUUUAAAUCUUGAACUAAUGUGGGAAUUGGUUUUCUUCUGCUUGGAAGUUGGGACUCCGCUCAAGUCCACUUGUUUACAAAACAUUAGACGCUGUCUAAUUGUUUCGUAUGGUUUGGUGCAUUCCUGACCAUAGGAUUUACAGACACGCAAUACUGCAAUACCAUACAACAAAAUCUAAGCCUCCCAUCAGCUGGAGUACAUAGAAUGAAGUGCCAAGUGCGUUGUACAGGAUACCUCAUCUGAGCCUCUCCCUUCUCAGCCUUUCUAGUUCCUUAACCAUCUGCCAAUGUUCCAAUGACAGGGAGGUUUCUCCAUAACUCGCACAUAUCAGGCGACCUAUAGUUAGCAAUCUGAAAAAAAUUUACAGUGGUUAAGAAUAACAAUACGAGGUAAAAUCAGAAAUUAACACUGCAAGUAAACGUGUACUACUUUACUUGCCUGCUUAAGUCCUGACUGCCUAAGUUCCUAUCGGCCUGCUUUGCUGCCACCAAGUCAUUUUCUACAACCUGGCACAUAAUAGAACCCGGAAUAGUCAAUUUUAAGCGCAAGAGAAAUAAAUGCCAGUUUUACAUGCUCGAUUUCAAGAAUCAAGUAAAUCUAAUAGGUACCUGCUGCAUUUCUGACUCAAUGGAAUGUGGCAAUAACCUAACAUUAGAUAAGUACCACCUCCACGCUUCUAGUGCAUCCAUAUCAGUAAUUGCGGUUGAACCUACGGCUGAAGGUUGGAAAGGCACAACCAAAUCAGCUGGCAAAAUGUUUGAUUUACCCUCGGACAAAAUUAGCAAUUGGACAUCGGUUGUCAUAUCCAUUUUGUAGUAUUUGAAAUCAUAUUCGACCUGGGGGAGAAUAGUCUUUAUUUAAUCAAUACAAGGACGAAGAACCAGUAAUUCAACCAAAAAUAUAGAAGAUAUUUCAUCAACGAGAUACCUUCUGCAACUCCAUUAGAUUUUUCAGCAACCUUGCAUUUUCAACCCCAAGCGAACUUAGUGUUCCUACUUCUAGUUGAGUUUCAUCGAUCAUCAAAUGUGACCCUUCUGCCAGCUGAAGGACACCAGGAACCAGUCUGUAGUUCGUCAAGAUAUCACAUAAAUUAUUUCAAUUUGGAUGAAAUCAGAUAAGCGUUAACCAACAACUCACAUCAUUAUGUAAGACUAUAAGUUCGAAAAAUACUAGGAUAAGUGGUAAGAUUAGUAGUGAGUAUUCUAGUAAUGAGGCAUUAAGUUUGUUAGGUCUUUUGGGUUAUAAAUAGUAGGAGAGAGUAUGGUUAGAGAUGUAAAGAACUUUGAAGAGUCUAGCACCCUCAAAAAUUAGGUUAUCUUGUUACUUUUUACAAUUAUAUUACAGGAUAUUUUCAUAUAUUUCCAUAUUUCAGUGUUGUUGAGUUUUCUGUGUGUUCUUGUAAGAUAUCCCAACACAUUAUUGUUGUGAUAUAGUAAAAGUCAUUCACCGUUAAGUUACCUGUUUAUCUCAUAAUCCUUCUUUGGUGCCAGUGAAGCAGUAUUUAAAUAUUCCACUGUGAGAGGUAUAUAUUCCGUAAAUGGAAGAAGGUUCUUGACAGUAAGCCUCAGCUGAUUGCCAAAAAUUGACAAACUUUCUCUGUUAAAACCUGUAAGGUUCAGUGAAAGUUUACCCACUGCCAUGGAAUCCACCCUAGCAUGCACCUAUUCAAGAAAAUUGUCAAUUGAAACUUGAAGCCAUACAUGAUAACAAUGCUCAAAUUAUAGCAUCAAGAAUAACAGAUGAUAGAAUUAGAUGAUAGUAACGAAGAAUUAAAAGAAAAUGCCCUUACUAAAAAUAAAAAUAAUGAUAAAUAAUAAAUUAAACACCAAAAGCUAUGUCCGUGGAAACAACCCUAACCUUGGACAGAAGAUGCAACAACAAAAAUUGGGCUGCAACUCCAUCAUUGCCAAGAGCAAUGGUCAGGUGAUUUAGUAGAGCUGUGCGUAUCUCUUUAAUUCGAUGGGGUAUGGGCUGUUACAUAAGAAAAUAAAGUUAUAUACGGCACACAAUGAAAAAGCAGAAAAAAGCUACAAUAUUGACAAAAUAAACGAAAUCAAGAGAAUAAAAUCAAACAUCACUUGUUGUUAUAGUAGUCUUAUAGAGAGUACCUCUAACACAUGGCAAGUGUGGAGAAAGUCAUGAACACCAAGUUUCCUGUGAAUCACACAAUGGAGGCGCGGUACCUAUACCAAAAUUGGAAAUUGAUGCUAUAUCAAUUGACCUAGAAUGACUUUAAAAGCUGUUUUACCUUCAGCUUACUUGAGUCUUAUAUAAUUCUGGAAAACUAAUGCUAUGAAUUUUAGAACAUAUAAAACUAUUAUGAACGUUAUAUUUUAAAGAGCAGUGUUAUAUGUCAAGCGCUGUACCAGUUAUAUUCGGAAUGAUAUCAGCUAAUAGCAACUUCUAGUGGAAGUCCACUAGAUAAAAGAAAAUGAUGAAGAGUUCAAAAUGCAUCAAUACCAUGUCGGGAGGAAAUUGAUCUGAUAAGUCCUCACUCAAACCAUUCGAAAACUCAUCAUAGUCGUCCUUGUCAACUUCCUGCUCUGUGCCCAGGGUAAUAACACCAAUAAACUCAAAAACAUCAUUCAACUUUAACUCAGACUCCGCGGCAUCAUAAAUCUGCAAGAUACAUUAUUAGAUAAAAUAAGGUAUUAUUCUAGUAGUUAGUUUAAGAUAUUAUUAUUAUUAAUCAGUUAGGUAGUUUUUCUUUUACUAAGGCUGUAUAAAUAUCCCUAAAUAGGAAAGUAUCAAUUAAUAACAUCAUUCUUUCACUUUCAAGUCCCACUUCUAAUAUACAUAGAUAUUCUGAAAAUUAAGAAACGCUUCUCACGCUACACAAUUUAAAAUAACAAAUUAUAAAACAACCUGACUCAGGAUAUUGGUUGGGUACUUACCUUAACUAUACAAGGAAGAAAACCCCUUGCAGUAUUACAAGCAGUGCUUGGACUAGAAGUAGCCAUUGUUGAAAUAUUCUGAGAGUAUGGAGAAAGUUGCUCGUCUUUCUAUGAAAUGAAAGAGAUAAAAAGAGAAUACUACGUCAAAUUAGAAUGAAACGAGAGAGGUACAGUUGCAUAGAUGAAACAAUCCAAACGAUCGUACCCAACAAGUAACAGAAAAAAAAAAUUGCUGACCUGCUUUUUCCCGCUGGAAGAAUUUAGAAACUCAUCACUUGGAGCCUGUGAUUAAAUGGUAUGUCAGAAAACCAGCGGCUACUGUUCCUUUUAAUAUAUAAUAGAGAAAUAAAGCAACUGGUUCAUGCAUUAAAUUGUAAGAGCCAGACCAAGGAAUAACUUUCACCCAACAGACCCAAACAAAAAAGAUAAAAAGAAAAAAAGAGCAACAAGUGAUGAUGAUACCGAAAGUCUACUAAAUACCAAAAAUCCAUGAAAAAUUCUCUACGAAAACCCAAUGCGAAGUAAUAUCUCUUCCUCAUCUUUUGGGAUCAUGCAGACCUCCUCUGAGGCUAAAUAACUAGGAUGAAAACACCAACUAGAGACCUUUCCAUCUCGUAAUAAGUAACUAGAAUGUUUCAAUCCUGCCAAAUGUCAGAAAUCUCUAGUAUGCUAACUCCAUACAGCUCCAAGCAGGGAAAGUGGCAAGAAUCAAAUUUUGGGAGAGAAAGGGACGAGGCAAAACUUUUAUGCAGACUCAAUCAUGUCACAUGAAUAAAUCUAAAAUAAAACAAGAUCAUGUCAUAGGAGAAAAAUUACAAGAAUAUCCAUAUGAUCAACAGCAUUUUCAUCCAUUCUGCAACGUUUUUGUCUGUUCUCAGAUGUCCCCUCAGCACUAUUAUUAAUCUCUCCUAAACGUGAGGAGUCAGUCCAAGAAUUUUGACCUGGAACCUAAAUGAUAAAGAAAGUACUCAAGAAUAAAUCAUCAAUCAUAACCGAGUUUGAUCUAUAAACGCUCAAAUUCAAAGGUCGAAAACUAUGCAGUAAUAGCUAACCAGAUAGGGACUUUUACAGAAAACUCACAGGCACACAGUACAGCACACGGCGUUCCCAAAUGCGCAUAUCUGGUGAAAAUCCAGUGGGACAUUGAGAGGAGUUCAUAAACUUGGUGGUUUUCCAUGUAGAGCCAUCCUUCAUCAUUCCAGAGAGUCUUAACACACACGAAAACAGAAAAGGAACAUCUUGAACAGGUAAACGAAAUUACCUUGUAAGCGCCAACAUAGAACUCAUUUCCCAGCAUGUCUUGAAUCAUUCCCCGGAACCGAACAAGAGUGUUCGGCUGAAGCCAUUUAACGCUAGAAGCGUUAAGAAUUGGAACCUACAGAAAGCUAUCAUCAAAUGACUGAUUCGAAAAACUAGUAGAACCGAACCCUUCAUUCUAACCAAAAUUACUCCGAAGACAUUCACUACAAAACACGGAAGUUGAUUAUUAACUAGUUCCAACUGAGAAACACCCACACAAAAAGGCUUCUAUGUGAAUAGAUACUCAAAUAGAAAAUGAAAUCAACUACCCAUCGAUUAGUUAGGGAAAAAGCACUUAAUUGCUUCAAGUAGUAAAGAAAAUUCCUUACAGAGAAUAGAAAUAAGUUGAAUUAGGAAGUGAUUGAACCUUAGAUAGACCAUUUUGGUCGAAAAGGAAGUGUUGAAAUGGUUGGAGGGCGCCCCAGUCUUUGCCAUCGAAAGACGCAGGGUUUGAACCCGAUGAAAUGGCCUUCUCGAAGGUUGAUCUGACAGCGCCAAGAGGAUUAACGAGGAAAUCGUAGGGUAGUCCAACCAUGGCUGAGUUUUCUCUCUGAAUCUCAAUCUCAGUCUUGUGUAUGGUAUUGAUUUGGGGCACUAAAUACAAUGAAGAAGGUAAAGAUGUUUCCCGCCAAAUGAAGCACCAUGUUCUUCCUGGUUCCCGCCAUUUUUGUCGUCCUUAUAAAUCCCAAUUUGGGCAUAGGGUUUACCUUCGCCCUUUCCUUAACACGUAUUGGGCCACCAACUCCCAACUUUUAGCCCAAAAUCGAGCAAGCGUCGUUCCAAAUAUAACAAUUAUAUUUAAAAUAAAUAAAUAUAUAACAAUAUUUUAAAAGAAUUGCAAAUAUAGAAAACUCUAUCAAAUUCUAUCAUUAACGUUGAGUUUAUCACUAAUAGAUUAUGUAGCAAAUAUUGAUCUAUCUCUGAUAAACCAUAAGAGUCUAUCAGCGAUAAAAGUUUAUCACUCAUACACUAUAUUCGCAAAUUUUUUAAAAUAUUGUUAUAUACUUAAUAAGUAUUUCUAAAAUUGCUACUUAUUAUAAUUAUCUAAAAGAUAAUUUUGAAAAAUUGGAAUGUUUCUUCCCUAUAAAUUUACCAAACUUUCAAUAUUUAUGAAUUUGUCUCAUACCAAAUUACUAAGAAUUUUGCAAUAACAUACGACACCCAACCUUGAAAACUAAAGUUGGCUUCAUAAGCUUCUAAACUAGCAAGAUGUUGAAAAAUAAGCGUGUCAAGAAUAGCUAGCACCAAAUAGUGAGCUGCAGAAUUACAAAACCAGUUACACUUAACAAAAAUAGCGACAUUCAUCCGACAUGCAAUAUCUAUUAGCUUUAUGAGCUUCAAUCUUACUUCAUAUUUUAGCAAUUUUAGGGUUUUAAAGUGUCCACGUCAUAGACCUCGAAGAGACGACUCAAACACACUUUGAACCAUCAAAUUGAACAUCAAAAUGAAGAAGUUGUAGUAAAACAAGAUUUCAAAAAUAUAUAUAUAUAUAUAUACAUAUAUAUAGAAUUGAUGAUGUAUUUGUGGAUGUGUCACGAAUUUUUUAAAAAUAAAGAUGAAAAUAAAAAGGAAAGUAAGAAAUGUGAGAUCAUUCAAAAUCAAAUGAAAUUGCAGCAUGUGGCAUUUCAAAAAAAAUUAUUUGAGAAAAAUAAGAAGAAUGGAAAAAGAAGCAAUAAUAUCAUUCCUUCCAAAUUCUCAUUUUCAAUUUUCUUUUUCUUCCUAAAUUUGAACUCUACCAUUUAAUCUCUUCAAUUAAUCUCAACCAUCCAUUAUUUUGCAAUAGAUCCAAUGUUUGAGAUUUAAUCCCUCCAUUUUUAUAAUCAAGCAACCAUAAUUUUCUUAGCCACCUCUUUCAGAAAAAUAAGAAGAAAAUUUUAGCAAACACUGUUCAUCUUCUGAGUGCUCGAAAAGUACACAUUGUUCAUCCUCCAAUUACUCAAAAAGUCCAUAUUUCUCUCCUUUCCUUUAACUAUUACAAUUUUAGUUGAGAGAAAAUUAUUAGAGUUUCAUAGAACUUGUAUAUUUUACAUGUUUGGAGUUUAUCUUUUUAUUUUAAUUUCUCGUUGAAUUUUAUAUUAAGGUGAUGGAACAUCUUGGAUGGUGAAAAAGAUCAAGUUUCUUUUUAGUAUAGGUGAAAAAAGAGUCAUGCACCUACAAAAGUCUAAGAAAAAUAUCGAAGAAGAGCCUUGGAAAGUGGAAGUAAGCACGUUGCCGAACCACUAUAAAUUUGUUUAUUUUAUGUUGGGAUUUAAAUGUUGUUUUGCAUAUUCUACUUUUAACUAUCAACUACUUGAAGUGAUUGGUUGGUAACAUUUUAUUAACUUGAGCUUUUAAGUUUAAUUGUCACAUCUAGAUUUGUUAUAAUGUAGUAAAAUUAAAGUUGUUAAACAACACUAUUUAUUCUCUAGUAGUGGUGUCAUAUAUUCUAUAAGAUCCAACACAACCUCCAAUUUUAAGAAAUUUGAAAUAAGAAGUCAGUCUUCAAAUAUUAAUAGUACUUGUCAUGAGUGAUUGUUGGGCUAAAAGGUAAAAGUGACAUAAGGAAGAAGAUGAAGCAAUUUUGUUAAGUAAACAAUAGUGAAUAGGAGGAAGAUGGGCUUAAGGAAAAGAGUUAAUUUAACUUUGAGCCAAAGUAGCUUGAUCGAUCUUGAUCUUGGUCGAGGAUGGAUUCAAAACCAACCAUUUUCGUUCGGUGAAUGGAGCAUAAUACGACAUAUUUUUGUCAUGAGAUCAAGAUAGCUAGUUUGGGUUUAAAGCCCAAACCUACCUCUUCGUCCCCUUGUCCUCAACCAAGGAUAAAGUAGAAGUCGAACGUCCAAAUCUGAUGAACGAGCUAGGAAAAUGCAUGUCAAUACCCAUUUAGCUUGAGAGAUAACUUAAUACGACACAAAAACUCUAAUAAGGAUGCCCCAAGUGAGGAUUUCACUAUAAAUAUAUCAAUGUGACUAUUUUAGAUGAAAUUCAUUCUAAUAUUAGAAUUCUUUAGAGGGCGUUCGGGGCAUGGAGUGAGUUAUUAUGAUAUGUGAUUAUUAUAGUUUGUGGGUUAUUACAGUUUGUGUUUGUAGUUCAUAUUAUUAUAGUUUGAGUUAUUAUAAUCUAUGUUUGAGAAAGUUUUCUCUAAAGGCACCUCAAGUUUUCUAUUGACCUUGAGUUGACAAGAAAUUCCUCUGGUCUUUUCCUAUCACUGAAACACUAUACUCUUCAUCUCAUCGAGAAUGUAGGCCUCCUUGGUGCAAAACCAACCAAUGGUUCCAUGGACCAUAUACUUAAAUUGAAUGCCUCUGAAAAUAAUACUUUUCAUGAUGCUACAACUUAUCAAUGCCUCAUUGGUCGAUUACUUUACCUAACAAUAUCACGAUCUGACAUCACCUUUGUUGUCCACACAUUAAGCUAGUACAUGGCCAAACCAACUUUAACUCACAUGAAUGCAGCCAGUAACCUACAUAAAUAUCUUAAAGGAACCCCUGGUAAAGGCAUCAAGCUCUCGAAAGUUCAAUACUUCUCCAUUAAAGCCUUUGUUGAUGCAAAUUGAGGGUCCUACCUUGAUACCUGUCAUUCCAUCACUGAAUUCUAUGUUUUUCUUGACAACUCCUUAGUAUCUUGAAAAUCCAAGAAACAACAAACAGUGUCAGGAUCCUUUAUAGAGACAAAACAUUGAACCUUGGUUGUUACCACAUGUGAAAUCAUCUAGUUUCGAAGCUUACUUACUGAACUAAAAGUUGAAGUCCCAUCGCUGACUCUUUUGUUUUAUGACAAUCAAGUCAUCAUCUAUAUUGCCAAAAAUCUCAUGUUUCAUGAAAGAACCAAACUCAUAGUGCUAGACUGUCAUUUUGUUCGAGAUAGAGUCAUGGAUGGGUCCAUCAAACUACUACCAGUUCAGUCUUUGAACCAACUUGCAAAUGCAUUUACUAAACUUCUUCCAACAAGUUCUCUCUUUCCCUUGAUGAGCAAGAUAGGUGUUCAAGACAUCUUAGCCCAAUAUUGAAGGAGAGUUUAAACAAUUAGUUAAAGAGGUCUAGAGUCGGUUAGUUAGUUGAUAAGUAUAACUAAAUGUAACUACUUAUUUACUCUUCUCACAUGUGUAUAUAUACAUUGGAUCACCAUUCAAUAAAGUGAAAAAGUCAUUUAUAAUUCCUUUUUACCCUUAAUAAAUAUCAUUUGUUUUUAUAUUUCAAACUAUGUGUCACAUCACAAGUCUAUUAAUGAAUUAACAACGUAGGAUAAAAUAGACAUAUUUUUAAAGUUUAAGAACUAAAAUAGACCUUAAAAAGUUCAUAGACCAAAAUAGAUUUAACUUAAAAAGAAUACAAUUGAGUUGUUUGAGACAUUUUAAAAAUAUAAGUGAAUACAUUUGACUACACGAAUGAAUGGGUAAUUGAGUAUUUUCAAGAGUCCCAGAGGCAAAUUUGAUAUUUUAUUAAAACAUUUGAAAGAUCCAUAAUUAAGCAUUGAAGGUGGAGGUUAAUUGAAAGAGGAAAAUGAAGUAUUUGUUAAAACUUAUGAAGUAAGAUUCCAAAAUUUUGAAACAUGUGCAUGAAAUUGAUGUAUUCUCGAACCUCAAAUACUACUUAGUUGGUAAGCUUCCCUAAAAUUGAUGAAUGAAAAAAUAAAAUUUGGUAAUGAUGAAGCAGACGUAAAGAAGUGAGUUAAGAGUGUGGUUAUUAUUAUUAUUUAUUUGAAAACUUUAGAAACAUUUUUGUGAGUGUGUGUUUCUAAGAAAAAACAUAUUAGUAGUAAGUAAACAAAGGUGGGAUUAGUGGAAAAAUAGUUGGAGUAAGAGAGAGAGAGGUGGGUGGAAAGUGGGAGUGACUUCAGACUUGCCGCCCAAGCAUUGUGCUUCUGCUUGUGCAUUGUGCAACGCUGAAAACGCGUACCACCGUCGCUGGAAAUCCUACGUGGACAGAAAUGGUCAAAUUUUGGGCCCACGUGUUUGCACAGUCAACAUGACGUGUGCUUCCUAUUCCAAAUAAAUCAAACUAACUUUCCUACUCUCUUUAACUUUCCACGCUCUCACGCGUCACUCCCAAAUUUCCACUCCAUCUAACUUCCCCCUUUUCAACCCUUUCUUUUUAUCACAUUUUUGCAUCAACUAAAAUUCACUUUCCCACCUAAAUAUGUCCUUCAAUUUUAAAUUUUGAAAAUUUUCAUUCAUUUUUCAUGUUGAGAGAGAAAUAUACAUUUAUUCUUUGGGUUGUGUGUCUAACAACCCUCUUCAUCUUCAUCUUGUCUAGAAUUCAUGUUGUGUCAAUAAGAUGAAUGAUCAAUGAAAGAACAAUAUUGAAAGCUUCAUCACGUGCCCAACACUAGAAACUUCAGGAAAACAACAUUAAUAUAUUAACGAGUCAAGCUCAAAAUUGUAAUUGACUACUAAUCAAACUCAAUAAGCUCUUUCUAUGAAAGAAAAUGAAAACUUAACAAAUACAAUACGUCAUAGGCUCUUUAGGUAGAAAUCUUUGUUUUAUUUUAUAUUUUUGGCUAUUUUUGGGUGACUAAUACAUUUGGAAUCUUUCCAUUUACUUCAAAAGUUGCAAUAUUACUACUAACAUUUUAAAUAUUCCUUAAAAAAAUUGUUAUGAAGAUAAUAGUAAAUAUUUAAAUAAUUAUAUUUUGUUACUUCAUCAUUCUACAUCUUAAUUUUUACUUGAGUAUAAUGUUGGAUAAUUUAUAGUUAAAUGAUUGUAAUGAUUGAAAUUAGUUUAAAUGAUUUGAUAGUUAUCUAGAAAUUGAUUAGAAAUUAAACCAAAAAGAAAGAAAAAAGGAGUCAAUAAAAUUGUUAAGUAGUGACUUGAAAUGAAAAUUGGGAGAUGAAUGAAUGUUAAUGGAAAGUUAUGACUAUAAGACCUCCUAUGAUAUUAUUAUAUAUAUGAAACUUUAUUAUUAUGUCAAGAAAAAUAGUUUUGAUGAUGAUGCACUAAUCUUAAAUAUAAGAAUAUAUAGAUAUAGUAAUAUGAUUAGAAUAGUUGGAAAAAUGAAAGUGAAUUCCUACAUGAAUGCUACUUAACAAAAUGAAAAUAAAAUUUUAAAAAAGAGCAAGCCACGUGUCCUCACCCGCCAACAAAAGAGCGUGAAAAUUGGGGCGCGUGUUUUGCGAGUGUGGUACAAACAUACAAAAAAGAAAAGAAAGAAAAUCAAAGCUUUGACCUUUUCAACCAAAUUCGCCUCUCUUUUCAUUUCAUUACACUUUAUAAAUCUCCCCUCCAUAUCAAAUCAAACCAACUCCACAUUCGCUUCACAUCUCCCUAAUUUUUCCUCCUCCAUCUCUUCUAACUUUUCAUUUUGUUUCCUUUCUUCAAUGGCAAACCUCUUCAAAAAACUCCCACUUUUCUUCUUUCUUUUUACCCUCAUUCUUCUCAUCUCCGUUUCUUCUUCUUCAGCCAGAUUGCUGCGCCAACAAUCUCUUUCCCCCGCCCUUAAACUUGAUAUUCCGGCCGAUCCCGCCGCACCCACAAUGACCGAAUAUGAGUCUCUGCUUCUUGGGUUUCUUCCAAAGGGAGGAUCAAUCCCGCCGUCCGGACCCAGCAAAGGCACCAACAACUUCAACACUUAAAGAAUUCUUUUCUUGGGUUUUUUCUUUUCUAAUUUUUAAAUCUAUGUGUUUCGUUUAGGGUAAAUAUUGGUUCAAAAGUGAUGUAGACUUAAGAGGAGAGGAGAGGUCAGAGAUAUUUCAUUCAUUAUUUCAUUAUUAUGCAAUUAUUUGUACUAUUAAUUCAUUAACUGAUGUAUACUGAUUAACUUUUCUUUUGUUAAUCAUUGGAUUAUUGUGUGUCUUGACGCCAAAACUCUGCCUCCAUGACAAGCUUAAUUUCUCAUGGAAGUUUGAGAAAAUAUUGUGUAAAUUUAAUGAAAAGAUUCAUUUUAAUGUAGAAAAUGUAUAAUUUCUUUUUUAUGGAAUGAUCGUAGUUGCCGGUGGUAUUUAUAUACGUCUUAAGUUGUAUUUUGAGAUCAUUUAUUCUUCUUUUAUUCUACUUUUAGUUGUACUAUUCGAAAAAUGUACUUCGAGGAAGGUGUUAUUCAAAUCUCUUAUUGGGAGAGAGUUUGAUUGUAAUUGUUCAUAUUAGUGUAGGCUAUAUCGAUGAAUGUAAGAUAUGAAAAAAGUAUAAUCGUGGUGUCCGUGGAACUACCCUAAAACCUUUUUAUGUGAGUAGUCAGGAUAAUGUGAUGAGUUUUUGGGUUGUUCUAAGUGAUUUCACAUUCUAUUGAGGGAAUUAUCAUUCUUGAUUCUUCUACUUAAAGCAUAUUUUCAUAAGUUGUGUGGACUUUUUGGUUUGGUUGUUUUAUUUGCCAUUUUUUUCUUAAUUCUCCUGGUUGGGUUUUGUUUAUCUCUCUUUAUUGCAACUCAAAAUUCUUGUGAAUGUAGAAAAUUAUCCUUGAGAAGCUCAAUCACUGCAAAAUAACUAUGAAAUAGGUUUAAAUUCAGGUAGACUCAUAAACCCAGCUUUGAUUUUCUUUCAUUGGUUAAAUGAAAAUGGCAUUAGAAAUGUUUAACAAUUUAGUUUAGUUAAAGGUAAGCUAGAAAUCAAGAAUAGAAACAUUGUCCCAAUGCAAGUGGGAGGUGGGGGAUAAGAGAGAAUUGAAAUAUCCUAAAAUUAAAAAUAUUUCUGUCUUAUAAUUGUAGAAUAUAAAAGUAGUAUUUAAGCAACAACAUUUUCAAUGGUUGGGUCCACGAUAACCCAAUUUAAGUUGAAGGUACAAAUUUCAACGCCUUGCUUGAUCCAAAUUCUAUUAACAAUUCAAUAGAAAGAUGUGAUGCUAUUGCUAACAAAUGUCAAAUGUCUAGCUAUUUAAAUGAUUUAAUCAAUACACCUUGUCUCUUAAAAAGAAAUAAUUUUGCACACCAUCUUAUUUUCUACCCUUGUGUCGAUUUACAAAAUAUUAAAAAUUACUAUUUUGAUCUUCUCUUUUUUUUUUUUUUUUUUUUUGACUCCUAGAAAAAUACUAUACUAAAUAAAUCUUGCAAAGUAUAUGAGUUUGUGACAAGGAGAUUCCAUCGAUAUAAUGAAUUUCAUAACUUAGAUGAUCAAUUUUUAACAAUAUUUCUAAAAUAACCAAAAAGAAAAAGAAAGGGUAAUAGUUAAUGAAGCUUUUGAUUCCCAACGUAUUAAAAUGAUUUUUGAACCCUAUUAUUGGUUAGCCAAAUGAAAUGCAUACGCAGCAUUUAAAGAAUUUGAUAAAGUGUCAAAUUUAUUAAUUUGAUGAUGUGUCGUAUACUAACUAUUGAGAAGCUUCUUUGUCACACACCAUUAUGUCAUGUUGUCUAUCUCAACGUAAUGAGUGAAGAACUAAAGCUCACUUCCCCCUAAACCAUUUCAGACGUGGGAAGUAAAACAAAAAUUGUUCCAUCCAAUGAACAAGUAGAUAAGUAAGAACUUGUUCACCAUGAUUUGUGGUACCAAUAUCAGUGUUGAGGAAAGAAACCUUUAUCCUUCAUUCCAUACAUUCUUCAUAAGCCAUAGACUCAUACAUGCAAUGGACUAUGGUGUUCUGAAAGGAGAGCAAUCAAAAUUGACGAGUGGUUAUACCAAUAAACUACCUUAGAUAUAAAUUUCAAAUAAACUAAGAUAAGGAAAUGGCAACUUUCCCCUAAUUCAAUUGGAUGGCAAUGGCAUGGGGGAAUUGUUGUCAAUUAAUCUCUUAUUAUCGUUGAUAAUUAGUGUAAAGCUCCUCCCGAAAACACUUCAUAUUUCUAACCUUCGGCACUAUUACGAAAAGAAGAAGAACAAAGUUACAAAUCGCAAGAACAUCUCACGAGAAUCCCAACAUGGCCAGCUGCAUUUGCUUAAAAUUAGGGCGAAUAUUUAAAGUAAAGCUACCACCACAAACAUUGUACAUUACUAGGACAACCGUGUUUUUUCCUCUACUUUCUAAUAAUAGAACUAACAAACUCUUCAGAAUGGCCUGAAUUGUUGACUAAAAAGUAAAGGAGAUUAAAUGAAACAAGAUCGAUAGAACAGAUCUCAUGACAAAAAACAAUAAAAUAUUCAAGUAGAGAACCUAUUAAAUCAAAAAUUGAUCAGAUUUCACAAGUACAGCAUAAUUCGAUACUCAAAACAAAGCCCUCAAAAUAUAGUGAAGAAUCCUAAAUAAAAUUGAAGUCCACAAAAUCUGAGAAACCACGAGAAAAUUAAAUAGCAUAUAAAGCGUUCUUUCAAGCACGGGGUGGAGCUCCACCAGCUCCAACACGAGGGUUCUGUCCUGCCUGUCCAGGCUUUGGUGCAUCGUCCUGAGGAAAAACAUGGACAUAAUUCAACUAAUUAAACAAGCACCAACAACAGAAGCGUAUUUGUAUUUGCAAAUAAAAAAAUAAAACAAUAUAAGUAGAUUUAAAAUUGAGUGAGCAGCAACAAAACCAUGAAUUUCAACGUAAAUACUAACAAAACAGCAAAACGUUGCCUCAUGUUCCAUUAAACACCAAAGUAAACAGAAUUAGCAACCUUCAAUUUUGAAAUUGUGAGACUUGUUAAAAAACAAGGGCAAAGAAUGUGCAUUAACCCAGCAACAUGACAACAGUCAUUACACACAUCAUGAUUAACAUUAACAAAAAUGGAUAAAUAGAAAAAAGUAAGCUUUGUGAAGAUAUGUUAAAGGGUCAGCACUAAACACGUAUCAAUAGGCUUACGAUACGGCCAUACAACAGUGAGGAAUGGCAAUAUUUACAUAAAGACUCCAUUCUUAGCAACCAAAUCACACAAAAAUUGCUAAUGAGAAGCUAAUCAUCCAUUGGCAAAAGCUAGAAAGACUAAUCAUACACGAGCUCAUAUAAAUAGUCAUAUCAAUCUAGGAAAAUUAAUGAAACGAAAGAACCAAGAAAGAAAAGUAAAUAGAUUCAAAAUAUACCCUGCGUCUAAUGAAGCGCUGUGGGGGCUCACGUUUCCUCCUGUCAGUGCGUGAUCGAACCCUCACAACGUGAGAGUGAAUAGCACAAGAAACACAGUACUGCAUCUUGGCAUAAAGCUUAGGAAGAGUGUAUUCUGUAUCAAAAAACAAUCAUACAAAAAAUCACUCAAAACUUGCAACAUUGGAACAUAAAGGAAAAAUACACUCAAGAAAAGGAUCAUACGAUCAUAAACACAGGCUUCCUGAACAUCCCUAACAGCUGCCUGCUCCACAAUGUUCCUGACAAGGAACCUCUUGAUUGCCUUAUCCUAUCCACCCCAAGAAGAAACCACAUAAUUAGAUAUUCUAUACCAAACGAUAGUUCAACCGGUAAUUGCAAAUACGAGACGAAAUCAACCCAGAAUACCAACAACACAACAGGAAAAGUAAAACCCAGGAUGCGAAUUACUCGCGUCUUAAUUCGAUGAUGGUUAUACAUUGAGAUGCAAAUAGACGGAACAUCAAAAUAGGGGGGGAAAGAACCCUAGGUACCUUAGGGCAGCAUUUGCCGCAGUUGGAACAACGGAUGAAUUUCACGUGGCCACGUCCAUGCUUGUUGCGUCCACCAUUCCUGCGCUUGAAAGUCUGAACCAAAAGAGAAAUUGUUAAGCAGAAUACUAGAGGAGAACGAAGGAUCGAAAGAAAGGGGUGAGAGAUUAGGUCACCAUGGUUGUAGUGUAUGAGAUGGACGAGCGAAUCGGAGAGAAUCGGAGAGCUCGUCGGCUGAAUUAGGGUUUAUGAAUGAGUGGUAGUGAUCCUUUUAUAUGAAGGGGAAACAGAAGGUGACCUAGCGAAUGAAAUCCCUAAUUUGGCUUAUUUGCAUAUAACCCCCCAUUAUUCUUCUCUUUUUCAUUUUUUACCUACGACAUGGAUUCAUUACUCAUCUUCUUGGCCCAUUACAUUUCUUUUACACCACUUCUAAAUAUUGUUAUUAACAUUUAUAUUUUUCUUUUUAAAAAAAAAAACUUGUGUUAGAUGACAUAAACAUUUAGAGAAAACAAUUCAUGAAACAUCUUUUUUUGCAUAUUACAAAUAUAACAAGUAAUUAGUAUCACACCUCGUCCCGAAUAUCUGCUUGCUUGUCUCGCGAGACACCGUGUGACUUAAGCAUCAUUGACGCCGUUAAACACCAAAGACACUCGUCUUAACUUCCUUAUUUUAUCUUAAACACCAAAACACUUAACUUCGUGAAUAUUCUUUAGGCGAUAAAAAACUUAAAGCGAAAAAAUAAAACAACUUUAAACUUUUAUUCCUUAACAAGACAUUUAGUACAAUAACAUAAUGAUACAACACUUAACCAAAAGAUAAAAAUCAACCCUUAAACUUAAACACCUUACAACUUCUUGCCUAGCAAACCCAAACUUCCUCUUCCUUUUUGCCUCAACGUCUAAACCUUGGAAGGUAAAAUUUUAAAACAUAAGUCUAAAAUACUUAAUGAGGUUUUAUGAAAUCCUUUUUGCAAUACAUUUUUAUAAACAUCAUUUCUCAUAAAUAAUAUCAAAUCAUUUCGUUUCGCAUAAAACUUUUCUUUAUGCUUAACAAACACAUUUAUAACAUAAAAAAUUCAUAUAAACACACAUUAGUUAAUAAUUAUUCCUUUCACCGAGGAUCCCGAGUCGUUCUCUACAUUUGGUAUCAUUACCUAGUGUUUGACUACUGUAACAACAACAUCCGGGAACAUAUCAAUUUGUCAUUAUUGCUCAUAUCGUUGAGCUUUAUACGCUCCUUUCAAUGCAUAAGUCGGUUUCUUAUCACAAUGUAGUCCGUACACCCAUUGUGGUCUUAACUCUUUAUGUGCACAUAAAAGUUAGCAUCAUCUCAAGGAAUCAUGGUUUGAAAACCAUUUUAUAGCAUUGAAAUUGUAUUCAUCAAAUCAAACUUUAACAUUAUAAAUCAUGCUUGAACACAUAUAAACUUUUCAUAGAAAUCUCUUUUUGAAACACUUUCUCAUUUGAAGUCAUCUUUCAAAAUAGUAAAGGAAAAUCAUAAGAAAUUUUUUAACAUAAAACAUCUAAGAAAGCCACUCAUAGAUCGUAAAUCAACCCUUAACUGAAAUGUCCAAGACCUCUUUGAUCCAAACCUUCACUGCACAUAAACUCAUUUUCAGUCAGAACCUUUCUUCCAAUUUUAUAGCUUAAUAACAUAAAAUCCAGAACUCAAAUGAAAAUGUUUCAUUCUACAAAGUCGUUGAAAAAUUUCUUAAUAAUAAUACAUCAAAAUUUUAGCAAAAUAUUCAACCAAAUGCGUCUUGUAACCUUCUUGGAGUAAAGACUGAUCAGUUUUUAUACGAGAAUGACAUUCCUCUCUUCUUUUAACUCAAACUCCGCUUUUCUUUUCUCAAAUUAAACCAACAGCCCCAAUGUAGGAAAUAAACUAAAAAAUGAAACUUUCUAGAGUAAUUUUAUUUAAUACACACGAGUGUAGUAUGAAAAAUUCAAUAUUGAAAAUGACCUAUUUUUAGAGUCCAUUGUAUGAAUUUACGUUGACACCUCAUCUUUACUUAAAUCCACCUUAAACCUUAUUAAGACACAUCCUGCUUAUUUUUACACCUUAAAACGCAAGCUAACAAGUCUUUGACACUUCACUUAAUCCUUAAAUCGCUUGCCUUAAACUUGCCACGUGGUUGUCUAAAACGCAUAACUAGCUUCCAAUACCAUCUCACAUAGUUUCUCACUCAGACUACAUAACCCGACUUAGAAAGGUUAUAACUUAAAAUACGUAACUCUUUUGAUCAAACUUAUUUCUACAAAGUUACUUUAAAACGCGUUAACUUUCUUUUCUCUAAAUUUCAUAGCCAAACGCCAAACUAUGCGUUAUGUAGUCUUCUAGGAGUGCAUUUUACUCAAAUUCACUCAUGAAUUGACCUUCUCGCCUUCUUUUAUCCAAAAUGCCAACUUUCUCAUAUCCAAAAUGCCCAACAGCCUUCCUCAAUAGACUAGACUCAAAUUUUAUACUUUCAAGACCAACUCAUUUUAGAAGUUAGCUAAAACACCCAACUUCUACAAUCCUUCUUUCUCGCCAACCUUAAACACUCAAAAUGUCUAAAGUGCUCUUUUUUUAUACUUAAUCAAAAAACUUAUUUCUUUCAAACCUCUUAAAUAUCUUUGAAAAAUCUACAAUACCUAAAAUUCGGAUCUUACAAUUAGAAUAUCGUAGGACUAUUAGAAGUUACUAGUUUUUAAAUUUGCUGUUUUUGCAAUUUAGAAAAUAUAGUGGGAUACUAUGUUAUUAUAAAAAAAAAUCUUUUGUUAUUUUUAAAAGUGUCCCAAUUACAUUGGGUACAAAUUUAAAUAUAAAACUAAGCAUUUCAUCAAAUUUUUAAAUUUGGAGAAUAUGUCAAAACAUUGAUGUAGAAAAUAACAAAUUAUUUAAGUGGGUUUAAAUUUAAUGGCGAUUAAGUAAUUAAGCUUGAUGACAAUUUUAUAAAUAUGUGGAACUUUUACAACUUUAGGGCACUCCUUAGUGAAGCAUAAGAAAGAAAAAAAUUUAGGUGUUGUUUGUCCUCUUCGAUUGGCAUCAUGUGGGCUUGGCAUUUGAUGCCAAAUCAAUGCCCAUGGUGUAAAAUCAUAUGUUUAACAUGUAGGGUAAAUUGACGACUUUUUUUAAAAAAAAAAUUACAAAUUUCUAAUUAACCUAUGAUAAAAUGUAAAUUUUUGGUGCAUUCAAAAAGUUGGUUGGAGGGAGAAAGGAAUUAUAACAUUGUGUAGAUUUGAAUAGAGAAGGGUAAGAAUGUAAAUUCACAUAAAAAAAAGGGUUAGUUGUAAUAAAGUUUUUAGAAAUGAGUUAGUGAUAGAAAAGUUUUAGUUUUUAGGUCAGUUUAUGAAAGUUUCUUACCAUGGUUGAAGUUUGAGGAAGAAGUUAUUGUCCAUUACUGUCUUAGUUUGUUUGUUGAGGUCAUCGACGAAGGCCAAAAUUAUGUGGCCAUAGUUCGUCGAAAAAGUUAUUCUUGUUUUACAAUCCAUCAAAGUCGUUAGAGUUCGUAGUGAGCAUCACAGUCAUUUCGUUCGUUGAAUUCGACAUCGAAGUUGUUCCUUUAUCACUUAGCAAGGAAGAAAUAGUGAAAGAGAAAUAGCGAGAAGUAUGAAAUUAGAGUGUUUUAUGAGAGGUAAUUAUGACGAUCCGGAUCAAAUUUGUUAAAACUCUUUUUUAAGAAGUAAUCUUUAAAAAAGAAUGGUUUGGGGCCUUAGAAUGUUUCUUCUUCUUCUUUUGUUUGGUUAUUUUUUAUAAAUUUGUCUCAAAUUAGAAACAUCUAAUACAAUUAUUAUUAUUGGAUGGGAAAGUUGAUGUUUUGUUUGGAUAAUUGAGAAUCCAUUAAACAUAUAUAUACAUCUACAUAUACAUAUAUAUAUAGGAAGUCUAACUUGAAAAUUAACUAAAACAAUAAAAUAGGCAUAGAACAACUGUAAGGUUUCCAUUAAAAUAAUACACUAUCGUGAAAUUAAAUUAAAAAAGGAAAAGCGACUUUUUCUUCAUAUUCAUUCAGCCUCCCAGAGAAGAAGAAAGAGGGAAUGCUUUGAAUUUGGAAGUUAAAAAAUUCUUCAAUUCCGUGAAAUCCAUUUCCAUCUUUCCCUUCCCAUUUCUCCAUCAUUCAAAAACAAAACCCCCAACACUUCUCCACCUUCAAUUUUUACUCUAAACCUCCACAAUUCUGUCUCACCGGACCCGACCAAUUCAUAACUGCAAUGGUCGAUCUUUCCGAAACGGCUGCCGGCAGCGCUGAAGCCGACGGCAAAGACAUACCCUGCACCUCAUGUGACCGCCAAACUUUACUCCACCAGUCCAUGGGCGGCGGCAAAGGUAUUUCAAUUCUCCUUACAUAAUUUCGUUGUCUCUCGAUCAAUUUCGCGUUUCUGAAUUAGAUUCCUUCGACCCCUUAUCGAGAGUUGAUGUUGAAUCAGUUGGGUGCAAUCGGUGAUUCUUGAGGGGUUUGAUUUUUUAUGAUACACUGGAUGAUAUGAAGCUUUAAUUUAAAUGUUUUCUGAAAUGGGUUUGCCUGAUUCGUCCAUGUUCUUUUCAUUUUAUCUGUUUGUUUCCCUUUUUCGCAUUUCAAUUACGACUUUGACUGGUUGAAACUUGAAGUUUUUGUUACCUUUUGGCUUUGGGAAUCGGAUUCUACAUUGGCUAUUUUCCCAGUUUUAUUACAAAUUUCUUGCGUGGUUUUCAUCUUUCUUCUUCGUGUCUUAUAAGGAAAAAUUAAAACCAAUGAUGAUAUUCCCCUUUCUCGUUUGAUAAUCUUGACCCUUUGUUCUUUUGCAUAGCGGCUGAUAUUCUUCUGUGGAAACAGUGGCAUGUCUCUAUCGGCGUUCUUGUUGUUUCUACAGUAUUUUGGCUUCUAAUUGAGCACUCCGGAUUGCCAUUGUUGACAACAUGUUCAGAUGUCUUGCUGAUUUUGGUUGUCCUAUUGUUUCUUCGUGCCAACUUCGCUGCAUUCCGAAACAAGUACGGUUUUAGCUUACUUAUGUUUUGAUUCACUCUGAAGUUCUUGCAUAUCAUAGUCUUUUACAGAUGACUUUUUGCUUAUACUACUUUGUUCUUUCCAGCAGAUAAUUUGUUUUCCUCGUUAGCUUUUCUUCAUUUUCUCUCUUUAUGCAGGCAACUUCAAACACUACCGCAGCUGGUACUGUCGGAGGAGUUUGUCAACAACGUAGCAGCAUCACUUCGGGCAAAAAUCAACAACACCUUACUUAUGGCUCAUGAUAUCACGGUUGGCAAUGAUUUCAAACUCUUUUUCAGGGUUGGUAUUUUUGAAGCACCAUUGAAUUAUCAUACGUGUGAUGCAUACUGUGAUUCCUAGUCCUAAUAUCCCAUAUUAUUGGAACUUGAAUUAAAUGGCCAAAACUGAUAAGUAUUUACUGGGUUUAAGUACUUUUCUCUGAAAAUAAUAGAUUUAAGAAUGUUUUACAGGGUUGUUCUGAGGUAGUUAAUAUUUUACAGGACAGUUUCAAGAAUGCAUAAACUUAAUAUUCACUUCAAGAGCAUAAUGUUGACUUGCUACUUCUUUGUUUUUGGCUGCAAUAAUAUGAUUAACCUUGCAAACACCUUUUGCAGAUGGUGAUCGGAUUGUGGCUUUUAUCCGUCGUUGGUAGCUACGUUUCUUUCUUUACCUUUGCAUAUGUUGGUAUGCACGAACAUCCUAAAACACUUGCAUUCACAUUUCUUUAGUUCGUAUAUGUUCAUCUGUUGGUAAAUUACGAUCCUCAACGACAAGUAAACAUUCAGAGAAUUUUGUUUGUUUUGUCCAUACAUCAUUUCCUUUCAAUGUUUUUUGCUCUCAAGAAAUGAAUACUGUCUAAUGAAUGCCCCUUUGUAAUCGAGUCUUCUUAACCUAGGAUGUUGAUUUUUGCCAUUUAACUGGAUGACAGGAACAAUCAUCUCAAUAACCAUCCCUGCUUUGUACAGCAAAUACGAUAAACACGUUGACAGAUACUGCGGAAUGAUCCGCCAACAAUUUAGAAAGCAUUAUAGAGUGAUGGAUGAGAGUGUUUUCAGCAGACUCCCUGGUGGUUUAUCCAAAGAUAAAGAUCAGUGAAAAAACUCUGCCUUUAAUUUUCUAUAGUUUUACUGAAACCACAGGAAGAUUGUAACAAUGUUCUAUCACAAAUGAAUGCCUUAACUGGAUUCUUGAAGGUUAUUGCUUGGCCAUGUGUAUUUCAUACCCCAAGGUUUAAUGAUGUCAGCCAUUAUAGAUCAGAUAUCACAUAUUUUAGUUUUUAAUUGCUAGAAGAAAAGAUCAGGGUUAUGUUCUUUUUCUUUUUUGUUUGGGAGAGGUUAUUUAAUGAUAUUUAUGAAUAUUUUCUUUUGAAACUUGUAAGUGGGGAAAGCUUUUGAAUCUGGUUGGUCAAGGUCUAAUACUGAGAUUGAAUUUCCUUUUUGUCAAGUAUGGACCAGCCCACAAAAGGCCUCAUUAUUGAUUACCCAACAAUAGGUUAGUUGGUUCAUAUUUCAUAGUGUGUUUGGACUUAAAAAAAGGAUAAACUUUGGGACAUUGCAAAUUUGGUCCCUAUUAACUAUUAAGUUGGAUACGUUUACAAUUAAAUUGAUUAAACAAUGUCUUAAAUGUCUCUACCAAAGUUAAAAACUAGAAUCCUAAAUAAAAUUAUUCAAUAAGCCACAAAUAUCCUAUAAUUAAAUCAAACUUUUCACACACAAUUAAUACCUAUCAAAAUUUUAAUUUUCUUCUAAAACCUGAAAAUUAACACCUAUCACUAUCAAAGCUCCACCUACUUUCUACCGUCGUUUCACAUCUUCUUUAAAUCGUGGUCAAGUAGUCGUUUCAUAUCUUCUUCAAAUCGCAUUCAAACGUUCAGGGAUUCAAAGGUUAUCGAUCUCUUCACAUCUUUCAAACCUUUAAAAAACUUAAGGUAUUCAAACGUUGAGGAAAAGAGGGUCAUCGAACAACAUUUUUGAAAUCCUUGAAACUCUUCAAAGUCGAAAAGAUUCCAGGUUCCCUAUCUUCCGCUUACGUAGAUUCCACCAAUUUUUUUUUUUAAAAAAAAUCUUUCGUCCCCUUUAAACAUUUCAUCACUUGUAGAAACGAUUGGAGCUUCAAGUUUCUUUCCCUUCAAAUCGAUUUGAUCGGUGCAAAAGUGAGAUUUUUCAAGGGAUUUUCUUCUUCGUAGUUCUUCUUUCGUUCGUUUGAGCUCUCACUUUUAGGAAAAUUUAUUAUGAGUACGUUUAAUGUAAAAUUUGCAAAUAACAUAAAUAUUGGUAUUUCAAACUAAGGUAAAAAAGUGCAAAUCUACCUACUAUUUUUCCAGAGAAAUUUUCAAAAAUAGCAAAUUUUGACAAAAUAUUUACAACUUAUAGCAAAUUCUAUCAAUGAUAGUUUUCUUGAUAGUUAAUUCUAUCACCGAUAGUCAUUGAUAUACUAUCAAGAGAACUAUCAUUGAUAGAAUCUAAAAUUUUGUUAUAGUUUGUAAAUAUUUUAAUUUAUUUUACUAUUUUAAGAAAAAAUCAUUUAAAUAUGUAUUUUCUAUUAAUUUUUAAAAAAACUUUAUAAUUGCCACAAAGAAUAUAAUUAUUUAAAACAGAAAGAUAUGGAUAUUCGUAAUUUUAGUUGAAAUGAAAGAAACUAAUCUAACAUACGAAAUUCUUGUAUAUAUAAUUGACAUUAUUUCACGGGAAGAAUUGUAAAAUUCAAAUUCAAUUUUUUAUUAAAAAUGUAUAUUGCAUAUAAUUCAAUAAAUUGUUAAUGAAUUGUUUAAAAUAUAAUAAAUCUGAAAAUCUUGUAUAUAUAUUUUACAUCGUUUUAGGGGAGGUUGAUGAAAUAUUGUCUAGCAACAAAAUAGCAUAUUUAAUUAAAUUUGAAUGUUGUUUGAGAAAUACAUUGUCUCUAUACAAUUUGUGAUAUCUUACCUCGUUUUUGGAUCUACUCAAAAUAUUUUGAUUAAAUAGAUUAUCUUAUACCUAGGGAUAGAUUUGAGUUUAAAAUAAUUAAAUACCUUUUCGCAAAAUACCGUUUGUAAACAUCAUUUUGCUAAACAUAUUCAAUUACAUGAAUUCAUUUUUUCACAUAAACUUAUCAUUUCGCACAUCACAUCAAUUUACAUUUCCAAUAUCACACAUUAGUCAAGUUAUUCCUUCUGCCAAGAAUCUUGAAUCAUUCUCUACGCAAGGACUCAUCAUCCGCAUUUAGACUACUAAGAUGACUUUUUCAUCAUCAACAUCCAAAAAUAUCUUGAUUCAUUCUUGUUGCUCAGGCCGUUCAUUUUCGUUUUCUACAUUGGUCCGCUUUACUCCACCAUGCAGUCCUUUUUUACAUGACUGCCUUUACCCCUAUGUGCACAUAACAGUUAACUCAUCAAUAGAAAGAUAACUAAUGAUUUGAACAUUUAUUCAUAAACAUCCACAAUCUCAAUAAACAUACUUUGAAAUACAACAUAAGUUUUAUAUAUAUAUAAAAAUCUCUUUUUAGAAAGCAUUUUAUUUGAAUAAUCAUUAACUCAAAUCAAUAAGAAACUUAUAAGGAAAACUUUUAACACAAAUUUUUAAAUAAAGCACUCACUACAGUUGGAAAAUAAACUUCAAAGGCUUCUCCUCUUCUUCUUUUCUCGUCGACAAAUUGACAACACCUCAACACUUAAAUUUUUUCCUUCGAAUUCUCAGAAUAAUCAUCCUUAACAUUAUGAUCUCAUACUCUACUUAUACUACUUCAUUAUCAAGCUUAGUCAUCUUUAGUCUCUUAUUACCUUACUAACUCCUACUCUUAGUGAUGCAUGUGUAAGCUUAAAGUUUAACUUAAUCAUGUUUAAGUACUUAAACUCUACAUAUGGUCCAUUAAGCAUACUUAGAAAAUUUAUGUGAAUUGAAGUUUCCUUGCUUCUUCAAGUAGUCAUUUAUCUUGUGAAACACCUUAAUCGCAUAAAAACAUAACUUUAAAAAAAAAUCUUGUCGCAUAACCUUUCUCACAGACUAACCAACCUUUUCUCGCAUAGUCCAUCCAAAACGUCUCUUUCAGGACAUUUAGUCAAAUUUUACUUCUUAUAUUAACUACGAGUCUUAACUACAAGUUUUACAUUAACAGAAAUCCAUAAAUGUGUGCAUCCCUCAUUUGCUAAAAAUCUUAUUCUCGCUAGUUUUUGCUAUAUUUCCAACUGCAACCUCUAAAUUUGUCAUUCCUACAUGUCUCUUAUGAAUUUUAUCGGGAAUCAAUGGUAAUCACGUUUUUUUGUUGUUUACCCAUGUGUUGCAUAGUCGAACUUUGGUCUGGCUCGUGUUUGAAAAUUUCACCCUUACCCAGAUACUCUAAUUGUGUAUAAAAAUUAUGAAUUUUUAUCACUUAUUAUUAUGUUUACCAUUACCAUUAUCAUUUUUGAUUGAAAUCUAUUAUAAUUGAUUGGUAAAUUUGACCUAAAUUGUAAUUUGCGAAACCAGAGGGUUAAAUUGUUUCAUGAAAUUAUAAGGGUCAAAUUUGAUGAAAGGGGAUAACUUCACAUUAACUGCAAUACGUAUUUAAAGCUAAAUUCACAUUAUUUGCAGUAUUCAAUUAACCAUAACAUCAAAACAACCUAAAUACUGGCAUGAACAAAUAAUUUAUAUUUGGUAUGUUGUUCUAUAUGCAAAAUUAUAUUUGGUAUACUGUUUGUGUAAAAUGCUACACACACAUAUAGACAAACAAACUAUGAUUAUAAGAGUUACAAAUGUGGGAAAAAGUUAAAAUUAAAGCAAAUGGGUGUCCCAUUUUAUAUUUUGAUGGUCAUAUGAGUUUUCACAUCCAACCAAAACAUAGUUUAUUGAAUCAUUGUACUCUUCCAUAUCAUCUCAUUAUCUAUUGUCCAUCCACUUCUCACUUCUUCUUCUUCUUCUUCUUUUUAAUUUCCAUUUUUUCCCUUAAUUCAAGAAAUGCAAUGCAGACGACUUACUUUUAGAAAAGUAAUUUAUGUUUUAUUUAUUAGAGUAUGUUAGUCUAAGCAUUUCUUUUUAUUUUACCUUUUCAUCAUCUAUUCUUUCCAUCACAACUUCUACUUCUAAACGUGAAGUACCAAACUUCCUAACUCCAUUUCUUUUUUCUGUUUUUUAUGAUAAAUUGCCUUCAAAGUUGGUCCAUCUAUCUAUCCAAAUGCCUUUAUCGUCAUUAAAUAGUAACAAUUUACUUUUGGGUAUAGCAAGUGAACUUCACGACGUAGAUGACAUGCAACUAUGACAAUUAGCAUUGAUUGCGUUUUAAAAUUUUAUUUCUACAGAAAGAAAGAAAGAAAGAAAAAAAAAAGUAGCCAAAGAAUUAAUACUUGACUUAAAAACUGCAAUUAAUAACAUACCUAAAAAAAUCCAUAAACCUUUGCUAUUUAUGUUAAAAUUACUCAAUUGUUUUUGAACUUACAAUAUUACCCUUUCAUAAAACAAAUUCAAAAGUGCCAUCUUAUGUUAAAAGAUUAUAUAACUCUUAACAUUAAAACUUUUUUUCACGAACAAAGGGAAUGAAGCUAAGGGUGUUAUUAUUUUUAAUACAAGUCUCGUUUUAAGCUUUAUGUUAAUAGAUGGAUUAUAGAUAACUUAUUACAUUAAACUUUCAUUAAGUAUCACUAAUGAUAAAAGAGUGCCAAAAAGAUAAUAGGCAUAACAAAAAAAUUAAAAGAAGUACUAGAAAAAUAAGAUGUACAUAUUAAGAAAAAUAAAGCUUUUCAAUUAAAAGGAAAAAUUAUAUAUAUAAAACAGAAAACAUUAAUGCAACGUCCUCAUACUAAUAAAUUGAGAGGACUAAAUCAACAAUUCCUUUCUAAACAUAGAAAACUCCUUCUUCAGUAACCAUUUUUCUUCUACACACAAUAUUUUCCUAUAUAUUUUAUAUUUAUGAAUAUAUAUUUAUUAUAUAUAUAUAUAUUUUUUUUGGGUUUUUUAAAUCCCAAAGACCUAGCGGGUGUGAGUCAACCACCACUGCCAUAGCCGGCCACCGAAACGAGGGCGCCCGGAGAUCUUCCUACUCUACCCUGUGUUUUACCCUCUCUGAGCUUCUUUUUAGAAUUGGCCUCCCUCGAACGUCUGACCGAACUGCCAGUUCGCCGGAACGGCGUCGUAGCUAGUGACGGUACGGCCGUCGCUGGUGGUGACUUGGAAAGAGAGGCUCUGUCCAUUCAAGUAAUUGUUGCUCUGCCAAUUCUGACCCCAAUUUCUUGACAUCGCUUGCCACCCUGUUUUCGAACCUUUGAUUGACACCGAAUGGAUGUCUCCGGCGCCGCCCACAUUGGUGAUUAGAACUAAGUUGAAGUAUGAAUGUCCGUUAAUGGUGAAUCUUAUUCCUCCCUUCUUCAUACAGGGUACUCUGUAAUUCAUCAAAAUCAGAGAUGAGACAAGAAAAAAAGAAAAGAAAAGAAAAGUGGAUGGUUUUAUCUGUUAUAAAUCGAAGAAAUUGGUUUUUAAUUUGACCUUUGGAAAGAAACGGGAACGAUUCCGGCACGGUACUGAGCGAUUUGGAGAAAGGCAGGCUCAGCCAAAUCGAAGUGUUGAAGAGGAGGGUUGCACCAGCCGCCAUUGUCGUUGGACAGAGCAAAGUUUGGUGGACAGAAAUUAGUGGCGGUGACGAUGAUUUUUCCGGGAAGACACCAUUUAGGAUCACUGUUGCAAGUGAUUUCAUAGCAAGAGCCACAGCUGAGACCAUUGUUGAAGAGAGCAGUACUAAGCGCCGCCGUGUUCGUUCCAUAUCCUUGACUGUACAAAUUCCCAUACCCACAAGCUCCACCUGAUAAAAAGAAAAAACCCAAUUCGUCAUUAGGACAGAAGUCCAAAGAAACGAUCAUAAAUCACCCAUUGACCAGAAAAACAAAAUGGAUAUUAACUAGAGAGGAAGUAACAAUGGAGCAACUUGAAUCUACAAUCUCUUGUAAUCUUAAAAUACAAAUGACCCAAAGCAAAUGAGUAAAACGUUAAUGGAAGAGAAAGGAAGAAUUGAAAUCGUAAAAUAGUGAAGGGUUAAAAAUCUGAAGUUGAUGGUUGAAAGUGAAGAAAGGAAGAUGGAUAGUUUGAUUAGUUAGUUUACCCAUUGUGCCAGAAGCGUCACCACCGCCGUAGAAGGUGGCGUGGCCGUAAUCGGCAGAGAUUGAAGGAAGGAAAAUGAGGAAGAAAACAGAAAGAGAAGAGAGUAGUGAUGAAGGAGCCAUGGGAGAAGGAAGGUUUAAGAGUUUUGUAGUGAAGGGUUUGUAGUGGGGGAGUGGGAAGAAAUAGAAGAGAGGGUGUUAUUUAAAUAGAGGGGAAAAGAAAGCAGUUGAAGAAAAGUACAAGUUGGCUAUAAUUGUGGUGGAGAUUGGAAUGCAAAAUAGAAUAAAGCAAAGGGUAAAAUAAAAUAAAAAGGAGAAAAUAUAUGUUUUGUUAUAUGUUUUGAGAAUCUUUUAAUUUACUUCGUUCUCUCAAAAAAAAAAAAAAACGUAAAAGAGUUUAAUUGUUAAGAAUCACAAAAAUUCAUUACCUCUCUAUUUUUUUAUUUAUUAAAUACUCAGUUUCACCACUAAUGUUAAUAUAUAUUGCAAAAACUGACAAAAUUAGUCCCUAAAAUUGAAAGGCAAUAGAAAUUAAUUUGAAAAAGCAGGGUUGUUAUCAUUUAAGUGAGUGAGUUAGAGGUUAAUUUAAAAUACUAAACAUGAACAAGAAGUGAGGAACAAAAAAGUGAAAUAUUGAAUGAAAUUUGUAUUAAAAAGACUAAAAAUAUAAUAUUUAAAAACAUAGAAAUCCAAUAAAAAUAAAACCCAAUAGAUGAAUUAAAAUGAGAGGGGGAAGAAGGGGGAAGAAGGGGGAAGAAGGCACAUGGGAGGCGUAUGAAAUGGACUACCAACUCUUUAAACACGGGUGGGCCCAUACAGCACAUGCUUUUUUCUUUUCUUUAAAUUUGGAUGGGGAAAGGGAAUACGUAAUUUCCACGUGGCUGGUAUUUUGUUCGUUGGUAAACGGUAGUUAGGAAUCUGUGCCGUUAGGAUAUACCUGAAUUUCCGCUUCUCUUCUAUAUUACCAUAUCAAACAAACGCCCCUCACUUUCACAUUUCUAGGGGUAAGGGUAACCCUAUACCCCUCUUCUCCUCUCCUUUCCCGCCCUGAUCCCCUUCUCCUUUUCCCUCUAUCUUAAAUAUAUACUACUCUUUCAUACCUUUCAUUUUUAACCCUCAAAUUUAUCUAAUUAAUCAAUUUUCAUACCCUCUUUCUUUCAUCCCUCCCCUCUCCUGAUUAUCUCAUUUUUACCCUUCAAUUUUCUCUAACCACCCUUUUUCAUUGGAUGUGAGUCAAGGUCAAUGUAUGUCCAACACCCUUAUUUCUUAUCACUCAUCUUUCAUCCUAUACCUUCACUAUCUUCAAUCCAAAUUCAUAUAUCAAAACAGAGUCAAAAUAUGUCUUCAUAAAAGUGUAGUCUCAUCAUUUUUAAAAAACAAUGGACAAUCAUAUAUGUGUGUAUAUAUAUAUUCCCCAUAUUAUUCAUCAUUACAUACACACCCAUAUUCCUAAAUUAUUGGCAAAUCAAUUAUUUGAAUUUCAACAACAUCUUUUCAUAUAAAAGAAUUCUAAAUAAAUCUUUUGACAAAAAAAUUUAACCGAUUAUUUUAUAAUUACUUUUACUUCUCUAAAAUAUUUGAAGCCAGAUUAUGAAUGAAAGUAAAAUUUAAUAUCAUAUCAUCUUUUAAGUAGUAACCAAUGAAGAAUUCGUCAACAUGAGUUCAAUGCAAUUGACAUAUGUGUAUUCACUUUCUCAUAUUCUCUUUACAUUUAGCCUUUUUGUUUGACUUUUUUUGUACUCAUUAAAAUAGCAUAUUGAAUUAAUAAUUCUAAUAAGUUUGAGCCAUUUUAGACAUUGAAACUCUAGAUUUGUACAUUUUUGCAUGUUUUGUUUGUCGUGGAAGCCAAUGAAUUAAAAUUUAGUAGUUUAUGAUUAAUAUGUAACGUUAGACUUAGACAUGAAAAAUGAGUUUUUAAGCACACAUUUAUAUUAAUAGUAAUUAAUUAAAUGAAGAAACACACAACUUGUAAGAAACAAAUUAUUCAAAUAGUACUAAUUUAAUUUGUAAAGUAAAGUGUUGAAAUAGAAAAUUGUUAUUGUUGGAUCCAAAUUUGAAGAUGGAUCUACCUUUCAUUAUUUAAACGUUCUUACAAAUUUUGGUAGAUUGAGAAAAAGAGUAUCUCUCGAUUAAAGUGUUGAACUAGUUAAUUAAGAAGAAAAACUUAAUUAUAACUAAGAAGACAAAAAAUCAGUUGAAAUGUUAUUUAUUGUUGAAAUUAAUAUUGUAAUAGACUAGUUCAACUCUCAAGAAUAAUGGAGUUUAAUCAUGUUUUGACUUCAUAUAUUAAUUUUAAUUUUCACAAUUAAAAUAUUUGGUCAUAAUAAGAAAAAUUAAACCCAAAAAUUACACUAACACUCAAAUCAAUUGAACCUAAAACCUAAUGAAAUCCAUCAAUUUUGACUCCCAUUCAAAGUGUUCGCUAUUUUAUAAAUUGACUUUUGGUGAUUAGCCACAUAUUUUCAAAAUAAUUUUUUUUGACUUUCUUUCUAGUUUUAAAAAAACCGUACUUACUCUCAAGUCUCAAUUUUAUUAAUUUAUUUACACAUAUUUCAAAACACAAAUAAAUUUGUUAGAAAUGAAUAUUAAGAUCUAAUAAAAUUUAUCUUUUUAUUUUUAUAAAAUUUGAAAAUAGAAUGAUCACUAAAUUGUUGUUUCAUAAAGUUUAGAGACUAAUUUGUUACUUUUAUAAAAAUAUAUAUGUAAAAACCAAGGUAAUGUUUAAUUUAUGUUAGUAGUGAGUUAUGAAUAAAUAAGGCAUAGAUUAGCGCCUAGCGGCAUCAGUUAUGAGGCCUUGAAAUAGAGAGAAAUUUUGGAGAGUAAAAUGAGAAGGUCGGAAAAGAAAAUAAAAGGGUGGGGGAGAAGACAAGUUGGGAUUGUGAAGUAAAAGUAAGUAACAAGAUUGUCUCAAAAGAAGCCAUUAAAUCCAAACAAACAAAAAGGAAAAAAAAGAAAAAGAUAUGGGAAUCUUAAUAUUCAUAAAUUGAUUUCUCUAUCAUAUAACUCCAACCCAUUUCAAUCUCAAUAAAUUUAUAAAUAAACCAAAAAGAAAUACACUAAUUUAUAUGUAUAUAUGGAGAGAGAGUUUGAUUUAUAAAACAAAACCGUCCAUAUAUAAUCCAAUUAUCCAAUCCAAAAUAUUAGAAGGGGAAGUUCAAAAAGUGAUAUAGAAACAAAAGAUGGCAUUAAAUAUAAAAUGAAGUUUGAUUGGUAUGGAUUUAUAAUAUGAAGAGAGAUUUUGAAAUGAAAAUAAAGAAAAAAGAAAAAUGGGGUCUACCAUGUUAGGGAGCACAUGGAAGGGCCGAUGUUUGCGCCUCUAUUUCUAACACAAAUCCAAAUAUUUAUUUAUUUUUUGUCAGACACCGACUUUUCUUUUAUUUUCACUUCUUUUUUCUUUUAUAAUAUAUAUAUAUAUAUCCCCAUGAACAUCAGUCAUCACCAAUUCACUUUUUUAUUUAUUUAAAAAAAAAAAGAACAAACAAAUAAAAACACCAAACCUUUUUUCUCUUCUAGGUUUUCCCCUGCCACAUCUUUUUUUUUUCUCUUUCCUUUUUAAUUUCAGAGACUUUUUUUUAAAAAAAUUAUUAAUUUAAGAAAAGGGUUUUUUUUCUUAUCUAUUUGGGUUGAAAGAAAUUGAACCGCCAUUUAGUAUCUUUGGUUUAAAAUAAUGGCUCAAAUAUAAAUUAAGCUCUAACCGACAAUAUUUGAGAUUAAUUAGUUUAAACACACAAUUUUGGCGGAAUCAUCAUCUAUUCAUUUGGUUUUCUUUUCUUUUUUAAUUCAUUUCUCUAUUGCAUCAAUUCUAUUGUUUGGACUUUAAAUAGGUUUUUGUUCAUAAUUUAUUUGUGUAAACUUCUUUUAAGGUACACGUCCCUAGAUUUCAACUAUACACCUAUUAACAUUCAUAAAAUUUAGUCAAGGUAGUAUUAUUUAAACGUUGUCAUCUUCCUACAAAAAAAAAAAAUUAAACUAAGUUAGGUUUGGGUCUAGUUUUUAUUUUUAUUUUAAUUUACAUUAAAAUUUGCGUAUUAAAAUGUCCCUGAUGUAUUUCAUUAGACGUUAUAAUUAAAAUAGAUUAAGUUUCAUUAUUUUUCUUCAAAAUUAAAACUAAUUUAAAAUUUUCACUUCAUCCAAACAUUAAAAGUGAGCAUUUAAUGAAAAAUCAAAGUUAAAAUCGUAAAACCUUGAAAUCGAGAGAAAAAAUUGAUCAAGUCUCAAAUUCCAAAAAGGUAAAUUAAUUGUAACGUUUUCAAACAUAUAAAUUAAACUCAAAAUUUAAACAAUAUAAUCGUCGCAACAUUUUGAAACUUAAAGGUUAAAACGUGUAGGAAGCAAGCAAAAAUAUCAAAAUUGUAUUUAAUUAAACUUUGUUUUUGUAAAGUAAGUAUAUACUACUUUUUCAAUAUGUUUGAAAACAUUUUCUCAGACCAUAGUAUUUAAUUUUUUGAUGGAUAUGUCCGGUGUUUAUUCUUCACAUGUAAUUAUAUAACGUUAGUCAAUUUUGGCAUAUUGAAAUGAAUAGAUCAUAUAAAAGAAAGAAAGAACCAAGGUAGGUAGCAUAAAUAUAUAUACAUGAAUGAAGAGAAUAAAUAAAUUUAAUUUUGAGAAGAAGGGAAAUGAAUUGUUUUUUAUUUUGUGUAAGAAAGAAAUCAAAAUGCAUGUGAGAAGAAAAUGAUUUGAUUGAGCAAAAUCUUCUAAAAAUGUGUCUGUUUGUGCAUGGAAGAAGGUGCAUGCAUGCCAUGCAUGAUUUUUCAUCAUUUCUUUUAUGAAAAAUAAAUAAAUAAAUACUCAUCAUAUCAUAUCAUUGUAUAUAGCAAUAUAAAUGUGGGGGGAGACAUGAAGACAAUAUAUAUGUGAUAAACACACACACCAACCUUUUUUUCAAAGUAUCUUUUUGUUUUAGUUUUUUUUUUUACUGCUUUUUUUCAAUUAAAAAACAAAAAAUUAGAAACAAAUCAAAUAAUAAUAUUUUAAAGUGAAAUGAACUUAGAUAAAUUAUACUUUGAUUUGGGCAAACAUAUUGCAUGUGAUGUGCUUAUGGGGUCAAAAAUAUUGGCUUUUCUUAUCUCAUAAAUUCAUUAUUGUCAUUGUCAAAAGCUGUAUGGAAUUAGAGAUGCUAUUAAGAAAUGAUUAGCCUUUUCUUUUGAAUCAUCUAUCUAUCUACCUCUAACUUUCAAUUUACUUUUAUUUUAAAUUGGAAUUAUUUCUUUUUUCUACUCUUCCCAUUUACACAAAGUAUAUCAAAACGACAAAAAAAAAAAAACAAAAAAAAUAUCAACUAUAUAUAUAUAUAGCUAAUUGGUAAAUGAGCAAAUUAAAAACUUAUUAUAAGGGCAUACAUAGGCAUCAAAUCUUGUCCAAGUUUUGGGCUUCGUUGUGGGUGGUGGUCUUGAUUUCAUGUGCCCUUACUCUCAGGUCGUGAGAUGUUCUUAGUUGACUUGUAUAAGAGAUUUUCAUAUUAGUGUCAUAUAAUGUUAAAGCCUACUGCAAUUUGAUACCUAAGUUAGUACAAAUAAUUACUAGUUCGGUAGAGCACAAAAUAAGUAGGGUUAUGGGUCUUUUAUUUGAGACAUUAUCUUAUCCUCUCCUUUUUGGGAUUGUUAAAUGAAUUAUUUAUAGUUCUGUUCUCUACGUAUGUUUAUGUUUGUAGGUGACGAUGACGUGGUGCGAAAGACAUUUUUGACACUUGAGUUUAUAAUGUGCCAAUUUGGAACUAACUCAAUUAUUUUUUGAUCAGUAUAUAAUCAUCAAUAAUUUUUUUUUGAAUUUGUUCUUUUGAGAAGUCUACUCCCUUAAUCCUUUUCUCAUUGCCCUGUGGAUGUAGGCUGGUUCAUGGACUUUAGAUCUUACUACAAUUCUUGACAUAAUUAAAAAGAAUAUAGAAAGUAAAGAACUAUAAAGAGAAAUCCCUUUGUGUUGGAUUUGAAAAUAAAGGGAGUAGUGUGUAAACUAAACCUUUUAACUUUUAACUUUUAACUUUUUUAUAAUGAGUUUUGGAUUGACAACCUGGGAAAAAGUGUUUGUUACAUAACUUUGAUGAUUCCAUAACCAUAUAUGAAUAUUUGGAACUAUUUUAAAAAAGGUUCCAAAUAUAUGAUGUUGUCACAAAAGAAAAGAAAAGAAAAAGGAAUAGGAACUUAAAUGUGGAUGGAUGGAGGAAAACAUAGUGAUGGAAGUAGGAAGAAAAAAGAUAUCCACAAAAAGGGCAUGUGAGGAAAACUAAAAACUAAAAACAAUAACAUUUAUCCAAAAAGAAAAGUCCACUUGAAAGAGAGAAAAAAAGAGAGAGAUGAAAGUGGCCUUAGGAUGAAAGGAAUAUGAGGCCAUUCCAUUUGGGAAGAGGAAGAGGAAGAAGGAAGGGGUUGAGUGAGAUUUGAUUCACUUCAAAUUGGAACCACAAAGACAAGGAAAGCCCUCUCGGUUGAAGGCCAACGGCAAUCCCAUGUGCUUGCAUUUAUGCCUUCACAUUUGUAGGACCAAUUUCCCUAAAACCUCCCCCUACUUACAAAACCUUUCUCCUUCCCUAUCAAUUUUAGGUUUUUUUUUUUAAUAUAUCAAUCGUACAAUUCAGAUAGAACCUCUUAUCUCAACAAUCAAAACGUCAUAUCAAGUACCAUUGGGCUAAGUUUACUUUAGCAUCUAAGUUUUUGUUUACAAUACUAAUUUUGGUGACAAUGUAAUUACUCUACUUUACAACAACAUUAUUUCAGCGUUAAAAACACUUUUUGUUUCUCAAUUUUCAAGAAAGUAACAACUUAGUGAAGGUAUAAAAGUCUUUAGCGGUGGAAGACAUUACAUAACUAUAAACUCAAAUUUAAUUAAAAAAUUCUACAUUGACAAUACAGAGAAACAAACCUACUGUAAGAUUAAAUAGAGCUAAACAUGAAAGAAAAUAAAGAAGAUUUGAAACUUUUUGUCAUUGACAUCUCUAAAUCCUAGAAAUCACUAAAUUUGUUGUUGAAUGUUCGUAACACAAAUUGUGUUAAGUUAUUGUUUUACCCCUUGGUUACUUCUUAGUUCUUAAACAGAAGGAAUAUGUUGUUGUCUACUUAAAUUACUUCAAAACUAACUUAUAAAUGUAAUAGUGAUUAAUUUGUUUGUAGGGGGAAAGGCUAACAAGGUGGGUUUAGGGGUGAAUGAGUGAGAGUAAUUCCCUAAAAAGUUCCAACAACCCUAUUGUAGUUCACUUAGCACAUUUUAAUUGUGACAUUAUGUCACUUAAAUCUUUAAUCAAGUCAACUAAGUUAAUUACAACAGCAAAAACAAAUUAGUGAGAAAAAUUGUGGAAAGUUGAAGAACCAAAUUGGUAGCUUUAUUUAUUUUUAUGAAAAAUAAAAGAAUUUAAAAUAGGAAGGGUUGGUUGGGCGGGCCUAUGGCAGCAGCUACAAGCAUUUGCAAUUACUUUUCUUUCAUAAACUCAUUUUUGGAUAUGAAGCCCAAGACAUUUCAAAAGUGAAUCUGGGCCUACAGAGCCCAGCCCAUGUAGAGUUCAUCAAGGGAAUGAAGAUGGAAAUGAGCGUUUAACCCUCUUUGUUUGUUAGGGACAUCUCAUCAGAACAGCCAACAAAACAAGUUUUAUUUUUCCUCCCCUUUAAUAAACCUUUUUAAGUUUUAUUUACGUAUAAUUGUAAAAGAUUAUAUGCAUGAAAUUGAGAGUUAUGAUUUAAUUUUAGAUUUGAAAGCUUUUGUAAAAUGAAAUUGAAUAGAAAUUAUUGUGAGUUAAAGAGUUUCCCAGAUCCGCAGGUAAGAGGUUGGUUAUAGGGACCCACAUCCAUACCAAUUCCAACUUUAUUAUAUAAUAAUAAAUAGUAAAUAUUUGGUCUUAAUUUUUCGAAAAUAGAAAAUUCACCAAUUUUAGAUGCCUUUCUUUCCCAUUCACUUUCUCAAAUUAAUGCUCCCUUUUCUAUUUUCUAUCCUAAACAAAUUCAUUCUUAUUCGGUCUUUUUUAUUCUUUUAACAUUUUAUUUUUUUUAUCACCUCAUCUAUUUUGUCUCUUUUCACUACUAACUCUCCAUCUCUCUCUCUCUUCAAUUAUUUAUAUAUAUAUGAAAAUAUAUUACCAAAAAUUUAAAAAGAAAAAAAAAAUCGACAAGACAAAAUGUCACUCAACAUUUAGGUUCACUCAUCUCUUUUGCCUAACGUUUUAUAUGAAAGAGAUGUGCUUAAGAUGUGACAUCCACACCUUAAAUGUAAUACCUCCCCGGUAGUUUACAAAAUGUCGUAACUAUACUAAUUCAAUUGGUAUAAUAUUUGUACGACUAUUACAUACUCUUAAAGUUAAAAUAUUCGAAUUCUCUUAAAAAUUUAUAGAAUAAAGUUAUGUUAAAUAGUAAUGACUCUAUUAAAUGUUUUAAUGAGAUUGAUAGUUUGAGAAUAUUGAAUUAGGGUAGAAAUGUUUGAAACAAAAAAAGCUAUGAAAGGUAGUAAUGAACGAUAGUUUUUUUAGAUAAAACAAUUAAUAAUACUUAUGAUAUUAAUUUGAAUAGGAAGAUCCCUUAGGGCUCUUUAAAUGUUUUUAAAAAAUCACAUUUUUUUAAAAUAGUUUAAAUUCGUGUUCGCUUUACAUUCGUGUUGAUUUAUCAUAGCUUCAAACUUUGGUAUUUGGCGGAUGAACUCAAUUUAGCUCAAAUAACUCUUAUUAUCUAUGAUAAUUUUGAGUUUUAGUUGUAAUAUUAAUAAAACUACAAAAAUUUGUCGACUUUUUUAAAAUAAUUUUUCUAAUAUUAAAAUAUUAAACUAAACCAAUAAUUUGAAUUGCUUUGGUUGUUAAUCUCCCUAGAUCUUGUUUAUCUCUACAUACAUUCUUGUAUAUACAUUUUAUAAUUUCUAUAAUUUUUAAAAAAUUAUUAACAUUCAUAUCUAUUAAAAUUAAAACAUACUAAAAUUAAAACAUACUAAAGUACUCAUAUCAAUAGAUCAAAGAUGCACCUAUUUUGAUGUAGCACUUGCAUCCACUAUACACAUAAGGAAUAAAGAAUUUAAAUAUUUUAAAAAAGAAGUUAGAAGAAUUCUCCACUUGAAAACUUUAUGAUUGAACAAUAUCGUAGAAUGUUUUUCUUACAGUUAGUUUGGAUUCCAAAAAGUUUUAAAUCUUAUGAUUUGAAAUCCCAUAAAUGAUUUACUUUGUUUGAAUUAAAAUGAGAAAGAUUUGGAAUUGAUGUAUUUAAAAUUUGAUGUUGGGAUGGUAAUUGAAAAGGAAAAUAAAGUUAAAAAUUUACUAAUAUUAUCUUUUAUGUAAGAAUUUGUUAAUUGAAAAUUAGAAAAUGAUGAAAUGAAUUAUGUAAUUUACUUUUUGAAAUGACGUGAAAUCAAACCAUUUAAGCCAAUUAAACUUUUAAAUUAAAAAAAAAAACAAGAUUUGAAAUCAUUUUGAAUUUGCUUUUUAUGUGAUAGCAAACAACAAAACUCAUUUAAAAUCCAUUAUAAAUUGAAAAUUAUAAAAAAUCAUGCUAUUUCUAAGUGAGGAUUAAUUAGAUGGAUGCUCUUUCAAUUUAGAGAAUUAGUUAGAAUAUUAUACAUAAAAGAUAAAAAAAAUGGGUCAGGUAUAAUUUUGAGUGAGAAGUGAGAAUCAAAAUUAUGGAUAAGUAUAGGGUUAAGUAAAAAAGAGAAUUAAAGCAACGUAGAGAUUCCUACCCUCAAUUAUGUUCAAAGAUGAGGAUAAUUGACUUUCUUUUUCCCUACUACAAAAUAUGAAAAUACACUAUUUUGUGUUUGAAUGUGUUCAAUUUUUCUUCUUCUUCUUUUUUUCUUUUUUUUAAUGUAAUUUUUUAUCCUAAAUGGUCCUAGGUAGAAUAAAGCAUAUAAUUCAGGAGUGAAAUUUGUGGCCCCAACCAAAAUUCCAUAUACUCUGUCAUUGCAUGGGACUGCAAAAAAUAAUACUCUAAUAAAUUAUUCGUAAUCCACAUAUCAUUUAAUUACCAAAAUAAAGCUUAUGUUAUUAAAGAGUAAAAAGUAUAUAAUACAUUGAACAAUAUUGGUUAUAUACUAAUAUGAAUGUUUCUAUAUAUAAAUACUAAUACGAGUAUGUGUGAUUAUAGAUAAGCCAUGUGUAGCAAUGAACAUAAGGUUGAUGACAAGUGGUAGCAAAGGAUUGAAGUAUGAGCGAAGUAAAAUCCAAGUCUCAUAGAAAGCCAAUCAAAUCCACUCAAGUUUGGCAAAAAUAAUUUUAUUCAUAAUGAUGAAGUUUAGUGGAAUUAGUCAAACCAAGUUAGAGAUUUAAGUGGGUGGAAAAUCCAAGUGAAUAUUGGUUCAAACAUUAUUGUAAGUUUGAUAAAUUAGAAAAGAGGAUUCAAAUAGUAUCAUUUGAAUUUUAUAGUUUAAUACAUGGAUGGAAAUUGGAAAAUUUUGAAAUAUUCACAUGGAAGCAAGAUAUUAAGAAGCUAAAUGAGAAUUGAUUUAAAUCGUGCUUUUGAAAUAAUGAAUGGGAAAUUAGGAAGGAGCCAUGAAAUGAAAUGAAAAGAAAAGAAAGAAAGAAAGAAUGAGCUUCCCUCAGCCACGUGAUCUCCAUGUGCCUAUUUGGCUUAGUUUCAUCAAACAAAGCCCCACACCCCUUCAUCAAACAUCUUCCCUUUCUCACAUCUCUCCUUAUCAACACUUUUUUUUUUCUCUCUAAUUAAUUAUCAAAUUUCUUAAUACUUUAAAUAAUAAAUAAAUAAAUUAUUAUUAUUAUCUAAGUUUUAAAAGUAUAAAAUAUUCGUAAACAUAAAUUUCAAAACCGAAAAGAUUAUCAAACUCAAUUGUAACGAAUAAUUUUAAGUUUUAGAACAUUUGAGACUUGUAACUUUGAGUAAGCAAGUUUGAACUUUUUGACCUCUUUAUCCUUAUCUGAUUAAUUACAUAAAUCUAUUCAUUUUUUAUUUCAAGGAGUAGAGGUUUACCAAAACCUUGCAAUUGAUGAACCUUACAAGCUACUCAUUCUUUAAACUCUCUCUUGUGACAAUUUGUAAUGUUUCAAAAGCUAUGGAAUCAACUUUAAGAAAGUAAUUUGUAUGUCACUAUCACAUAAUAAAUUUAUUUUAUUUUACAUUUAUUUCUUAUAAAGUUUAGAGGGGAGUGAUAACGACUUUAAAUGAAAUUAUUUUCUUAAAAAAAAAAUCAAAAUUUUAAUAUUCUUUUAUAGUUCAAUUACAUUAGAAAAAUCAAUAUUUAAUAUUAUUAUCUUAACCAAUCGAAUCAUAAAUAAGUUUACAAUAAUUGUGAAAAAGGAGAAUCAAACUUUUCACCGUUUGAAAUGAAAGGUAUGUCAAUUCUUGCUUAACUAAGCUCACUUUGACAAUUAACAAUCAAUUGAAUUUUGUCAAUUAAGUCAUCAUUAUCAUAUUAUAUACUUCUAUAUUAUAAAACUCCAACUAUAUACAUUAGCAUAGUAGUUUUAGAAACGGUAGAAAAUAUAGCGAUUAGAUUCAAAAUAUUAACAUUUUUUAAAAAUUUUGAUCUUAGAUAAGAGUUUAUUAGGGAUAAGACUUCGCAAUAUUUGUAAUUUAAAAAAAUGUUAUUACACACGUGAUUAUUAUUCCUUUUAUCCUAAACUUUAUCCUAUAAUGAUAUUAUCUCAAACCAUGUUUUUAUAUGCAAAUUUAGAUAUAGAGAGGAGAUUCAGUUCAUCCUUCCAAUCUAAAAUUGCAUCUCACAGAAUUGCUGCAAAAUAAAGUGAACAAGUGUUUCCAUUGAUUUAAAAUCUUAAAAUUUAUGGAAAUUCUAAACUACCCUUCUAUGGAAAAUUUCACUCCAAUGUAUAACAGUUGAAUUAAGAUAGACAAUGUUAUAAAAUAAGUGUUGAGAAUCAAUGUGUAAGACUCUCCAAGCUCGUCCUACCAAUACAAUUUGUUUGUUUGUUUUUGUUUCCGUUAGGAAAAUUCUAACAAGUCCAUGAACAAAUAACAUAACAAUCAAAUUUGUACAGCUCUAACAGCUCUAGCUAACAAAGUCAAAUAUAUAAUGCGCACAUAAAUUAGCACUCCCAAGAAUUGAUACCACUUUGUUCAUUAUAAACACAUCACAAAAGAAAGUUGCUUAGCACCACAAAUUUAACUAUUAUAUACAAGUUAUAUACUUUCUAAUAAAGUAAUGAUGAACUUAUAAAAAAAUCAGUUACAUCAUCCUCUUUUCUUUUAGAAUUCUCAUAUCUAUUGAGAACAAAUAUUCUUCUACCUAUUGAGAACCUUUAAUUUGAAGAAAGUGAAGCCAAAUCUACCAUAGUAUAAAAAAUUUGGUCUAUAUUAGCAUGUUUUGUUGGCAUAGUCACAUAACUAAAUUUAAGAUUUAUGGAGAGCUAUGACUAAAUUUGACCAUUUGAAAGUACACACUUGAAAUGAAACCAAAUUAAAUUAUAGAAUCUACUUUGUAAGUGAAACCCAUUAGUGACUAAUGUGAGGGAAGGAAAGGCAUUGUAAUCUUGAAACCAUAUCAACCUAGGACAUCAAAUCUUACACAGACAAAGCUUUUGGCUGGAACAUUUGCCGCUGGUCCAAAACCAAAGUGACAACUUACUUUAACUUUUGAAGUUGAAAGGAAAUGAAAAAAGAAAAAAAUGGAAGAGUAAGAAAGAUUUUGUGCUCAGAAUCAGCAUUUAUUUAUGUUGUCUAAUCUUAGAUUAAUCAGGGAUCAGGUACCAUUACAGGGUAGUUUUUGUCUCUGUUCCUUUUAUCUCAAUUAAUAAAGCAAAACCCCAAUUUCCUUCUAAUUAUUGUCUACCCCCAUCCCUCCCUCUUUAGGCUUUAUGUAUAAUAUACCCAUUCUUUUGAUGUUAAUUUUCUUGUCCAUAUUCUAAAUUCUACUCAAAUCUCUCUUUUACUUCUAUUCAAAUACCCCCCCACCUUCCCUCAAUAAUUUUCUUCUUCCUCUCUUGUUUGGCCAAGAGGAAAAAUCUUUCUUGGGAGUUCUUGGUUUCUAAGAGGAGACUUGGGUUUUGUGAGGCUAAGAGAGUUUCAGUUCUUUUGAUGUUUUAUCCUGGUUCUUCUCAGAAGAUUCUCCAUGGGAAACCAAGCCUUUUGCAGCCAUGGAUACUGUUCUUUGACAUGCUCUUGUAUUUUGGUUUUUUGAGUGACUGGUAAGAUGCUUUGAAACUUCCUUAGAAUCCUAAAAGCUGUUUGAUUUAACUCUCAAAGAAUCAUCAUUCAUCAUCCUUUCUAGUUGAAGGCAGAUCAGGAAGAAUCAAAACAAAGCCCCCCUUUUUACAAUUGAGCUUUGAUUGAGGUCCUGAGAAGAGAGAGCUAGAAGGUGUGAACAGAGAACACAAGGGUUUUAUUGGUACAUGAGUGGAUAUGAAUUUCCUACUUUAAGUCUCUAUUAUGAAGCGAUUCAGCCAUCAAAGAAUUAUAGGGUUCUGAAUUAUCAAGUUUCACUGUAGAAUUUCAUCAACCAGGUUCAAGAUCUAAAAGUGAAUUACCUGACAGAACCAAUCCUGUUGUUGCUUUGGAGUAAUUAGCAGCUCCUAUGAGGAUGGAGUCCAAUCACCACCGUCCGCGUCCCCCUCGCCUCCUCCUCGACCCCGACACGACGGCACCACCGUCAAAUGGAAGCAGAACGCGAAAUUCAUAUAACAAUGAAGCCAAUUUCGAUACAAACAUGGUGAUAAUUCUUGCCGCGUUACUCUGCGCACUGAUUUGCGCUCUAGGAUUGAACUCAAUCGUCCGGUGCGCCCUCCGCUGCAGCCGACGGUUCGCCUUCGAAACAGGCGGCGGCACAGCCUCGCGUCUCACCGCUACAGGGCUAAAGAAAAGCGCAUUACGCCAAAUCCCGGUCGCCGUGUAUGGGUCGGAAACAGGCCUAGAGAUCCGAGAAACGGAUUGCCCUAUCUGCCUAGGAGAUUUCAUGGCCGGCGAGAAAAUAAAAAUACUCCCGAAAUGUAACCACGGAUUUCACGUUCGAUGUAUCGAUACCUGGUUAGCUUCCCACUCAUCAUGUCCGACAUGUCGUCAAUCACUGCUGGAACAACAAUCCGUUUCGGAAUCGGCGGUAACCGAGGCGGGUAAUCGAGGCGCCGGAAAUUCAUCGGCUAGCGGGCAAGGUGAGAUCUCGAUAACCGUAGAUGGAAUUACCUGAUUUCAAGGCUUUGCAUUUUGUUUCCAUUUGCACAUAAAUAUUCUUUAAUUGUUUUCAGUUUUUUUCUUAGCGUUUUUUAAGUAAUAAUAAUCUGGAUUAUACACUAAUUAAUACAAUUAGUGCUUAAUUAUGAGUUAUGUAUAAUAAAUAACCGCAUAAAUUGCAACUUUUUUUUUUUUUUUUUUGAAAAAUUUAGGUUAAACUUUUUUCUUUUACCACACAUGUUUGAGUGAGGAUUUUAACCUCCACUUCAUUUGAUAUAUUUUAUCUCAUUUUUCUCGUUAAAUUAAAUAUAUGAUUACUACAUUUUUAUCCUAUAGUCACUUUAUAUGUCUUACCGUUAUAGAUAAAUGUUGUGUUUUUAAGGGAUUGAGAAGUUGGCAUUGAUGAUUAUCCUCAAAUUACUUCACCAACAAGGCAUAAUUCCUACUUGUACAAAUAUUUAAUAAUUGUCCUGGUUCAUCCUUGUUUCAAUUUAAUUUGAGUAACAUUUCAUAUUAAAUAAACUAACAAAUUGAGAUCAAGUGAACCAACAAUAUUAUAUCUUACUCACUAAUAUUUAUUAGUUAAAUUAAUUUGAUUUUAUUAGUUUCUUAAAGAAAAAGAUGACAUUAUAAUGGCUAAUUAAGGUUGUUAGUAACCACGUGCAUUUGUAAUUAAAAAUUAUGUUAAUCUUAUUUAAAUUGCUGCCAAAUCUAAGAAUUAAAUACAUUUUUUUCCAUA
rnacentral:lncRNA from 1 species